CAAAGCCUAAAUAUUUCAGCCGUCGCAAAUUGGAUAACUGGACAGGUAAUCCCCCAUAGAACCUAUUGCUUCUGACACAAAAAAGGGAAAGGAGUGACAAAUUUCCCAAGUGAGGUGGAAGGGUGCCUACGAGUCCCAACCCAGUAAGGUUUAGAGCUGUGACUCUACGGUGCUUGGAUCCACAACUUACACCAAACCAAUUGCAAACAGGGGCAGAGGCUGACCAGUUAGUUGUCAAGACAUUUUCAGGAUCAUGAGUAACAUGAUCUUUUAGUGCUAGAAGAGCUGAUUGAUCUGUAAGAAUGGUUGUUAAUUUCAUAGAGAAAGUAGGCAUAGAAAAAUGGAAGAUGAUAAGAAGAGCUAAGUUGAGGAAAGUAUUCCCCAUUUGAAUUUGGGUGUUUAUGAAGCUACCAACAAAGGCAGAACGGAGAUUGCUAGACAGGAUAAUUAAAUGAUCACUAACCGUAUGACCACACAACCUUUACAUAAUAUGUGUGUGUAUAUAUAAAGCGAGUUUAUGUUGUAAUUUCUUGCAAAUUCUUUUAAUAUGAUUUACGUAGAAACUACGGAAUUUAUUAUAGGAUGUGAUAAUAUAAUUCUGUAAUUAUUGUUUAAAAUUUUUUUUUCUAAAUUUCAUAUUUCUUAAGAAAUUACAGUAAUAAAUUUUACAUAGUAAUAAUAUAUAGUAAUGUAAUUUAAUUGCACUUGUACAAAGGUUACAACUUUUUUAUUAAAUUAUUUUAGAUUAUUGAAAUUAUUAGAGAACAUGAUGAUAAAAUUAUAGGACAACUUUUUUAUUAAAUACAAAGUAUAUAUAGUCACAACUGAGCAGUCACUUCGAAGAAUAUAAACAACCCUCUUAUAUAAGUGUUAACAUUAACAUUAACACAUUUAUCUUCUUAUAUAAGUACUAACAAAAAAAUUUAUGGAUAAUUCUAGAUAUUUUAUAAAAAGAAUUUGAUAUAACAAGAUUUUAAAAAUAAUUUGCAUUAUUUAUUUUAGGAAAUUAUUGAAUAAAGAGAUCAAGAAUUUUCAAUUAAAAAAAUUUUAAAUUUAAAUCAUAACAGGAGGAGGAGUUUAGUUACUUUACAAUUAUCCAAGAUGGAUUAAAUUUGGUUUUAUAUCUAAGAUAUCAAAACUGUAAUUAGGUUAAUGAUAAGCAUUAAACUAAAUUAUUGGAAUGAAAAUAUAGCAAUUUUACAAUAUUCGUGCUGGGAACAUAUCCCAUUUUUUUAAAAAUGUCUAUAGAUUAAGUACUGGCUCUUCAAUUUUCUAAGUAUUCAUUGUCGUACCCCUUUCUUGGGUUUGGUUUGGGAAGGUUGCUUGACUUCGUUGUGCAAUCUAAAGUCUUUCCAAUUUGUCGUUUUAGAAGUGAUUGGAAAAUUUGCACUUCUUCAUGUGCUGGAAGAAAAGUGAUUGGGUUCAAAGAGUAAAAAUAGGGAUAGUGUAUUUACGUAGUUUAGUUUUUCUAUCCCUGCAGAGUUUACGUUAGUGAAGAAUAGUUUAGUUUAUGUUGUAAUUUCUUCCUACAAGAUUACAAAUUAUUUUAAUGUGAUUUACGUAGAAACUACUGAAUUUAUUAUAGGAUAUGAUAAUAUAAUUCUGUAAUUAUUGCUUAAAAUUUUUCUUUCUAAAUUUCAUAUUUCUUAAGAAAUUACAGUCAUAAAUUUUACAUAGAAAUAAUAAAUAGUAUUGAAAUUAAAUUGCACUUGUACAAAGGUUACAACUUUUUUAUUAAAUUAUUAAAAUUAUUAGAGAGCAUGAUAAAAUGAUAUGAGAACCUUUUUAUCAAAGUGACAAGUGAGCAGUCCCUUCCAAGAAUAUAAAUAACCCUAUUGACUAAAAAAAUUUUGAACAAAAAGGAUAUUGACUAAAAAUCAAAAUAACCAUGAACUCUUUUACAACAUUCAAUGAGGUUGAAAGAUUUUUUUUUUAAAUAAUAACUUAUUUGGCUUCUAAUUUUAUACCAACGUUUCAUAACUUUUUGACCAUUUUUAAAAUCUCUAUAGAUUCCGUAAUGGCUCUUCAAUUUUCUAAGUAUUCAUUGGCUUACCCCUUCGUUGGGUUUGGUUUGGGAAGGUUGCUUGACUUCGUUGUGCAAUCUAAAGUCUUUCCACUUUGUCGUUUUAAAAGUAUGAGUGCGGGAAGAAGUGAUUGCGAAGUUUACACUUUUUCAAGUUAUUACAAAACAAAAAAAUAAAAAUAGGAGAUACAAAUUGUUUACAUAGUUCGAUUUUCUUACGCUUGCAGAUUUUAAUUUAGUGAGAAAUAUCUACUAUCUCCAACAUUUAUAAUAAGUGAUCUUAAAUCUAUCACAACCUAAUGACAAUUUUCUCACUUUUGUACCUUUGAAUACCGGUACUCUCACCACUAAAUUCACCAUUGUGAACUUAAUUUAUAAAAUCACAACACACAAGUUUUACAAUCAAAUGCACUCUUACAAAUAAUAUUCUUUGCUUAAACAGACUAAGUGCUCUCAAUUCUUUAUACAAUCACCUAUACAAGUUUCUCAAUUAUAUAUAGAUUUUGAGAUUUACGUACAUAAUGAAAAUCUAUAUCAAUCUCUAUUAAACAACACCUAAACUAGUUGAAUAAAUUAUAAAAAUAAAUAAGGUAAACAAGGAUUGUUGGCAGCUAAGUCUUCAAUGUUCCAAUCCGAUUCAACUUCCUCGAUCCAAGCGAUUAGAUAGACAUGGUCCGAUCCAAUCCGAUCCCUUAAACAUGUUUCUUGAAGUGAUAUGAUCUGUAACUCCCCAAACCCGACCUAGACGUUAUGGUCAAACAUAUAAUAAAAUUUAUUAUUUAUAAAAUAAACUAAAAAAAAAGAGAGAAAAGUUUGAAUAUGGUUUAAGUAUUGUUUGAGGUUUUUUUUUAAUAUUUUAUUUAUAAAAAUAUUAUUUUAAUAAAUAAAUUUUAUGUUAGAAAAAAGAGAAAAUGGGUAUUCAUUUAUUUAUAAUUGUGUUAUGUAUUUUUAUAGAACUUUAUGUAUUUUUAUAUAUAAAAAAAGAACUUUUAAAUAUUUUGAAUUUUUAUUUUUGAAUUUUUAAGAAGUAAAACUACAUUGACAAAAUGUAUAAAGCUGAAAGCUAAACUUGUUGAUUUUUUAGAGUUAAAGCUAAAUUGAUAGAAUCUGUCAACAUUGGAGGGUUAAAUUUGUUAUUAUAUCAAUAAAAAAAUGUCACCGUUAGUGAUUUAAUAGAGGAGCAACUAAAAUAGUAAAUUUCAAUAAUCUUAGUGAAUGAAAUAGAAAAUUUUAAACUUAAAUAAACAAAAUAAAAACAAACUAAUAAUUAGAUAAGCUAUUUUUGUAUUUUGCCCUAGAUUUAAUAAUGGUUACCCAAUUUUCCAUGAUUCUUCCAUUUUCUUACCCCCUUUCUUGGGGUUGGGACCCGGCUUGACUUUAUUUGUGUAAUCUAAUUAAAUGAUUAUUUAUAUCUUUUUGAAGUUUAAUGGCGAAAGUGUAAACCUACUUGAGAGAAAUUUCAGUUUAAAAACCUCAAAUUUAAAUCAAACCAGCAGGAGUUUAAUCAUAGAACUUGAGAGAAAUUUGGUGUAAUAUCUAAGAGACUAAAAUUAUAAUUAGGUUGUUUGUCCUGAUUUGUAUAAAAAUAUUGUAAUUAGCUUAAUAACUACAAACAUUAAGAACAUCUCAACUUAAUUAUUAGAAUUAAUUUUAAACUAAUAAGCAAUAGUACAACAGACACAGGUCCACUUUCCAUUUUCAAGAGUAAAUAAGAUGGGUCCUAAUGAAAACAUUUCCAUUCACUAGCUUUUCUUGACUUUAUGCCGAUUUCUUAAUCUCUAGGCUCAAAAUUGGCCGAUCAUCUCUCCAAUAAUACGCUUCUCCUUCUUAUACAUUUAUUGGAUGUGGGUGCAGCUUGACUUUGCUAUAUUCUUACUACUUUAGUUUAAUUUCAAUGUCUAAACUGAAUGUGUAAGACGUAUUAUUCUAAUAAAAAAUAUAAAUAUUUCAUUAGGAUAUAAAUAUUCUAAUAAAAGCCUUUCAACUAUGUCAACAAUUGCUUAUGAACUUAUAAUGUGAAACCUUAUAAGCCAUUGGACAACGAAGCUAUCACUUUUCUUCUUCAACGAUAAUGCCGGACUAAAUUUCCAUCACUUUUUGGACAUUUUCUUUUCAAUGUUUUGCCCAUUUUUUGAAUCUCUAUACAUUCAAUAAUGCUCCAAUGAUUAUUCUUUUUCUAACCCUUUAUUUUUCUUGGACUUUGUUGCGCAAUUUAAAGUCUUUCUUUGGAUAAUUAUAAAAAUAGUCACUCAAUUUUGGUUAAAUUUAUCUUUUUGUCAUUGAAUUAUGAAAAUAUUACAGUUUGGUCACUAACAGUAUCGAGUUAUAACAUUUUGGUCACCCGUCCAUUAAUAGUCGUUACAUCUUUAUAGCAGAAAAGUGACAUGGCAUGUUAACUCAAGGGUUAAUAUCUAAAUUGACUCCAAAUUAUAGUUAAAAUAUUCUAUCUGGUCUUUUUACAAUUUUUUAAAUAAUAAUUCUAAAAAUAUUUCAUUUUUACAGAAAAUGAUAAUUAUGUAAUUUUUUAAACUAUAAAAAUAUAUUUUUAAAAAAGGAUAAUUAUGUAAUUUCAUCCUAGCAAUUGGACAUCCAAGUUGGCAUUUAAAAUCGAUUUGGACUACAACAUAGGACUGUCGUUAGGAAGAUAAUAAAGCUUAACGGUAGAGUGACCACUUCUUAACAAAACGAUAACGUAAGUGACUAAAACAUAACAUUUUAAACAUAAGUGACUAAAAUGUAAUCUAAGACAAACAAAAUUAAUUAUUUUUAUAGUUUACCCUUAUAAAUAAGUAGAUAUAGAUAUAGAUUAUAUUUAUGUCAGGUGAAAAAUAAUAUUUUUCAAAAUAAUUAAAAAUUAAAAAUAAUUUUAACGCUGAAAGAAAAUUAUAAAUAUGAAAAAUUGAAGGUGGAAAAAUAAAAAGAUGAAAAAUAUGAUUUUUAUUUCCAUAGGUGUGCUUCGCAGGAAAUAUGAAAAAAUUUAACGAAAUUUAAUUUUCUUUCCAUCUAUUGCUUGGGAGUAUUGAAAAAUGCAUAACUUUAAAUUACCAUACAAAUCUCUUUCAUUUUCUUUCGGUUUAUCAUUCCACUUUUCCAUUUCUCCCCUGAUUCCUUCAAUUUUCCAGCCAACCAAAUAAAUACUAAAAUCUUGUGAUUCAAGUCCAUCAUCACCCUUCCACACCCUACUGGACCUGAAUACCCUGUAAUACCCCAAAAAUUAAUACAGUAAGAAAGUAGGUAUCCUUGAUAUAGUAAAAUAAGGAAAUAAAGUGACAAAAAGGAAAAUUUUGAGUUAUGGCAACAUUAGGAAGUAUAUUAUGACAUAUUAAUUCAAGAAAUGAUUAAAUCGCAAAAGUGAGAAAAGUUUUGUUGACCAAGAGUAAAUACUCAAAAUUUGAGAGGGUAAACUGUAAAUAUGAAAAGUUGAAGGACCAAUAAUGUAAAUAUUUUAAGGGUGGAAUAAUCUAGAAACUAAGGAAAAUGGAUGAAUUAGGACCAAAUUGAAAAGGUGAAGAAUUUUGAGGGACUAAAUCAUAAUUUUGUCAAAUUAAGUGAUGACUCAAUGAUGAAAUUUUAAAAGAUUAUGAAAGGCAAAAUGGUCAAUUAGAAGAGAGAGAAAUCUAAAAGGCAAUGAUGACGUUGGUGAUAUUUUAGAUUAAUUAAUUAAUUAAAUAUUAGCUUAUUAGUAUUUUAAUGAGAUAUUUUAUUAUUUUAUUAUUGUAUUUAAUAUAUAAGGAGAGAAAGAUGAAGAAUUAUCAUCAUCUUUCCCAUGCACCAACGUAAGAAGAAGAAGAAAGAAAGAAAGUUUUUCUUUUCAUUACAAAUUGGUCUUUUCACCAAAUAUUCACCAUUUUCACUUAGAAAUCAAAAGAAUUUUCAUAUCCAUCAAGAGAGAAAGAUAACAAUGAGACUAUGGGGAGCUAGAAUAUCAAGUUAGAUUCAAGAAAUAGAAGCUGGAGGAGAGAGAAAAUCAAGUUAAAGGUUGAAACUAAUAGGACAAGGUAAGAACAUCAAGAUUUCAAUAUAUUUUUAAGUUUGAUAUUAUUGACAAAGCAUGGAAAUGAUGUUAUAGUAGAGUUUUCUUAUAUAAGGUCUUAUGUUCUUGAUAUAUUAGUGAAGAGAAAUAAGUGAAAGUGAUGGGAAAUAUUAUAGAGAAAGGGAAUAAGGGAGUUAUAAACUUAGUAAUCAACAUCUUGCACCAAAACAGUUUUGGACAGCAGCAGUAGGUUAACUUUGAAAAAUCACCAUAAAUUGUGGAAAUCGAAUUAGAGGAUGAACAAAAUAUGGAAUUAAAUCUUAUUGAGUCUAGUUUCUCAUAAAAGAAACAGUGUAAGUAAUGGAAUUGUAAAUCAUUAGAUAUAAUAAAUUUUGUGAGACAAGUUCAGAAUGAAUUCGGGUUCCCCUGUUCUGACUUUGGAAAAUCAUAAAAAAUUGGAUAAAAAUGAUUAGGGGUUAAAAUUUACAUGUUUAAAUUAUUAAUGAGUCUAUUUUCAAUAGAAACAAAGAGAAAUAUCAUCCAAAUUUGUACUAAGAGAUAAUUAAUUUUUAGUGAAGAAGGGUUAAAACUGUCAGAUAGAAGAAUAGGGAUGACUUUAAAGAAUAAACUGUACUUAUUUGCUAAACCAAAAAUUAUGAAAAUUUUAUGGUAAGAAGAUAUGUGAGCGUAAUUUCAGAGAAAAUUAGCGGAUCUUAAUUCGGAAUUCUGUAGCUUAAGAUAUAAUUAAUUUAGUGACUAUGACUCAAGUGAACAGCUUGUUAUGAAUAAACAAGUAAAUAGUAUUAUUAUGUAUAUAUCAAGGAUGUGGAAUGGAGAGGAGGAAAAUACAUGAAUAUUUUGCUAGUAUGGGUUUGCAUUAAAAAUGGUUAAUUUGCAUGAUUUGGACUCAUGGACUAAAUAGAAUAAAAGUAAAAUUUUAGGGGCAAUUUUGUAAAAAUAUCAAAAAUGUCAAAUUGCAUAAAAUGAAUUGUUUUAUUAUUUAAAUUAAUAAAUUGAAUGAAAUAUUAAUUUUAAUCAAGAUCGGGUAGAAAAUCUAGGAAAAUAGAAUGUAAUCACUGAAUUUUGUCCGGGACAAAUUUGCGUUUUUAAAAAAAAAUGCAUUUUAGCCCCCAAAUUUUUCAAAAAUUAUAUUUUAACCCUUAAGUUUUUCUAAAUUUACAUCUUGACCCCUAAUAUUUUAUAAAUUACAUUUAGACCCCUAAUAUUUCUAAAAAUUAUAUUUUGGCCCCAUAUUUUUCUAAAAUUGCACUUUUACCCCAGAAAUUUUGCAACUUCUGCGGUUUGGUCCUUCUGGACAUGUCAAAUCAGCCAAUCGGCAGUUGAGCGUCUACGGGACCUCUGUGCGGACGUCUACGGGAGCAACUCCUUUCUCCUUGGUCUACAGGAUGGAAGCCGUUUUGCCUAUUGAAGUAGAGAUCCCAUCUUUGUGAGCUUUAUGGAGACAAAACUAGAAUAAUCGGAAUGGGUUCGAGCUCGAUAUGACCAGUUAAACCUUAUUGAAGGAAAGCGCUUGAAGGCAAUUUGUCACGGACAGAUGUACCAGAAGAGAAUGAUCACGGCCCAUGAUAAAAAGGUGCGACCAAGAGAAUUUCGCGAAGGAGAGCUAGUACUAAGAAAGAUCCUCCCGAUACAGAAAGACUUUCGAGGAAAAUGGUCGCCAAAUUGGGAAGGGCCAUACGUUGUUAAAAAGGCAUUCUCAGGGGGGCUCUGAUUCUCACUGAGAUGGAUGGGAAAGAAUUACCUAAUCCAGUAAACACAGAUGCUGUGAAGAAAUAUUAUGCCUAAAAAAAACAAAAACAAAAACAAAAACAAAAACAAAAACAAAAAAAAAGAAAAAGAAAAAUCAAGAUGAAAACCCGAAAAGGGCGUCUUGAUAAACAAAAAGGAUUAGGAUGAAAACCCAAAAGGGCGUCCUAAUGAAAUGGGUUCGGGCUUAAAGGAGCAAAGUGAUUUGAACGGGGAGUUGAAUGACGAAGUCGCAAUAUUUGAAGCAUUCUCAGAAGCUCGAAAUCUUCUACACAGAAAGCCAUGCUCGAAAAGAUCCUUGACGAAGAAACGUGGAAAAGUUCAUGUGUUGGAUAUCCAGAGCAUUCGUGACCAUUGAAUUCACUUUCCGUUCUUUUUGAUACUUUCUUUCUUUGAACUAUUCCUUGUCAAUAUUCUUCGUUUGUUGCUUUUGAAAAAAACUAAAUGUGAGGUAUUUCUUGUAUGCCUACUUUGCCAUUUCUUCAUGCAUAUCGUGUUUGAAUCAUUUAAAUGAUAAAUAGUAAGAUGACAUAUUCUAAACAAAAGGAAUGUUGAACAUUACCUGGAUGAGAAUUUGACAAGUACAAGGGCCCCAAAACAGGAACAAAGUUCAAUAAGGGGGCAAGAGGGUGAUAUACGAAAAAAUGUGGGUUACUCACCAAACUUGAAGAUGAGUACAAAACUUGAGAGAAAAGUCAAAGAUUGAAGCAAUGAAUGCAAUCUCUCACGAAAAAGGGGGCAUGUGAGAAACAGCCCAGGGGGUAUGGCAUGAUCAUGUAGGCAUAAAAGUAUUUAGGACAAACACGUGCAUAUCAUGAUAACAUUGUACAUGACAUAUACAGGUAUCCCAGUAGAGUAAGGAAUACUAGGAGAAAGCUGCACAGAAUCAGUGAAGAAAAAGACUUUUAGUUUCAACUGAUGUUUUUUGAAACCCUGUUUCUUUCAAGAAAUAGUUUUCAAUUUCUGCUUUUUUAAUAAAAUCAACUCAUAAUGCGAGAAGUGAGUUGAGCCUCAGGCACACGCUGAGGUAUUUUUUAAAUUUCUAUUUUUUCAAAAAUCAACUCAUAUUGCGAGAGGUGAGUUGAGCCUCGGGUCAAAUGCCGAGGUAUUUCUUUUAAAUUUCUGUUUUUCAAAAAAUCAACUCAUAUUGCGAGAUGUGAGUUGAGCCUCGGACACACGCCGAGGUAUUUUUUAAUUUCUAUUUUUCGAAAAGUCAACUCAUAUUGCGAGAGGUGAGUUGAGCCUCGGGUCACAUCCUGAGGUAUUUUUCAAUUUCUAUUUUUUUCAAAAAAAAUCAACUCAUAUUGCGAGAGAUGAGUUGAGCCUCGAGGCGCAUGCCGAUGUAUUUCUUUUAAAUUUCUAUUUUUUAAAAAUCAACUCAUAUUGUGAGAGGUGAGUUGAGCAUCGGGUCACACAUCGAGGUAUUUUCCAAUUUCUGUUUUUCAAAAAAAAAAACUCAUAAUGCGAGAGGUGAGUUGAGCUUCGGGUCGCACGUUGAGCUUUUCUCGAUUUUUAUUUUUCAAAUAAAAAGAAAAUUUUGGACAGUCGAACAAAAUUCAGUGCUUUUAAGUCUUUGCUCUAUCUCUGUUUCACAGUGAUGAGCAAAGAGGGGCAGCUGUAAUCACUGAAUUUUGUCCGGGACGAAUUUGCGUUUUUUAAAAAAAUUACAUUUUAGCCCCUAGUUUUUUCAAAAAUUACAUUUUGACCCCUAGAUUUUUCUAAAUUUACACCUUGACCCCUAAUAUUUUAUAAAUUACAUUUAGACCCCUAAAAUUUCUAAAAAUUAUAUUUUGGCCCCAUAUUUUUCUAAAAUUGCACUUUUACCCUAGAAAUUUUACAACUUCUACAAUUUGGUCCUUCUGGACAUGUCAAAUUAGCCAAUCGGCAGCCGAGCGUGCUCCACCCACCUCCAGCUACUCCAGCAGCCUCCCUAGGCCAUGAUUGCUCCACUACCACCUGAAAACAAAGAAGAAGAAGACAAAUCAAUGAGAUUAAAAAGAAGCAAAUGAGAGAAAGAGGGGGAUUCGGUUUUGGGCAGCCAAAAAAGAAAAAAAUAGCAGAGAAAUUUCAAGAAAACAACACUCAAAUUCGGCCGCUCCUUCACCAUCACUGUGCCCACCGCCGCACCAUUUCUUUCCCUCCACCACCAUUACCUACAACCCAAUUCGGCAGCCAAGCAAACAAGCAAAAAAGAAAAAAAAAAUUUGAGAAAAAAAAAGAGAGCAAAAACAGUAACAAAAAAGGGGCACCGCCGCCGUCGUGCUCGCGCCACUGUACCCACCAUCGCACUCGCACUGCCCCGAUACCUAGCAAGACAACCAAGAGGCAAGAAAAAAGAAAAAAAACAAGCAAAAAGAAAAAAAAAGAAGAAAAAAAAGAGCAAAGAAGAAAAAAAGAAAAAGGGGGAAAGGGAAGACCACCGUGCGCGCCACCGUCGGCCGCCGGUGGGAAGUAGGUCGCCGUCGACGAGAGCAACAAGAGGGGGUUGAUCGGGGAAGAAAGAAAGGAAGAAAAAGAAGAAAGAAAGAAGAAAAAAGAAAGGAGAAAGAAAGAAGAAAAUGGGAAGAAGAAAGAAGAAAAAAGAAAAAGGAAAAAGAAAACAAUUUUUUUAAAAUCGGGCCGACCCGACCCGAAUCUGGCUCGACCCGACUGACCCGUGACCAGACCCGGAAGUAGUUAGCAGGCCCAACAGUAGCAGAUCAGCCCCCCAAAAAAACAAAACAAAAUAGCAGCAGCAAAAAAACAGCAGUAAAAAAAUAGCAGGCCUUUCCAGCAGCCCAAGCGCAGGCCCAAUUGCAGCAGCCAACCAGCAGGCCUCCAGGCCAGCACGCACCAGCCCAGCAGGCCCAAGAGAAGCAGGCCAGAAAAAGAGAAAAAAAAAGAGAAGGAAAAAAGAGAAAAAAAAAAGAGAAAAAGGAAAAAAGAAAAAAGGUUCAAUUUGUGUAACCCGUUCGACGUAGCUCGUGUUUCGGGAUCUUUUCGGUAAUUUCGUUUAUUUCACUUUUAAUUUCAUGCUCGUAUUUUUAUGUUAUUUAGUUUUAAUAUUAUUAGCAUUUUAUGCAUUUUAUGCAUUUUUAAUUUAAUUUAAUUCCAUUCUAUUUUAAUUUUAUUUUAAAUAAUUUUAAUAAAUAAGGCAACGAAUCAGUUUAACAUAAAAUCGUUGAUUUCAUCGCUACGUUGGGUGAAUAUCACUGGUUUGCGUUAAACUCGAUACGUCCUUUUAAAAACCAAAAGUAUUCAAAAAAUUUCAUGUUUUCGAAAAAAUUCCUGUGUUUCGAAAUUUUCGUGUCUUCAAAUAUUUUUCUCGUGUUUCAAAAAAUAUUCGUGUUUUCAAAAAUAAGGCAACGAUUCGAUUUGACACUAAUUCGUUGAUUUCAUUGCUAUGUUGAGUGAAUAUCACCGGUUCGUGUUAAUACGAUACAUGCUUAAUAAAAAUAAAAAAAUUUGUGUAAUAAAAAAAAAUCUUUCCGUGGUUUCAAAAAUAAUCGUGUUUUCACAAAAUAAAAAUAAAAAAGAUUCCGUUCUUCAAAAUUCUAAUGUUUUCAAAAAAUUCUAUUUUUAAAAAAUUUUCGUGUUUUCAAAAAAAAUAAAUAUAAUUGUUUCAAAAAUCUUUGUGUUUAAAAAGAAAAAUCUCGUAUUUCAAUCGGAUCACGAUUAAAUAUUAAAUUGAACUCGUAUUUUUGAAAAUUAAGACAACAUGCGUUUAACGAGAUACCAAUUUUGGGCGUCGCGAGGGUGCUAAUACCUUCCUUGCGCGUAACCGACUCCCGAACUCGAAUUUUCUCUGGAUUUUUAGACCUAAAAUUACCUCUUUUUUAGAAAAGUUUAAAAAUAAUUUUUUCUUCUAAAAAGAGAAUUUUGUAGGUGUCCGAUCACACCUAAAGAAAAGAUCGAUGGCGACUCCUUUUUUAAAAAAAUCGAGAUUCUGUUUUCAAAUUUGCAAUAAUUACUUCGACUAGCGCACGUGCCCAAAUUUUUUGGUCGCUACAUAGAAAAUUACCAAAAUGCCCCUAUAUUUUUGUAUUUCUGUAAAUUUAGCCUGGUAAGUUCGUGUAACCUGAAUUAUAUUCUUAAAUGCUUGAAAUAUAUGUUAUUGAUGUGAAUAUGAUUUAAUUGUUCAUUGUAUGAAAAUUGAUGAAACAUUGAUAUAUUUGAUAAAAAAGGGAAGAAAUCCCGGUUGAAUGAAAGGAAAAUUCGAUGGAUCUUUAAAAAGGAAUUGAGUGUAAAAAGGAUCUAGCCCGGACGGGUGAUCUUAUCCUGAUAUAGCCCUCCUGAAGAAUAUGUGUAAAAUGGAUUUAGCCCGGAUGGGUAAUCCGAAUUAGGGUCUCAAUUUAGCCUGGACCUGUAAUUCAGAUCCAAGCUCAUUAGAGUAAAUUGUCGUUGUAGGGGAUUUAGCCUGGACUGGUAAUCCCAACAAUACUCUUUGAGUUUAUAUUACAAGGAAUUUAGCCUGGACUGGUAAUCCCGUUUUAAGGAUGAGGUUCGCAGGAGUGUGCUCUCUGAAAUAGAAAUGUACGCACAUGAAGAAUAUGAAUUGACGAAUAAGACCAUAAUUAGGUUAUGGCACUAUGAACGUAAGACCAUGGUUGGACCAUAGCAGUGUUUAUAUGUAAGACCAUAGGUGGGCUAUGGCAUUCUGACGAUAAGACCAUAACUGGGUUAUGGCACUACGAAUUGUAAAGGAUGAAUUGACGGCAAAUUACCCAAGUAAACCGAGGUUCAGCAUUCGUUGCGAACUUUCGUGUUUACUAUCUGUUUAGAUCAAUCUUUUGCAACGAAGAUAUAUUAAAGAUGGAGGAGGGUAUUGAACCUGAAAUCCGGUUUUUAGACAAGACCAAGAUCUGUAGCUUUGACAAAUAGGCUAAAGAGAAUGGAAUAACACCUUUGAAGUUGUUUUGGUCCAAAAACAACCUUCGAAGUUCAGUUAAUGAUCCCAACCAUGAUGGGAUUUCUCCACUGAAGGAGUUGUUACCAAAGCUUAAAUAUUUUAGCAGAUGCAAAUUGGAUAACUGGACAGGUAAUCUGCCGUAGAAACUAUAUUACCUGUCCAGUUAUCCAAUUUGCAUCGGCUGGAAUAUUUAAGCUUUGGUAACAACUCCAAUUUCCCAAGUGAGGUGGAAGGGUGCCUACGAGUCCCAACCCAGUAAGGUUUAGAGCUGUGACUCUACGGUGCUUGGAUCCACAACUUACACCAAACCAAUUGCAAACAGGGGCAGAGGUUGACCAAUUAGUUGUCAAGACAUUUUUAGGAUCAUGAAUAACAUGAUCUUUUAAUGCUAGAAGAGCUGAUUGAUCUGUAAGUAUGGUGGUUAAUAAAAAAAAUGGAAGAUGAUAAGAAGAGCUAAGUUGAGGAAAGUAUUCCCCAUUUGAAUUUGGGUGUUUAUCAAGCUACCAACAAAGAGUACAGAACUGAGAUUGGUAGACAGAUAAUUGAAUGACCACACAACUUCUUUUACAUAAUAUGUGUGUAUAUAUAAAGGGAGUUUAUAUUGCAAUUUCUUCUUGCAAGAAUGCAAAUGCUUUUAAUGUGAUUUACGUAUAAACUAUGGAAUUUAUUAUAGGAUGUGAUAAUAUAAUUAUGUAAUUAUUGCUUAAGAAACUUAAUUUCUAAAUUUCUUUUUAUUCUUAAGAAAAUUACAGUAUUAAACUUUACAUAGAAAAACUAAAUAGUAUUGUAAUUAAAUUGCACUUGUACAAAUGUUACAACUUUUUUAUUAAAUUAUUUUAGAUUAUUGAAAUUAUUAGAGAACAUGAUAAAAUGAUAUAUCAAAUACUAAAGUAUAUAUAGAGUGACAACUUAACAGUCACUUCGAAGAAUAUACACAACCCUACCGCUUGCUUAACUAGCGGCAUCUAAACACUAAUAAAUUUUUGUUUCUAUUGAAUAAAAAAAAAUUGAAUAAAAAAGAUAUAGGUAAACUACCAAAAUAGUCACUUUUGUUUGGCUCAGGUUACAUUUUAGUCACUUAUGUUUGAAAUGUUACGUUUUAGUCACUUAUGUUAUCACGUUGUAACAUUUUAGUCACUGAGCCGUUAGUUUCUGUUACCGGUGUAACAGUAAACUGAUGUGGCACGUUAAAUCAUCAUUUCAAACAAAAAUUCUAGGUUAAUUUAUACAAUCGAUCUCCAUAUUUUUUUCGUUUGGAGCAAUUUAAUUUUUUUCUUUUAUGUUUUUAUAACUUUCUUUCUUUUUCAUUCUCUUAUGCUUCUCCUUUUGUUUUCCUCCCUUCUCCAUUUCUUUCAACGUAGUUUUUCUAUGUUUUAUUUUUUUGAACAAUUUAAUUUUUUCGAGUGAGGCGAGCUUGUGUACUAGUUACAAAUGGAAAGCAUAGAAAAACUAUGUUAAAAGAAAUGAAGAAUGAGGAAAAUAGAGGGCGAAGCAUAAGAGAAUGGAAAAAAAAAGUUAAAAGAACAUAAAAGAAAAUUUAUAAAUUGUUGAAAAUAAAAAAAUAUAGGGACCAAUUGUAGAAUUUAACCUAAAAUUUUUGUUUGAAAUGAUAAUUUAACGUGCCACAUCAACUUACCGUUACACCAUUGUCGACAAUUAACGACUCAGUGACUAAAAUGUUACAACACGAUAACGUAAGUGACUAAAACGUAACAUUUCAAACAUAAGUGACUAAAAUGUAACAUAAGGCAAACAAAAGUGACUAUUUUGGUAGUUUACCCAAAAGAUAUUGACUAAAAAUUAAAACAAACCAUGAAAUUUCUUUAAGGUUGAAAGAUUUUAUUUAAUUUUUUUUUUGGAAUAAUAUUUUUUUUGGUCUUUUAUUUAUUUUUUAUUAUUUUAAUCCUUAAAUUUACGUUAUUUGUUAAAUUACCCCAAAAUGGAUGGAAAAGUUAACUUUUAUUAAUUUUGCUGAUGUGGCAUACAUAUGGAUUGUCACGCGAAUGCCAAGUUAGCAAUUAAUUAUUUUUUUAAAUUUAAAAAAUAAAAAUUAUUAAAUUAUUUUAAAAAUUAUUAAAUUUUUUAGAAUAUGUAAAAGUAUAAUUAAUUGCUAACGUGACAAUCCACAUGUAUGUCACAUCAGCAAAAUUAACAAAUACUAACUUUUUCAUCUAUUUUAAGUGAUUUGAUAAAUAAUACAAGUUCAAGAGUUAAAAAGAGAUGAAUAAUUAAAUAGAGAGCUAAAAUAUAAAGUCUUUCCACUUUGUCGAUUUAGAAGUGAUUGUAAAAUUUAUAUUAUUUAAAUAGAAAAUAAUCUUCUAGUUAUUAAUUAAAAUAUAAUUUAUUUAAUUCAUUUAAUUAAUUAAAUUAAUUUUCAAUUAAAUAUUUUUCUCAAUCCAAUUUUAAUUUCGUUACAGUAAUGACUAAUUAAUUUUAAUUAAAUAUUUAAUUUUUUUAUACCGGAUAAGUAAUGACUAAUUAAUUUAAUCUCAAUUUUAAACUUUAAUUAUUUAAUUAUAAUUAAUUAAAUAAUAAUUUUAAAAAUCUUAAAGUAAUUCUGAAGUCAUUUCCAUUCAUUUUUGUUCAUUUCUAUCCAUUUAAUUUUACAUACAAUUUAUUUUUUAUUUCAACGAGCUAACUAUUUAGUAACUGUAAAAUACAAUGUAGAGAUCAAUAUGGAAAUAUAAAUUUUAAAUUUUAAAUAUUUUUUGUUAUAUAAAUUUUUAUUUGAAGUAUGAAACGUUAUUUUCUUAGCAAAGAGACUAGUGUUGGGAACAUAUCCACGCACUAAUUUUUCAUGACGGUUCUAUAAAAAUAGUCACUCAAUUAUUAUCAUAUUUCUAUUUUGGUCACUCGAGUUUAAAAUUUUUUAUUUUAGUCACUAAUGUUAUCAAAAUUUAAUAUUUUGGUCAUUCUUCCAUUAAAUCACUAAUAGUGGUCCUUUUUUAUUGGAAUCAUAACAAAUUUAACCCUCCAAUAUUUAUAGAUUCCAUCAAUUUAGCCCUAAAUCUAAAAAAUUCAACAUUUAUAUUAAUAUUGAUAGAUUCUAUAAAUAUUAAUAAAUCAUUUUUAAUGAAUUUUAUAUUUUUGAAAUUAUUGUAAUUUUAAUCUAGUUUAGCUAACUCGAGUGUUAAUUUUUGAAACUGAUAAAAUUUCUAAAUGUUACUAUUGAUGAAUAAUUGAUGAAAUUAGUAUUACUUGAUUAGAAUUUUCUACUUAGAUAUGAAAAAGGAUUAAUUAUCAAUUAUCAAUUCCAAAUAAAAAAAUUAUUGAUAUUUUCUAUUAUGAAAACCCAUUCUCAAUGUGUUGCAUCGUUGAACAAGUAAUUUUUACUUCUAUUGUGGCAAAUUCAACGGAGGGAGUUAUCUUCUUAUUUCUACCAUAAAAAGUUUCUCAAUAUAUUUCAUUGGGUGAAAAUUUUGAGUUAGAUAAUUAGAGUGCUUCAAAAUCUCAUGGCAAUCAACAAAUUAUGUGAACGUGUGUGAAAAUAGGAAGGAUAUUAGUCUUAAGCAAACAAAAGUUUAGAUGACAAUUCCCAUGAUACUCGUUGGAUAAUUUGGUCAUCUUUUUUAUGGAAUGUAAACUUUUCUAAAUGAUAAGGAAAGGAAAGGAAAGGAAAGCUUGGGCAAUUCAAUUUAAGUAGUUCACCUCUAAUUACCUAUCUCCACUACUUUAGUAUACUUCAAUCAAUAAUUUCCCAAAUUACUAUAAGAAUUAAUACCUUUCAAGGAGAAGGUAUAACAUUUACAACAACACUGUCUUUUUCUUAAAGGCUUAGAUAUAACCUUUCCCUCUAGCUUUUAUAGUUGUUAUAUAGUCGUUGGGAAGUCAUGUCUCAAGACAAUUUAUCAAUUGUCUCUAGACACACUGCACAAUAUCUCAAGACAAGCAGCUCUUAUCAAUCGAUACAAGCCAGUAUGAACUUGUAUAAGUUAGUAUUGACUGAAACGAGCUGAAACAUACUGGAAUGGUCGAAACGCAUCAAAAUCUUAACCAUAAUGGAAUCUAUACUACUUCAGAUUGGUUGAAGACCAGAAAGAUACAUAUCGAGUGUGUUAAAUGUUGAUGUCCCUUUUAUGUACUGUUUUAUAUUUUUGUUCUUUUAAUAAGAUUUGUUUGGCUUAUAAAAAUUAUUUUUAUUAAAAUAAAAUAACUGAAAACCUUAUGCAAAGACUGAAAAAAGAGAUCAAAAUUUGGUAUGUUUUGAUAUUGGACAUUUAAUAAUUUGUACCUAUAUUCUUAAAAAAAAAAUUGUACCAAUACAAUUUCAUAAAAUUAGUACAAAUGAUCAUCAAAAUUCAGCAUAACUUUUUUGAACCUAAAUAUAUUGCUAAUUGAUAUAAUUGGGAACGGUUAUGCAGUUGAUAAUAAUCUUUUUGGACUUCGUUUAAUAUAUGAUUUAUGCAAGUAAUAUUGGCAACUCAAGUUUCGGCAUGUCCUACGAGAACAUAAUACACUGACAGAUUGCAUGAACAAAGAUGUUCUUAGUAAUUUUAAUAGGUUAACAACUUUUGAAGACCCAGCUGGUCAUGCUCAAUCUUUGUUAGAAAAAGAUGUUCAUCGAGCAAUGAUUAAUAUAGAUUCCCAUUAACCUAAUUGUAGCUAAUUCCUUGAACUUGUUUCUUUUUUUAAAAAAAUGCACAAAAUGCAGAAAUAACUAUUAAUAAACUUUAUAGGAAAACAGAGCAUCUGUAUAAAUAUUUAUCAAAGAUAUUGCUAGAAAGCAAAGCUUAUGUUUAUUUUAGUCAAUUUAACAAUGGCCUCUUCAUCGAACGCGUUGCAUAUCCCUUGAUAACUUUACUUUGAUCUUCUUUAACUUUGUAACAACCUCUUUCAUAUGAAGCCUCUCAUUUGGUAACUCUGCAGAACAUUCUAAGCCAACUUGCAAAAUGGAUAAGGCACAAUUCUUGACUUUUAAAUGUUCCCUUCCAAUGGUGCUCAACAACUUGGGAUCUACAACUUGAUUUAGCGAAGAUGAUAUCGACUCUAUCACCCAACUCUUCAAGCUUCUUUCUCCUUCAAACAUUUCAUCUGUGGGCUAUUUUCUUGUGAUAAUUUCCAUCAAAAGAAUACCAAAGCUAUACACAUCACCUUUUGUCGAAACAAUUCCUUCCAUUCCAUAUUCUGUGUAUGAAUAUAAAGACAACAUUAUUAAUAUUCAAAGAUAUCUUGAUAAUGAAAAAUUCGUAUAAAAUAUCCGAAACAUUAUAUGCUUGCAUGUUAUAAUUGAACUGGGAUUUAAUCUAGUUGCUUCCUUAAAAAGUCACAUUUAAUAUGUUUGAAACUCAAAUCUUAACAUAUAUGAUCCCUUUUGCUAUGCACAUGCUACGCUUAUAUUGAAAAUGGAAAAAUAAACAUGGAGUUUGAUUAGAAGGAUCACCUGGUGCCAUAUAUCCAAAUGUUGCCAUUGUCAUGGUUUGUAUCAUUGAAACCUCUUCACGUAAGAGUUUCGCGAUGCCAAAAUCACUCAAAUGCGCAACCAUAUCUUCAUCUAAUAGAACAUUGUUGGGUUUCAAAUCACAGUGAACCACGGGUGUUGCAUUACCUUGGUGGAGAUAUUCCAAUGCAGAUGCAACAUCUAUCAUUAUGUUCAACCUUUGUAGGAUAUCCAAAUAUUGGUUGUUGGAAUACAACCAUUUAUCAAGACUCCCACUAGGCAUGAACUCAAGCACCAACGCUUUGAAAUUAAGAUCAUUAGAGCAACUGCUUAUUACUUUGACUAAAUUUCUGUGACGAGUGUUGCGGAGAACAUCACAUUCAACAUCAAAGCUCUUAAAAGCUCCUUCUAACUCUAACUUGAAGACCUUCACCGAAAUUACCGUCCCAUCCUGGAGAGUCCCUUGGAAUACUGAACCAUAACUUCCAUUACCAAGCAACCUAUUAUCACUGAAUCCAUCAGUAGCUUGACGAAGCUCGUGGUAUGAAAACCGUCUCCACGUUCCUAAAGGUAUCAUGUCUUCUUGAGUUGGCAAUUUGUCUUUCCUCCUGUAUUGCAAGAUAAUGAUUAUCAGAGCCACAAUCAAAAUUGUGGAGGCAAUUGGCAGAGCUACAUAUAUUAUGAGCUUAGUUUUUGCCUUGGAAUUUCUAAGAGAUCUAGUUUUGCAGUUUGGAACAUGAAGUCGAGCUGCACCACACAAGGCUUCAUUCCCCUUAAAUGAUUCGAUUGUGUAGUUUCCAAAUGAUCCUCCAUCAGGAAUUUCUCCUUCAAGUCUAUUAAAAGAGACAUUGAAAUAUUUGAGAUAACGGAGUUUCACUAAGGAUUUGGGAAUCUCUCCAGAUAGAUUAUUUCUUGACAACUCCAAGAAUUCCAAACUCAACAAUUCAUCAAAAGACUCAGGAAUAGAACCCAUGAUUCUAUUAUUGGAUAAGGAAAAAUGAGUGAGGUCCUUGAGAUCUGCAACUCCAGUUGGGAUAUCACUUGAGAACUGAUUGUUCGACAAAUCCAAACUAGUCAAAACUUUCCAUUUUCCAAUGUCAAUUGGCAGUGAACCACUCAGAGAAUUUGAAGACGAGUAUAGGAUGAGGAGAUAGUUAAGCCUUGUCAACGUUGAAGGUAUUGAAGAGGAAAACAUAUUGGAGUCUAGAAAUAGUUGCCUUUAUGAAUUGAGAUCACCUAAGCAAGUAGGUAUUGGCCCAGACAUUUUGUUAUUGGUCAAGAACAAGAAAGCCAAUUUGUUUAGAUGACAUAACUCAGAUGGGAUGGAUCCCUCUAACUUAUUGUCCUUAAGAGAAAGUCAUUGCAACUCUUCCAAUCCUCCAACUGUAGUAGGAAUCUGUCCUAUCAAUUUAUUGCCUCCUAGCUCAAGGUUUAUCAAGUGACUUAAGUUUCCAAUUUCACUGGGGAUGCUACCCCUGAUGUUGCAUGCAGAAGCAGAGAACUCUUCAAGAGAACUUGAGAGAUUUCCUACCACUCUUGGAAGUUCACCACUAAUAAAUGAGUUGAUGUCGAAAAAAAGGUUCUUCAAGACUCUACAGUUUGUCAAAGAAAAGAGAAAGCUCAUUCCUGAGGAAGUUAAAUUAUUACUCGCCAGGUUGAGAAUAUUUAAAUUUCUUAGAUUGCCCAGAUUAUCCGGAAUGGACCCUGAAAAGUAAUUACUAGACAUGUCAAGAAGAGUAAGCUGAGAGGCAUUGGAAAUAUACAUUGGGAUCGAGCGGGCAAGGUGAUUGAAAUCAAGAUACAAUUACUCCAUGUUUGGAAGGAAAAGGCCCAUGUUUGAUGGAAGAUGGCCAGAGAGCUGAUUUGUAUCCAAAGAAAUCAUCCUUAGAGUUGAAAUAUUGAACAGUUGUGGAGGAAUAGAACCAGCAAUAUUGUUAAAUGCUAAAUUCAACCAAUUUAGAUUGUUUAGGUUGCCAAUCUCAUGUGGUAUUAUACCUGCCAUAAAUUUUAUCAAACAAAAAUAUUAGACAAAUAUGGAACAUUUGCUUGUAUUUUGUUCUUCUAAGAACAUAAAAAUAACUCAAUUAUGAUUUUAUUAGAGUUUUGUGUGGCCUCAACUGGGAAAGAAUGGACUUAAAAGAAAAGAAAUAUACUAUUUGCAAUGACACGAAAAAAAAUUAUAACUAUUGUAACAUAAUCAAAAUACAGAAAGCCGUUGAACAAAAUUAAACCUAUCAUUAAAAGUUGGAAAUAAUUGACCUGUAAAAUUGCCAUGGGAACAAUCAAACAGCCUGAGAAGAGUUAAAUUCACAAUUUGUUUAGGAAUUUCACCUGCAAUUAUAAAAUUCACUUGUCAAAUUCAAAAUUCAUCUCUUAGUAAAGAUUAUAAGAUAAUAAAUGCUUAAUAACUUACUUAGCUUUCCAAUUUUAUAUAAUAAAGUCAUUUUAAUUCUCUAUUUAAUUUUUCACCUUUAAACUUGUAAUAUUUGUCAAAUAUACCUCCAAAAUGGAUCAAAAAAUCCAUGUGCAUGUCACGUACUUAGUUUCUUGUUUGUUUAUCUUAUUUCUUCUCUAUCAAAGACCAAUAUUUAUUUUUAUUUGGUCCAAUCAAAAAAUAUUUUAUCAUUUCUGUAUUCGCAAGUCAAUAUAGAUGGAUAUUUCAAAACAUAUAUAUGUCUCUCUUAUUCUCGAUUUUCUCAAGCAAUUUGGUGGAAUACUCGAACGUUCGAUUCUUUUUUUUGGUCUUAACUUCAAUCUUUAUGAAUGAAAACAAAAGAAAAGAGUUUCUCAUUAUGAUCUAGGUUUCAUUUCUAUGGGUUAAAAAAAUUAAAAUAGUUAGUUGAAAGACCCAACAAAAAGUUGGUUAUAGAGGAGUUCAAGGAUAGAAAUAACCAAAACUCAUCUCAGCUACUGUACAAAUAGGUGUCGUAACCAUUUUUUUGUAAAAAGGUCGUUGACUUGGAUUUUGAAAAACGAAAACGAACAUGGGAGUCGCCACCAAUCCUUUUUAUUUAAGUGUGAUCGGAUCACCUUAUAAUUUAAUCAUUUUAAUAAAAGUUUUAAAUUUACUAAAACGAUAAUUUUUUUGUCUACAAAAUCCAAGAAAAGGGUUCGGGAGUUGGUUAUGCAUGAGGAAGGAUUAGCACCCUCGAUGCACCCAAAAUUGGCAUCUAGUUGAUUAAUUAGUUUCUUAGUGUCGAAGAUUGAAAACUUUAAAGAGAUUUAAAAUUUGAUCCUUUAUUGAAAUGCUAAAAAAAAUUGAGGAAAAGGGCAUACUUUACGUUAAUCGAGAAAAGAGAAUUACGUCCCGUAAGUUAAGACACAAUACCACGUACUUUUGAGAAUAAGCUCCCUUUUGUUUUUUUUUCUCAAAACAUGUUUAUUUUAGUUUUUAAAAGGAUAUUCGGUUAUUUGGGUUCAACGCGAGAAGAAUCAAGACCCAGUAAGUUAGGAUACGACUUCUCGGAUUUCCAAUUACAGAAUAUUGCCUUUAUUAUUUUUUAGAAAAGAACCUCAUCUUGAGAAAAAUAACAUGUCAUAUCCAAUGCGUUAGGACACAACAUAUCGAAUUCUCGAGAUAAGCUUUAAUUUUGGAAUUUCUACGUUUAAAUUGAAAAAGGGAUAUUCAGUUACUUACAUUCAACAAGGAGAAUUGAAGCCCAGUAAGUUAGGGCACAAUCCCCUCGAGAAUCUUGGAUACCGAGUAGUUGAAAACUUAUGGAUAAAAUGAUUUCAAUAUUUUUCUAAACGGAUGUAACGCGAUUGAAUGGUAACGUAUUACGCAAAAGUAUAAUUUAAAAAUAAAAUACACGUUAACGAAUCAUGAAUAAUAAAUAAACACAAACUAACAUAGCGAUAAUAAUCUCAAUCAUACAUGUCGAAUAUCGAUAUCAAUAUUUGAAAUAAAAACGAGCUAAUUAAUGCAAACACAAGCCAAGUGUAUAAGUUUUGAAAUGACUAGAAAAAUAAAUGGUAUGAAAAGAAUGGAAAUUGUGAAUCAAUAAAGCAUAUACAUAGAAAUUUUAACAUAAGUAUAUACAAAAAAUUUGAAAUAGAUUAAAAUGGAGUUUAAAAUAAAAUAAAAUAAAAUAAAUAGUAUGCGAAGUAAAUUUUAGAGUAAAGGUUCAAAAUAUUAAUAUAUACAUAUAUUAAAAUUUUAAAAAAAGUAAUACGUAUGGGGUGGAUAUAAUAUGUGGUACUAUACGUAAAAGUUGGAGUUAGUGAAGUAUAUUAAAAUAGGAUUUUUUUUUUUUUAGAACUACAUAUUUAUAGAUAAAAAAUAGAUGUUAGCAAAUAUAUAUACAACUAUAGUAAAGAAAGGACUGAAAAUUAAUAUGUAAUUUGAUAAAAACUAUGUAUCAUAAAAUAAAACCAUUUUAAAGAAAUAAAUCCCAUUGGAUUGAUAUAAUAAUAUGAAAUAAUGAUAAUGAUAUAAAACGUUAAAAAAUAUAAAUACGUAAUAAUAAAAGAGUAAAUAAAUAUAAAUAAGUGUAAUAAUAGUACCAAUAAUAAUAAUAGUAACAGUACUAAUAACAAUAAUAAUAUAAAUAAAAUAAUAUUAAACAGUUAAUUUUACAAGAAAAAAUAAAAAUAGAUAAAAUAGCACUGACAACAGAGAAGGACUAAAUUAAGCUUGAAAAUAAAAGUUUGAGGCAAAUCUAGAAAUAAAUGAAAAAGGGAUCGCGCUGAACACGCGAACAACGGGGAAAGACCAAAAUGGGAAAUAAUCCCAGCUUUCCAGAAUGUUGAGUUUUGCGCGGACCAGAUUGGAACAAAAAAUAAAAUGCAUGGCCAUAUUUAAAGGGAACAAAAGAUCGAUUUGAACUCAAUAUGGAAUACAGGGGACCAUUUGCGUAAAUUUCCCACGCGUUAUAAAACACGCAGAUCUGGGACCGGAUCGGGGCGGGUCGCGUGCUGGUCGUGCAAAACAGAGCCGUUUCGGCACUGAAACUCCCAGGUGAAACGACGUCAUUUCAAUAGCACUAUAAAAGUUAAAAUUUUCCAAAAUAGACUCAUUUUCUCCUUGUUUCAGAAAAAAAACAUUGGGGGUUCUCUCAAGUCCCCUUUCUCCAGCCCUAAACUUCGGCCAAAGUCUGGCCACUAUCCACCGUACCGGUCGUCGAUCGUCGGCAUUAGCGCCGCCGAGCACGGUGGUCGGCGAGGGAAAAAAGUUUUUUUUAAUUUUUCAGCCCCCUAGACUCAAAUCCAACCACAAAACACCCAAAAACGUAAUAAAAAGGGGCUAACAACCCUCUCAACGACGAGUUUUGCCACUAAAGAAGGGACCUUCUGACGAUCAAGGCGCGGCGUAACUCCGGUGAGUCCCUUCCCCUUUUUCUUAUUUUCGAACAACAAAAAGAAAGAAAGAAUAAAAAAAAGGAUUGAAAUCGAAAAUAAUCACCUUAAAAAAAACUUUCUAUUUUUGAUUAAUUUUUAUAUAUUUCGAAUCAAUGUGUGCGUAAAAAAUUGUUACAACGAGAAUACUUUGGCUUUUAUAGCCAAAUUACAACCGUUUGAUCUUCAUCUUUUUGUUUUUUUUUUGCUCUUUAUUUUGCUGGAUUCUUCUGUUGCUUUGCAUUGAUUUCUCUCUGCAGGUGUCAGAGGCGUGCGAUGCGCGUGGAGGUGACGGGCGGCGAUGGCAGUGUCAGAGGUGGCAGAGGCUUGUGGCGCACCUAGGGUUUCUGCCUCUCCCUCUUGCUGAAAAUUAGUUUAGGUUUUGGGCCAUUUGGGCUUUAAGGUUUUGAUUUAUUUGGGCUGUAAUUGGGUUUGUAAUUUAGCUGAUAAUUUGGAUUGUUUGGAUUAUUUAUUUUUUUGGUUUUAUUUCUGUUUAUUUUUGGGUUUUGGGCUUGGGAAAAAAUUGAUUAUUACAGAGAUAUUGAAGAUGGUAGAGGGAAUUGAACCUGAAAUCUGGUUUUCAAACAAAUACAAGACCUCUAGCUUUGACAAAUAGGCUAAAGAGAAUGGAAUAACACCUUUGAAGUUGUUUUGGUACAAAAACAACCUUCGAAGUUCAGUUAAUGAUCCCAACCAUGAUGGGAUUUCUCCACUGAAGGUGUUGUUACCAAAGCUUAAAUAUUUCAGCCGUCGCAAAUUGGAUAACUAGACAGGUAAUCUGCCAUAGAAACUAUUGUUUGUGACAUAAAGAAGAGAAAGGAAUGACAAAUUUCCCAAGUGAGGUUGAAGGGUGCCUACGAGUCCCAACUGUUAGAGUUAUUAAUAAAAUAGUCAAAGCUAUUACUAAGUCAGUUAGCAGUUAAGCUAUUACUAAGUCAGUUAGCAGUUAGAAAGUUAGCUGUAAUGUCAGUAAGCUUUAGCUUACGUGCUUGUAUAAAUACAUGUGAGGUCUGCAUGUUUUAAGUGACCUAAUGAAAAUAAUUCUCUUCUUGAUUCUUUCAUUUUCUUAGUUUCUUGUAGUUUUACAUGGUAUCAGAUGUAAGUUUUUCCUGGCAUUUUUUCUUCUUCUUUCGUUAAUCCGCUGUGCAGUCUGCAUAGUCAAUAUGGCCUUCAAUUCUUCUGACGGAGCUAUUGACAGUCGGUUCUUUUCUACAAAGAGGAUUAGUGUUCUUCUUGACGAUAAUACCUAUUUACUGUGGCGUCAGCAGGUUCUCUUGGCUAUAAAAGCGCAUAAACUUCAAAACUUCUUGGACCCUCAACAAGAUCCUCCCACUCAGUUUCUUGCCGAUGGUAGUGGUGGUUUUCAUGAGAAUCCAGAGUUUGCACAUUUUGAGCAACAAGAUAGUGCAUUUGCAUUGUGGUUGUUAUCUUCUAUUAGCCAAACGGUGCUUCCUCAUCUUAUUGGUAUGGAUACCAGUGCCAAGAUUUGGAAUGCAGUUGUUACCUUGUUUGGUAGUAAAACCACCUCUAAACUGAUGUCCUAUCGAAGAGCUUUGCAUUCUCAACGCAAUGGCAACUUGAGCAUGAAUGAGUUCUUGAUGAAUGUUAAAAGUUGCUGUGAUAAUCUCGCUAGUUGCGGUGAAGUCAUCAGCGAGCAUGAGCAUGUUACUGCAAUACUCAAUGGUCUUCUUCCAGAAUAUAAACCUGUCAUCACCAUUGUUACAGCAAGUCAAGUGCCCUACACAGUACAAGGUGUAACUUCCAUGCUUCUCGAUACUGAAGCUCGACAGCAGGUGAUGAGUUGUAAAGUCUCCAGUUCUGCAAACUUGGUGUCUUACCAGUCUUCUGAGUCUUCCGAUACUACUGGUUCAAUACCUGCUUAUCGACAGUCAUCUGCAACUCGGGGACAUCGGUGAGGGCGUUCGUCCAACACGAGGAUUCAAUGUCAGCUAUGUGGGAAAGCUGGUCACCUUGUUGACCGUUGUUACUAUCGGCUCACUUGUCCAUACACGUCAGCUUAAAAUGGACUUGUUGAAUUAAAACACCGACAGGUAGUUGAAACCGGCCUGUCCAUGUUAGCUCAUCCAACCAUGCCUUUGAUGUUCUGGAAUGAAGCCUUUUGCAGUGCCGUGUUUCUGAUUAACAGAUUACCCUCCCAUCCCUUGGGUGAUAUAUCACUAUAUGAAAAAUUGUUUAAAACAAAACCAAAUUACUCUUUCCUUCGAACUUUUGGCUGCUUAUGCUUUCCUAAUCUUAUACCUUUCAAUAAAACAAAGCUACAGUUUAUAUCUAUUCCUUGUGUCUUUCUCGGCUAUUACCCAUUGUACAAAGGUUACAAAUGUAGAGACCCUAUUGGUAGAAUCUAUAUUACUCGUCAUGUCACAUUUAAUGAGGCCAUUUUUUCCUACAAAAUGCAUAGUUCAACAGUCAUCCCAUCUACUGCUGUUCCACAGGUCAAUACAAAACUUCUUGUCCUACAUCCUAGCACUGUAUCUUGUAAUAGCAUCCCACCUAAUGUUAUUUCUACUAAUCCCUCUUCAACACCCACUUCACAGUCCACCUAUCCUAUUUUAGCUCAAACAUCACCUGCUUCACCUACGUUAUCUAGAUCCUCUUCACCUCCACAAUUGCAACCCUCCCAAUCCGCCCCGAUCAACACUCAUUCCAUGAUCACCAGGAGUAAGGUUGGAAUUUUCAAGCCAAAGGCUUAUUUGAGCACGACAUCUUCUUCUCCUAGUGAUGUUUCCUCUAACAUACAUGCAACGAUGGCGUUUGAAUGCUGGCGAAUAGCGGUUCACAGUGAAUUGCAAGCUUUGGUUCGUAAUAAUAUGUGGACUCUUUGUUCUCUCCUUGAAAAUCGACGAGCAGUCGGGUACAAGUGGCUCUUUAAAAUUAAAAGGAAGGCUGAUGGGUCCAUCGACAGGUACAAAGCAAGAUUAGUUGCGAAAGGGUUCUCUCAACAUACAGGGCUUGACUUUCAUGACACAUUUAGUCCACUAGUUCGAGCUUCCACCAUUCGCACUAUUCUUGCGUUAGCUGUUAUGUAGGGGUAGGCAAUGCGUCAAGUUGACAUCAAUAACACCUUUCGUAAUGGUGAGCUUACUGAAGAAAUAUACAUAGAGCAACCCUCUGGUUUUGAAGUCUCAGGUGCCUCUGGUCAGCCACUUGUGUGCAAAUUGAAUACAGCACUCUAUGGCUUGCGACAAGCCCCUCGUGCAUUCGAGUGUCUACAGGGAAUUACCUGCUUCUCAUGGUUUAUUUCGAUGACAUUGUGCUCACUGGUAGUAGUGUUCAAGAUAUAGAUGCUGUGGUACAUCAUCUUCAUAACAAAUUUGCUCUUAAGGAUAUGGGAACUCUCAGUUUUUUUUUGAGAAUUGAUGUCCAACGUACGUCCCAAGGAAUGUUGCUCAAUCAGAAGAAGUAUGUCACUGAGCUUCUUCUCAAAACUGGUAUGAUCGGGGCAGCUUCUACACCGACACCCAUAGUAAGCACUCCCAAGUUAGUUGCUUCAGAUGGCAGUCCUCUUUUUCCAAAUGUUCAUUUGUACCGAAGUACAAUGGGUAUGCUUCAAUAUAUAUGUAUUACACAACCCGAUUUGUUGUUCUGUGUAAACAAGCUUAGCCAGUACAUAAGUUCCCCCAGUGUCACUCAUUGGAAAGCUGUCAAACGUGUUUUAAGGUAUCUGGCUGGCACCAUAGAUCAUGGUUUGUAUUUUGCAGCAGGUCCAUUAGAGCUGGUGUGUUACUCUGAUACUGACUGGGCCUCAUCCAUUGAAGAUCGACGGUCUACGUCGGGAUAUGUGGUAUACUUAGGAUCAAAUCCUGUUACCUGGUGCUCAAAGAAACAGUCGGUGGUAUCCAGGUCGUCUGCUGAAGCAGAGUAUCGUAGCCUAGCCAACUGUGUGUCUGAACUGCUGUGGAUUCAACAGCUGCUAAAUGAAGUUGGAGUACCUCUGUCUAAGUUGCCAAUCGUCUGGUGCGACAAUUCUUCUGCAGUUUCAGUAGCUGAAAAUCCCACGCAUCAUUCUAGGAUGAAGCAUGUGGAAAUAAAUCACCAUUUUGUUCGUGAGAAAGUUCUUGCUGGAAUCCUACAGGUCAAUUUUGUUCCCUCUGAUCAACAGAUUACAGAUGUCCUCACUAAACCAGUUACUCCUAAGCUGUUUUCAUCAUUUCGACAUGCUCUUCGAGUCUUGACGUUAAGUGAACUUAAUGAUAAAAAAUCAAACAUGCUAAGGGAAUGUUAGAGUUAUUAAUAAAAUAGUCAAAGCUGUUACUAAGUCAGUUAGCAGUUAAGCUGUUACUAAGUCAGUUAGCAGUUAGAAAGUUAGCUACAACGUUAGUCAGCUUUAGCUUACGUGCUUGUAUAAAUACAUGUGAGGUCUGCAUGUUUUAAGUGAUCUAAUGAAAACAAUUCUCUUCUUGAUUCUUUCAUUUUCUUAGUUUCUUGUAGUUUUACACCAACCCAGUAAGGUCUAGAGCUGUGACUCUACGGUGCUUGGAUCCACAACUUACACCAAACCAAUAGCAAACGGGGGAAGAGGCUGACCAAUUAGUUGUCAAGACAUUUUCAGGAUCAUGAUGAAUAACAUGAUCUCUUAGUGCUAGAAGAGUUGAUUGAUCUGUAAGUAUGGUGGUUAAUUUCAUAGAGAAAUUAGUAGGCAUAGAAAAAUGGAAGAUGAUAAGAAGAGCUAAGUUGAGGAAAGUAUUCCCCAUUUGAUUUUAGGUGCUUAUCGAGCUACCAACAAAGCCAGAACUGAAUGUUGUAAUUUAUUCUUGCAACAUUGCAAAUUCUUUGAAUGUGAUUUAGGUAGAAACUAUAGAAUUUAUUAUAGGAUGUGAUAAUAUGAUUAUGUAAUUAUUGCUUAAAAAACUUCUUUCUAAAUUUCAUAUAGUUGCACUAGUGCUAAGAUUACAACUUUUUUUAUUAAAUUAUUCUAGAUUAGUGAAAUUAUUAGACAACGUGAUAAUUUCUUAUCAGAUAGGAAGUGACAAGUGAGCAGUCACUUCCAAGAAUAUAAACAACUCAAUCACUCUCUUAACUAACGGUAUCAAACACUAAUUGUUGUUUCUAUUGACUAAAAGAAUUUUCAACCAAAAAUAUGUUGACUUAAAAUUAAAAUAAACCAUCAAAUUUCUUAGAACAUUCAAUGAGGUUGAAAGAUUUUAUUUUUAAUUUUUGUUAUUUUGGAAUAAUUUUUUUUCUUUAUAAUUUUACCAAAAAAUAUAUUUUAACUUUUUAUUUUUUUAGUCAUUAAAUUUACAUUGUUUGUCAAAUUAUCCUAAAAUAAAUGGAAAAAAUCAACGUUUGUUAACUUUGCUAAUGUGCCACAUGUGGAUUGUCACGGGAAUGUCAAGUUAGAAAUUAAUUCAUUUUUAAAAAUUUAAAAAUUUAGAAAAUAUUAUUAAUUUAUUUUUAAAAUACUAAAUUUAUUUAAAAAGUAUAAAAGUAUAAAAUUAUAAAAAUAUUUUUAUUUUUAAAAAUUAAUUAAUUGCUAACGUUGUACAUUAACUUUUUCAUUCAUUUUAGAUGAUUUGAAAAACAAUACGAGUUUAAAAGUUAAAAGUGAUAGAAAAUUAAAUAAAAGGCUAAAAUGAAUUUUUUUUAAAAAUAAAUUUGAAACGCCAAAAAAUUCAUCAUCCUUUUUUUUUUUGUCCUAUCAAUACACUUAACAACAUGCCACCAUAAUUUUGAUUUUCUCUGGUAAGUCUGUAUGCCAUAGGUUUUUUAGGAAAGCUUUGUUUGUAAUUUCAUUAGUAUCAUCAUCUAGACUAGAGGUCUCUUUCAGUAGCCUUCUGUAACCACUCCUCACAAUAUACUCUCUUGUUACCCCCCCCCCAUUCCAUACCCUAUUUUCCUCUCGUGGAUGUCUCGCUAGAGGAAUUUGCAAGAUAGUUUGUACCUCUUCCCCUGUAAACAAAGAGGUAACAAGAUCCUCCUUCCUUUGUCUCAGAUUAGAUUCACUCAGCUCUUCCACCUUAAUUAUAUUGUGAUCUCAAACUAACUCCUGGAUUUUUUUAUCCUUCAACCCAAGGAUCCGAGCAUCCUGCCACUCUCCAAGCCAUUCCAUCCUAUAGUAGUUGCUUCAUCGCCCAUACGCUCCUCCAAGUAUAAAAAGGAUAAUUACCUAACUUUGGUUGCAUGAACUCGACAUUGGGGAAUAUUUAGCUUUUAAAGUUCUAGCUAAUAACGAAUCAUGAUAAUUCAUUAAACUCCAACCCUGAUUUGCAAAGGCUAAAUUCAUCUUGGAUAAAUUUUUAAACCUUAUUCCCCCAUCUUCAUUUAGUUCACACAAUUUAUUCCAAUUGCAUCAAUGAAUCCCCCUCUUUCCUUUUUGUUUCUGCCACCAAAAUCGAUUUAUAGCCUGUUCCAUGUCAUGACAUAAAGAAUUCAGUGGUAAAAAACAAAACGUAGCAUAAGUCGGAAUUGAUUGCAGUACACUCUUAAUAAGAAAACUUCCUUCCCUCCCUAGGGAAGUAUUUUAACACACCAAUUAUUUGUUCGUUUUGCAAUCCUAUCUUUCAAGCCCUGAAAGGUCCUUCAUUUUUACCUCCCCACAACAUUCAAGAGCCCCAAAGACUUCUCUGGAUCCAUCAAACAACGCACCCUUAAUAAUUGAGCUACUGAGUCCUUUGCAUAUGUAGAAUUAUUUGAACUAAAAAAUAGUGUUGAUUUCUCUAAGUUGAUACUUUGCCCUGAAUAUUCUUCAUACUUCUGCAAAAUCCUUCUAAUCUCAUUUGCUCGCUUUUCUGUAUCUUCACCAAACAAGAUAUAGUCAUUCGCAAAAAGCAAAUGAGUAAUCUCAAGACCCUUUCUACAUACCUUGACACCUUUUGUUCUCCCCUCCCCUUUCACCAUCCUCAUCAAUGUCAAUAACCCCUCUCCACAAAUCAAGAAUAGAUAAGGACUUAGCGGAUCCUCUUGUCUAAGGUUAUAAUCUCCCUAACUUGGACUAGACGUUAUGACCAUAUUAAAAAGGCUACAUUAGACUCCAAAAUGACUAAACAGACUAUUUGACCUUUGAAAAUCCUUAACACACAACUAAUUUUAAAGAAAAUUGGUAUUGGUGAUCCAAGUUAGAUAAAACAUUUGUUUAUUGGGUUUUCUUACAAAAAAAAAAACCCCUAAUUUUUUUUCUAACUUUAGAAAAGUCAUCACCCUUGAAAUUAAUUAACAUUAAAACAUUCAUUCAAUUAGGCCAUCUUUACUUAGAUUCUAUUUUAUUAUUGUUGUCAUGUUUUAGAAAACUAAUUGUUUUGAUAUUUUGUUUCACAAAAAUCAAAUCUUUAAAAUGUAGUGGAAAACUAUUAUUCAUAUCAUUUUGGAAAUCCAACUGCCUUAUUGAUUUGUUUUUCAAAGCAGUUAAUUUGUAACACAAUGAAAAAUUGGUGAUCAAUGUCAAUUUUACUUAAGCCAUAUAUCAUGCAAUUAUUAGUUAUUAAACUUCAGUAAUAUAUGCAUGCACAAAAUCCCCCUCCCCCAAAAAAUAAUCAAGCCAUAGACUAGAGGAGUUCAUGGGCCGGGCCGGGCUCAAAAAAAUUUUGGCCUGCCCUAAAAUAUGCGCUUAAAAUUUUAUCCAGGUCCAACCUGAGAAAAAAUUUUUAAGCUCGGCCCGACUCAUUUUUUAAUAAACACCAAAAAAUUAUUUAAAAAAUAAAAAGUAUUUUAAAAUUUUUAAAAAUAUAUAUAUAUUUACUAUAUUCGGGCCAGGCCGGGCCCGAGCUUGGGCCAAAAAAGUGGUACCCAAGGCCCAAUCUAUUUUCUAAACCAGCCUUCUUUUUUGUCUAAACUCAUAUUUUAGAUCUAUAUAUUUACUUGAAUUCUCUCAUAUUUCGGGCGGACCGUCCUGACAGGAGCACCUCUAGCUUUUAAGGACUUGAUUUUCAAUUUUUAACUUUUCCUUUGUUUUUCUUUCGUUCUGUUUAUAUGUCAGGUCUCCAAGAUGCCCUCCUUAUUUGGCUCUAACCCUUCAUCCUCCGAUCCUGCAAACGACACCGUGCCUUCCCCUUCCUCUUCUUGUUCCUCCUCCUCCUCUCCGGACAUGUGGAAUUACUUUUUUAUCCCUAUCCUCCUCCACCUCACCAAAAAACUCUCCCUUGCUAAAGCUCAAACCUCAACUGGACUCCUCCUCCCGAGUCAACGCGGCGACGGCUCGGCCGAUGAUUCACUAAUUUCCUUUUCGAGGUGCGCGAAUGCUGACCCGAAGCUAUAUUAUCGGCCUGUGAUUGGGAUACUGAGUCAUCCAGUAGGCGGCGCGUCGGGGGGCCGUUCCUACAUAGUUGCGUCGUACGUGAAGUUCGUGGAAGCGGCCGGGGGUCGAGUCAUUCCUCUUAUUUAUAAUGAGCCGGAAGAGAUUCUUUUCCAGGUAAUAAUCAUGAUGUUCAUUUCCUUGUAAAAAUGCUGAAUUUUGACUUUGAAUAUUUGCGUGUGUGUGUGUUUUUUAAAAUUCGGUUAAAAAAAUGGACAGUCGUGAAUCUAUUUUUGGAAAGAAAAAUUCCUGAUUUAGAAUCUUAAAUAACUUUGAUACUGUGAAAUUUGAUACUGUGAAUUUUUAAUAUUUUGUUUCAUAAUAAGUUUUUCCUCUUAAUUAAAUGUAAGAAUAUAAAAAUGCUUGCUAUUCCCGCAUUUCAAAAAAUUCUCUCGUUUUUGUUAAAUCAUAAAAUUAGGAUACUACCAGUUGUUGCAAUCUCCUUACUGUCUAUGCAAAGGAUAGAAUUUUAGCUUAGUUGCAUUUUUGUGGAUAUUCUUUAGUACCUUAAUAUUUGAAAUGAUAUUUUGAUUGCAUAUGCAUAUGCAUAUGCCUUUCAUUCCCUUGCUUUUGAUUUGCUACGAUUAGACAGUGGUAUGAUGCUAUGAUACCCGCUUUAGCAUAGUUGUUGCCUUCCUUUGCCAAAAGCCUGUCACCUUGCUAAGUGUCUUCUCCACCUUCGUAUUGCAGCAAGCUUGAAUUGGUUAAUGGCGUGCUUUUACCAGGAGGGCGGUCUAAAUCCGGCUUGUACUAUGAUAUUGCUGAAAAGAUUUUCAAGGUAAUUUAUAUUUAUAUUUGUUUGUUUCUUGAUUUUAUGAAAUUCACAUGAAACUAACAAAAAAAUAUAGGCAAGAGAUUGGUGUUAGCAUGCAAGUCUUUUGUUUCUUCAACUUAUGCUUCAAAUGUUUUUAUAUUUCCAAUUUUCCAUGGGUUGCAUAGAAAACUUUUAUUCUUUGUGUUUUUGCAGAAAGUUAUAGAGAAGAACGAUAGGGGAGAUCAUUUCCCGUUAUAUGCCAUUUGUUUGGGUUUUGAACUUUUAACAAUGAUUAUCAGCGAAGUAAGCACCUCACAUUAUCUGACAUUUUUUUCUGUUUCCUUUUUAAAAAAAAAAAAGAAAAAAGAAAAACAAUUUAAUUUUCUUCAGGCUUUUAUCUGUUUAUAUGGCUUUUUUAUAUGGCUUUUCUUGAUGUAGUUAACUUUUGUUCACUAUUGUGGACUUUCUCUACUAAUAUUCAUUCAUGCGUCAUGGCAGAAUGACCAAAUGAGACGUUUUUAAAUUUCUUGAUUUAAGGAACUCUAUAAUUUCCAUUUGUGAGAGAUUACUGUUGGCCUAACAUGGCUAAAUAAUGGCAAUUCCUGCAUGUUCACCGUAUUGUGGAAACUGCAGUAUUUGAUCCGUUAGGAUGGCAUGGUUACCUUGUUUGUGGCAUCCAAACCAAUGGUUGACCUUGCUGGAAAACAUUUUCUAAUGGAUUUGAAAUCUCAAAAUCUUAUCUACUGAUUCUUUAGAAAUCACUUCAUUUCAAGUUAGCUUAAAUCUACCCAUGUCUACUGUAUCCAAUAACUUAUUUUACUUAAGGAUUUUCUUUGUUGAAUUAUAAAAAAUUUAACAAAAUCUUAUUUUAAUGAAUACAUACUUUUUUUCUUCUUGCUGAUAGGACAAAAAAAUUCUUGAACGAUUUUCUGCAUUAAAUCGGGCCUCUAGUCUCCAAUUUGUGGAAAAUGUUAAUAUUGAAGGAACAGUAUUUCAAAGGUGCAAAACCUUUAUUACCUUUCAUGGUACAUUAGUAUUGUUUGAUUUUGGUGCCAUUUUUCUAUUGAUGCUUUUGCUCAGAUUUUACAUUAUUAUCCUUGGAGGAUUAAGUAUUUUAUAUUUCAAAUAUGUUUUGCUGGUCAGGCAUUAGAUGAUUUAUAGGAAAGUUCACAACAGUUAACGUGUUGAAGUAACGAAAGCCUCUCUGUAUGCGCUGCUAAUAAGGGAAAGAGUCUUGUAAUACAUAUGCAGUUUAUGUUCUGUCAGACUGAUCUCUCCAUUUCACUAUUUGAAUAAGAACUUUGUUGCAUGAGGAUAGAGAAAAGGAAGUCAACUAGUUGCUUGAGAUUUCCUGAAGUUGUUCUUCAGGUUAAAUGAUGACCAUAGCAUAAUAUUUGGUGUGAAACUUUGGUACUAUGGGCUUACCACUUUUCUUGUUAGCUUUUGCUUGCACCAUAGGCACAUGGCAAUGAAUUGGUAUGGUAACCAGACUUCACAUGAAGCUUUUAGUGUAGACCAUAAACAAGUUUAACACUUAAAUAGGAAGAGAAUAGAUGUGUGCUUGUUUAGCUUCCUGAUUAGUGUCAUUGAAUUUGUUCUUAGUUGAUUGAGGAGAGUGUAAUAAACCCUUCUCUGAACUUCAGAGUUACACCUUUGAUAAAUAGCAAUAGCUGAGCACAGCAAUAAACAUUAAUUGCCUGUUUGCUUUAUCAUCAAAAGGCUUUAUGAAUGUUGUAGGUAUAUCCAUUUAUAAUAUCUAACCUUUCAAUCAGUAGUAAAAAUGAGGUGAUUUUAAGCUGAUAAUUUGUAGUUUGGUCCAAGUUAGUAGCAGAACAAUAUUGUCAUAAACUUUCUACUUAGCCCAACCUGGUUGACAUCUUUUAUUCGAGAGCUUUUCUUAUAGUCAGUGUAAUUAUAUGUUCAUUGCUCCAGUCAGUGCCACACUUCUACAGCUUGAUAGUUAUUCCCUUUUGCCAGAUUUCCUCCAAAUUUGCUGCAAAAGCUUGGCACAGAUCUCCUAGUCAUGCAAAACCAUUGUGUGAGUUUCAUGGCUCCUUUCAUUUAUAUUUUAAAUUAGUUGCACGUGUAAGUGUUUGUCUUUUGCUUCUCUAGUAUGUCCGCUUUGGAUCAUUCCUAAAACCUUGAACUGAUAAUGAAGGAUCUAAAUUCUGAUUUAUUCAAUGUUUUCAUUUUUUUUAUCAAUUUUUGUUGCCACUGGUUGCCUGUUUCCUCUAUUUGGCACUUUUAACAGCUUCCUACUUGUUAGCUUGUGCAGAUUAUUAUUUGAGAGAUGAAAUGUAUUUUAAUGCACAGUAAAUUGUUCCUGCGUUCUGUUCUCCUAAUAUGUAAUUUGAUUUCCUUGAACCUCAUUCUUGGUCUCUAAAAGCCUAACUUAGAAGAAAACUCAACAGGCAAGAUGUCGUGCUAAGAGUAGAGACCUGUCAAAGAAGAAAAAUGCUAAUAUUUCUUCAGAGUUAAGGAUAAUAUAUCCCUAUUCAAAAGUUAUCUUUCUUUCAUGUGCGUAUUAAGAGAAUCCUUGCCGCCCUCCUUUGUGGCACAUUGUCUGUGUUAUGUUUCUAUGUACAAGCUAAUUAGCAUUGCCUAAAAUCAAUGUCUAAUUGUAACAGUGGGGCAUUUCACCAGAGAAGCUUCAAAAUACUCCAAAUCUGUCCAGAUUCUUCAAGAUCUUAACAACAAGCACAGAUAAAAAUAACAAGGUUCUGAAUCUUACCAUCCCUAUGCCAUAGGAAGUGUCUUAACUUGAUUUAUCUCAUUACAUUUUAUGGCUGCUGUAAAUGUCCUUAUUUCUAUUUAAGUGUUAAUAACAGGUAUAUGUCUCCACUGCACAAGCACAUCGCUAUCCUGUCACUGCCUUCCAGUGGCAUCCAGAGGUACCUCUUUUAGUGCUUUCUGAUCAUCGUCAUGUUUAUGCCUCAGUACAGUUUGGCAUGGCAAUUUUAAUUUUUCUUGUUAAAUAAUAAUCAUAUCAAUGACCACUACAAGGAAUUGGUGUCCUUUUUUUCCCUAUUAACUUCUUUGUGUAUCUCUGCUUCUGUUUCUCUUACUCCUUUUAAUUUUGUUUGCAAAACUGUAGUGUUAUUCUAUGAUCCACUAAUACACUCCAUUUCAUUAUGAAUAGUCUGACCAUAUAUUUUGCAGAAAAAUGCUUUUGAAUCGGGCUUGUCUAUGAUUCCACACUCAGACGACGCCAUUGAAGUGACACAACAUGUUGCAAACUUUUUCAUCAGGUUAGGAAUGUUAAGUAAGGAAGUUAUUAAUAGUUCUCUAUAUUCUUACAAUUUAGUCAACAACAAACUGAGCGAAUGUUAUAUUCGAGUGAGACACAAUCUUGCUCUUCAGCAUAUUAUUUGGGUUUUGGGCAGCUGUUCCUAUGUGGAUAUGCUUUGCUUCGUCCUAGAGCAUAUGUAAGGAAGAAAUGUUUAAAGGAACUUAGAUAAAUUUUAGGAUAUAAACAAUAUAAGAAUAUAAAUAGUUUAGCAUGAAAGGAGAAGGAAAGGAAAUAGGCAAAAUUCAUUUUCAGCAUGCUAUACUACAAGUAGUUUUUCUGGCUGAGAAUGAAAUGCCCGUGGUUUUAUGAAUAUAAGAAAGAGGAAAGGAAAGAAAAUGCGUAUUUCUAAUUAUGUGACAGACUAGAGGUGAGGUAUUUGUGUUCGCGGCAUAAGAAUUUGAGUUCAAACCCUAACAUUGUUUCGCCCUACCAAAUUAUAAAAAAUAAAUACCAUCUCUUUCCUUCGUCUGUUUGGAAGAUGAGGUAAUUUAACUUUUCUUUUUUCUGGUACAGAGAGGCUAGGAGAUCACUGAAUAGGCCAGCUGCUCAAAAAGUGCGUGACAGCCUUAUUUAUAAUUACAGGCCCAAGUAUUAUGGGAAAGCUGGGUAAGCUGAUAUCAAUCCUUUUGAGUUUUGACACUAUUAGGACACCAUCCUCUUGAAUGUAAGCUGAUUGACAUGGUUGUGAAUUUGAAUGCUGUAGGAAGGGUUUCGAUCAGGUCUACAUCUUUACACAACGUCAAGCUCGAAAUUGAUAGAGUUGCUGCCGUGUACAUAGUUAAAGAUGUAUGUGGUUGGAUGUAUGUAUAUUGUUGACGCUGUAUUUGCAUUGUGAUUUGAAUCUGAUUGCUCUCUUCAUUUAUAUAAGCUACGGACUGGAUGCUUGCCAAUGAGGUGUAUGAGUAGUUAUUGUUGAUGAACAAAGUUUGCAAUGCUUAUUCUUAUUAGCUCAAAUUCUAAAAAUGAUAAUGAUUAAAUUAUAAUCUGUUACUUGUGUUAUAAAUAAGCUUGAAUACUUUACCAUAGAAAUAGGGUUUAAGCUUAAAAAUACAUUCUUUUUGUGUGAGAUAAAUAUAAAAAGAACUGGAUUUGUAUUUGAUGCGGUUUAUGACAUGCUAUUGAAAAUAAGUGUGAAUUACAUAAAUGUCAAUUGACUAUUAUAAUUUUUGUUAGAUUAUUCCAAUUUAAAAAGUUUCAAAAUAAUUAAAUUUCAUUUAAUUUAUUAAAUUUAUUAUAUCCAAAACUGUUAUAAAUUAGUAACAGUCGAAUGGUGUGUUGUUAACUUAAUGAUAUGUUUUUUUAACCCAUUAACUUUUUUUCACAUUAUUUCCAUGUCAUAUUAUAAUUUAAAAAAAAAACUAAUUUAAACUCCAAAAUUCCAAUAUGACAUGGAAAUGUGGAAUAAAAUUAAUGAUUAAAAAGACAUAUCGUUAACAGCCACGUCAGCAGAUUAUUAGUAAUUUAGCAGUUUUGAACUUAAAAAAAAAUGAUUUUGAUAGUCUGAUAAUCAUUUUAUAAUUUUUAAAAAUCAAAUAAUUUAAAUAAAAAAUAUAUAUAUAUAAUAAUCGGAUAGCCAUUUAUUAUGUAGUUUGCCAAAGUAUUUUAUCAAUUGGAAGAUGAAGCAGUAAACCAAUAAAUAUGUUGAAUAGUCUCCAAUUGAACCAUUUAAGAUAUAAAUCCCAAUAAGCUCAAUUAAUGGCUCUAAUCAACUUUACAAGAAAUAGUUCUUGACAAUUUGAAGGGUGAAUAAUGAAUUUCCAGAACUCUUUGAAGAAAAUCGAGAAGAAAAUUACUUUUAAGAAUCAGAAGAAAAAAAUCUUACACAAAAAAACUAACUCUAAACACCUAAAGUACAUCUAAAUAAAACUCUAAUUAAUCUAAAUAGGGGUGAAGCCAUAAAUUUUUUAGGGAGCCAAAAUUAAAUUGUAAUUUCUACAAUAGUAAAAAUGUAAUUUCACCAUUUUAAUAACUUAUAUCUUUAUAAUUUUUAAAGGGUUAAAUCAAAUUUUUAUUAUUUUUAGGGGUCAUAAAGUGUAAUUUUACAUUUAUUAAUUUAAAUUUUUUAAAAUUUUAAAGGGUCUAAAUGAAUUUUUUUUCAUUUUAAGGGAGUCAAUGCCUUGUCAUCCCCUAGCUAGCGUUUGAAUCUAAAUAAAAAAUAGUUUUAAACUAAAUUUUCUUAUUUAACUCAAAAUACUUGGCCUGCAAUAAUUUUUCUUGACAAAAAGAUCCUCCAAAUAUUAUUUAUAAAUUUGUAUUUGAUACGUUGAUAGUGUUUUUUUUAUUCUAUAAAUAGUUUUAAAAUUUUAUCAUAUAUCUAUUUUUUUAAAAAUUUAUUUAGUUUUAAUAUUUUAUUGUACACCUAUGAUAACACUUGUCAACCCUUAAUCCUAUUUAUAAAAUCUAAAAAUUUAGUAACAAUUAACCAAAUAUUUCUAAUUAUUUAUUAAACUUAAUUAAAUAAUAGGUUAUCUAGUAUUUUUGAGUUAGCUAUCUAUUUUCUUAACCAAAUAUUUAAAUUACCAUUAUGGACCUAUGUAGUUUUUUUUUUAUAUAGGUAGACAACACCAUAAAGUAAUUACAUUCUUAAAGUACUAUUAACAUAGAGAAAUGAUAUUACGCUCAACUAUCAGUAUAUUUCUCACUGGAAUCUCUCAAAAUAAUUGUACAUUACCUAAUCCAUGUGAAGCUAUCUUGGUUAUAUGAUCAGCAAUUUUAUUUUUAGAAUCUCUCAAUUUGCUAUUAGCCAUUCCACCAAUUAAAAUUAAUUCUACUAGAAGCGCAUUGUCGCAUUUAGUAUUUUUAAUUAUAAAAAAUAAAUUUAAUGUUAAAUAAAAUUACUAUUUAAUAUUAUAUUUCCUCUCUCCUCAUAUACAUGUUCUUCCUUUCCGAUUCCGUCAUUUUCAUCCCUUUUCUCAUUCAUCUUCAUUCAUGCAGGUUGAAAGGUUUUUUCUUUUUCUCGUUAAGCCAAUGACAUGAAAUUUGGGUUUUUAUAUUGAUGGAGGAGAACCGUUUCUGGGUUGAAAACUAUAAAUUUUGGACUUCUAAACUUGAAAAACCUAUGGCUACGCUUUGAUAGCACCAUUUGUGGAUGAGGUGUUGAAGCAAAAAUCCUUUAUUAAAAAAAGUUUGGGACUUUGAUUUUUUUUUCAAAAGAGUUCUUUUUAUUUUCUUUAAUUGUAAAAAAACAAAGAAACUGUGUUGGGGCAAGAAAAAGAAAAGCUGGAGAAGAUUGAAAGGGUCUUUGUUUAUAUGCAGAAUAUUCAAAGAAAUAAUUUGAAUCAUUUCCCAUCCAAUUUUAUAAAAAUAAUUAUUUUAACCUUCUAUUUAUUAUUUUAAUCACUUUUUAAUUUUUAAAUUUAUAAUAUUUAUCAAAUUAUUCUAAAAUAAAUAAAAAAUUUAACAUCGGUUACUUUUGCUAAAAUGGUAUACGCGCCACUUAAAUAUCACAUCAUCAAUUAAUUUUUUUUAAAAAUUUAAAUUUCAAAAUUUAUUAAAAGUGUUUUAAAAUAUUAAAAAUAAAAAAAUAUUUUUUAAUAUUAAAAAAUUAAUUAAUUACUAAUGUGACAAUUAUAAAUGCACACGUUGAUUACCACAUUAACAAUGUUACAAAAGCUCAAUGGAGGGCUAAAAUGCAAGUCUAGUGUUACUAAUCUCACAUUGCUAAUAUAUAUAAAGUACAAAGAAUUUGAAUAGACAAUUCAUUAUAACUUGAGUAAUUGAGUUGGGUGCAAUUAGAUAGUUAACUUAUUGAAUUUUACGUAUAUUUGUUAUAAUGACAACUGGGCUUAAAUUUGGUGGUGUAAAUAAUUUUUAUAUAUAAUUAUUAUUUUUAUUUUUUAAAAUAAUAAAUUUUUAUUCGCAUUUGAACGAAUUUAUUCAAAUAAUCUAUGUUAAAAUUUACAGUAUCAAAUUUUACCUAACAAAAGGAAAAGAUUAUUUAUGACCAUAUAAGUUAUUUAAGAUUCUAAAUCAGGAAUUUUUCUUUCCAAAAAUAGAUUCACGACUGUCUAUUUUUUUUAACCGAAUUUUAAAACACACACACACCCAAGUAUUUUUAAUUAAAUAUAUAUAUAUUUAAUAUUAUAUUUCCUCUCUCCUCAUAUUCAUAUUCUUCCUUUCCUAUUCCUUCAUUUUCAUCCCUUUUCUCAUUCAUCUUCAUUCAUGCAGGUUGAAGGUCUUCUUUUUCUCAUUAAGCAAAUGACAUGAAAUUUGGGUUUUUGUUUUGAUGGAGGAGAACCGUUUCUGGGUUGAAAACUGUGAAUUUUUGGACUUCUAAACUUGAAAAACCUAUGGCUACGCUUUGACAGCACCAUUUGCGGAGGAGGUGUUGAAGCAAAAAUCUUUUAUAAAAAAAUGAUAGGGACUUUGAUAUUUUUCAAAAGAGUUAUUUUUUAAAAUUAUAAAAAAACAAAGAAAACUGUGUUGGGGCAAGAAAAAGAACAAGAGACCUGAAGCUGGAGAAGAUUGAAAGGUUCUUUGCUUAUUAUAUGCACAUUAAUGUUAAAAAAAAAGGUUUCAUAAAAUUAGUACAAAUGAUCAUCAAAUUUCAGCUCAACUUCGUUUCAUACAUGCUCGAUUUUUGUUUGAAGAAAAUGCUCAUUAAGUAAUGAUUAAUAUAGAUACCCAUUAACUUUAUUAUAACUAAUUCUUCUUUUAAAAAAGUAUUCACAAAAUGCGGAAAUAACUAGUAAUAAACCUUAGGUGUAUAAAUAUUUAUCAAAGACAUUGCUAGAAAGCAAACCUCAUGUUUAUUUUAGUCAAUUCAACAACUGCCUCUUCAUCGAACUCGUUCCAUAUCCCUUAAUAACGUCACUUUGAUCUUCUUUAACUUUGUAACAAUCUCUUUCAUAUGAAGCCUCUCAUUUGGUAACUCUACACAACAUUCUAAGCCAACUUGCAAAAUGGAUAAGGCACAAUUCUUGACUUUUAAAUCUUCCCUUCCAAUGGUGCUCAACAACUUGGGAUCUACAACUUGAUUUCGCGAAGAUGAUAUCGACUCUAUCACCCAACUCUUCAAGCUUCUUUCUCCUGCAAACAUUUCAUCUGUGGGCUUUUUUCUUGUGAUGAUUUCCAUCAAAAGAAUACCAAAACUAUACACAUCACCUUUUGUCGAAACAAUUCCUUCCAUUCCAUAUUCUGUAUGAAUAUAAAACAACAUUAUGAAUAUUCAAAGAUAUCUUGAUAAUGAAAAUUUCCUAUAAAAUAUCUCAAACAUUAUAUGCUUGCCUGUUAUAAUUGAACUAGGAUUUACUCUAGUUGCUUCCUUAAAAAGUCACAUUCAAUGUGUUUGAAACUCAAAUGUUAACAGAUAUAUAUGAUCCCUUUUGUUAUGCACAUUCUACACUUCCAUUGAAAAUGGAAAAAUAAAUAUGGAGUUUGAUUAGAAGUAUCACCUGGUGCCAUAUAUCCAAAUGUUGCCAUUGUCAUGGUUUGUAUCAUUGAAACCUCUUCACAUAAGAGUUUCGCGAUGCCAAAAUCACUCAAAUGCGCAACCAUAUCUUCAUCUAAUAGAACAUUGUUGGGUUUUAAAUCACAGUGAAUCACGGGUGUUGCAUUGCCGUGAUGGAGAUAUUCCAAUGCAGAUGCAACAUCUAUCAUUAUGUUCAACCUUUGUAGGGUAUCCAAAUAUUGGUUGUUGGAAUACAGCCAUUUAUCAAGACUCCCAUUAGGCAUGAACUCAAGCACCAACGCUUUGAAAUUAAGAUCAUUAGAGCAACUGCUUAUUACUUUGACUAAAUUUCUGUGACGAGUGUUGCGGAGAACAUCACAUUCAACAUCAAAGCUCUUAAAAGCUCCUUCUAACUCAAACUUGAAGACCUUUACCGCAAUGAUCGUCCCAUCCGGGAGAGUCCCUUGGAAUACUGCACCAUAACUUCCAUUACCAAGCAACCUACUAUCAUUGAAUCCAUCAGUAGCUUGACGAAGCUCGUGGUAUGAAAAUCGUCUCCACGUUCCUAAAGGUAUCAUGUCUUCUUGAGUUGGCAAUUUGUCUUUCCUCCUCCUAUUUUGCAAGAUAAUGAUAAUCAGAGCCACAACCAAAAUUGUGGAGGCAAUUGGCAGAGCUACAUAUAGUAUGAGCUUAGUUUUUGCCUUGGAAUUUCUAAGAGGUCUAGUUUUGCAGUUUGGAACAUGAAGCCGAGCUGCACCACACAAGGCUUCAUUCCCCUUAAAUGAUUCGAUUGUGUAGUUUUCAAAUGAUCCUCCUUCAGGAAUUUCACCUUCAAGCCUAUUAAAAGAGACAUUGAAAUAUUUGAGAUAACGGAGUUUCUCUAAGGAUUUGGGAAUCUCUCCAAAUAGAUUAUUUCUUGACAAGUCCAAGAAUUCCAAACUCAACGAUUCAUCAAAAGACUCAGGAAUAGAACCCGUGAUUCUAUUAUUGGAUAAGGAAAAAUGAGUGAGGUCCUUGAGAUCUGCAACUCCAGUUGGGAUAUCACCUGAGAACUGAUUGUUCGACAAAUCCAAACUACUCAAAACUUUCCAUUUUCCAAUGUCAAUUGGCAGUGGACCACUCAGAGAAUUUGAAGACAAGUAUAGGAUGAGGAGAUAGUUAAGCCUUGUCAACGUUGACGGUAUUGAAGAGGAAAACAUAUUGGAGUCUAGAAAUAGUUGCCUUAAUGAAGUGAGAUCACCUAAGCAAGUAGGUAUUGGCCCAGACAAUUUGUUAUUGGUUAAGAACAAGAAAGCCAAUUUGUUUAGAUGACAUAACUCAGUUGGGAUGGAUCCCUCUAACUUAUUGUCCUUAAGAGAAAGACUUUGCAACUCUUCCAAUCCUCCAACUGUAGUAGGAAUCUGUCCUAUCAAUUUAUUGCCUCCUAGCUCAAGGCUUAUCAAGUGACUUAAGUUUCCAAUUUCACUGGGGAUGCUACCCCUGAUGUUGCAUGCAGAAGCAGAGAACUCUUCAAGAGAACUUGAGAGAUUUCCUACCACUCUUGGAAGUUCACCACUAAUAAAUGAGUUGAUCUCGAAAAAAAGGCUCUCCAAGACUCUACAGUUUGUCAAAGAAAAGAGAAAGCUCAUUCCUGAGGAAGUUAAAUUAUUAUUCGCCAGGUUGAGAAUCUUUAAAUUUCUUAGAUUUCCCAGAUUAUCAGGAAUGGACCCUGAAAAGUAAUUACUAGACAUGUCAAGAAGAGUAAGCUGAGAGGCAUUGGAAAUAUACAUUGGGAUCGAGCCGGCAAGGUGAUUGAAACCAAGAUAUAGUUCCUCCAUGUUUGGAAGGAAAAGGCCCAUGUUUGAUGGAAGAUGGCCAGAGAGCUGAUUUGUAGCCAAAGAAAUCAUCCUUAGAGUUGAAAUAUUGAACAGUUGUGGAGGAAUAGAACCAGCAAUAUUGUUAAAUUGUAAAUUCAACCAAUUUAGAUUCUUUAGGUUGCCAAUCUCUUGUGGUAUUAUACCUGCCAUAAAUUUUAUCAAACAAAAAUAUUAGACAAAUAUGAGGAAGAAAAUAGUUUAUAUAUAUGAAACAUUUGCUUAUAUUUUUUAUAAUGUGUACAAUUAUAGACAAUUAGAAUCAACAAUAUUUACAAAAAAAAAAUUAAUUCACAAUAAGUUUAAAUUGAAUAUUUUAGGUUUAAAGUUGGAAUAAGUUCAAAAUGAGAAGGGAUUGUAUGAAAUUGUGAUUCCACGUCAUGAUCAGAUUUUUCCUCCUAUUUUUAGCUUUUUCUUCUUGAAAAAAUUAAAAUCUAACUAAAAAAGUUGAAAAUUAGGAGGAAAAAUCUGAUUUAUCAUUCUCCUAUUGGAAAGGAAUAAAAAUGACGUGAAAUUACAGUUUUAUACAAUCACUUCUCGUUCAAGAUAUAGAAAAUAAUGAUGAAAUAAAUGAUAAAGAACAAACAUUCAUAAGUCAAAUAAAAUAAUUAAGAACAUAAAAAUAAAUCAAAUAUGAUUUUUGGUUCCUUGAAGUUUUGUUUGGCCUCAACAGGGAUAAACGUAAAUAAUGGACUUAAAAAAAAAAGAAAUAUACUAAUUGCAAUAACUAUGAAAAAUUUUAUAAUUAUUGUAGAAUAAUCAAAACACAGAAAGCGGUUGAGCAAAAACAAAGUUCAAAUUAAUAAAAAACUAUCGGUAAAAGUUGCAAAUUAAUAAAAAUAAUUUAGCUCUUUCUUAUACAUUCACCUGUAAAAUUGCUAUGGGAACAAUCAAACUCCAUAAGAAGAGUUAAAUUCACAAUUUGUUUAGGAAUUUCACCUGCAAUUAUAAAAUUCACAUUUCAAAUUCAAAAUUCAUCUCCUAGCAACGAUUAUAAGAAUAAAAUUAAGGUAUAAUGACUUGUUUAGCUCUUCAAUUUUAUUAAAAAGAAUCAUUUUAGUCUUUCAUUUAAUUUUUCAUCUCUUUUAGCUCUUAAACUUGCGAUGUUUGUCAAAUCAUCCCAAAAUGAAUUGAAAAUUCCAUGUGCUUGCCACAUCAACAAUUAGUUUUUUAAAUUUUAAAAAAUUCUAUUUUAUUGCUAACGUGUCAGCAAAGUAAACAAACAUUAACUUUUUCAUACAUUUUUUUGGGCUGAUAUAACAAAUAAUACAAGUUCAAGAGCUAAAAGAAAAGGAAAAUUAAAUAAAGAGUUAGAAUGACUUUUUUUUAUAAAGUUGAAGGGCUAAAUAAAUAAUUAUUCCUAAAGUAAAUAAAGCACGUUAGCAAGGUAUUUCACACAUACACACUUCCAAGCCAAGUUGGAACUAAAAGUAUAUUUCUCUCAUCAUUUUCAUGUAGUUUAUUCUUCAAUGUUCUUUUGAAAAAUUUCAACUAUGUAUUCGUUUAAUAAAUAAAUUUAUAUUUUCAAUCUCAAUAGAAGAUUGAUCUAAAUUAUUAUAGUCAUUACCUUAAUUUCAUUAAAAAAAAAUCGUUCCUUGCAUCUCAAAGUACUUAAAAAAAAAGUAAACACUUCAAAAGGUUUUAAAAAUGGUUAGCAUAUGUUACCAUCAAAGUGGUUCCGACCAAUAUAGAUGUAUUGAAGCAUACUCAAAUUCCCAAUUUCUAUUGGUAGGCUCCCCUCCAUUUGGUUAUACGCUAAAGAUAACAUUUGUAACUCUUUGCACUUGAAUAGACUGGCAGGAAUUCUACCAGAAAGCAGGUUACGACUCCAGUACAAUCCUUUCAAAUUUGGAAGAUGAUCAAACAUAUCUUUUGGGAUAUGACCAGUGAGAUUAUUGGAGGAGAAAUGGAUGACUUCUAGCAAAAGCAAAUCACGUGGAACAGAGGGUAUGGAACCAGAAAGCAUAUUGUAGCUUAGAUAUAUUUCUUGCAACGAAGAGAUAUUGAAGAUGGUGGAGGGAAUUGAACCUGAAAUCUGGUUUCCAGACAAAUACAAGACCUCUAGCUUUGACAAAUAGGCUAAAGAGAAUGGAAUAACACCUUUGAAGUUGUUUUGGUCCAAAAACAACCUUCGAAGUUCAGUUAAUGAUCCCAACCAUGAUGGGAUUUCUCCACUGAAGGAGUUGUUACCAAAGCUUACAUAUUUCAGCCGUCGCAAAUUGGAUAACUGGACAGGUAAUCCGCCAUAGAAACUAUUGUUUGUGACAUGAAGAAGAGAAAGGAAUGACAAAUUUCCCAAGUGAGGUGGAAGGGUGCCUACGAGUCCCAACCUAGUAAGGUUUAGAGCUGUGACUCUACGGUGCUUGGAUCCACAACUUACACCAAACCAAUUGCAAACAGGGGCAGAGGCUGACCAGUUAGUCGUCAAGACAUUUUCAGGAUCCUGAAUAACAUGAUCUUUUAGUGCUAGAAGAGCUGACUGAUCUGUAAGUAUGGUUGUUAAUUUCAUAGAGAAAGUAGGCAUAGAGAAAUGGAAGAUGAUAAGAAGAGCUAAGUUGAGGAAAGUAUUCCCCAUUUGAAUUUGGGUGUUUAUGAAGCUACCAACAAAGGCAGAACGGAGAUUGCUAGACAGAUAAUUGAAUGAUCACUAACCGUAUGACCACACAACUUUUACAUAAUACGUGUAUGUAUAUAUAAAGGGAGUUUAUGUUGUAAUUUCUUCAUGCAAGAUUGCAAAUUAAUAUGAUUUACGUAGAAAUUACGGAAUUUAUUAUAAGACGUGAUAAUAUAAUUAUGUAAUUAUUGCUUAAAAUUUUUCUUUCUAAAUUUCAUAUUUCUUAAGAAAUUACAGUAAUAAAUUUUACAUAGAAAUAACAUUAACAUUAUUGUCAGUACAGGAGAAUGUGAAUUUAAAUGCAUUGAAACACAUUUAUCUUCUUAUAUAAGUAUUAGCAAAAAAAAUUAUGGAUAGUUCUAGACAUGUUAUAAAAAGAAUUUGAUAUAACAAGAUUUAGAAAAUAAUUUGCAUUAUUUAUUUUAGGAAAUUAUUGAAUAAAGAGAUCAAGAAUUUUAAAUUUAAAAAAUUUUAAAUUUAAAUCAUAACAGGAGAAGGAGUUUAGUUACUUUACAAUUAUCCAAGAUGGAUUAAAUUUGGUUUUAUAUCUAAGAUAUCAAAACCGUAAUUAGGUUAUGAUAAGCAUUAAACUAAAUUAUUGGAAUAAAAAUAUAGGUGAAAUUAUUAAUAAAAGCUGUUUUUUUUCAAAAUUUACUGAAAUGGGCUGAUUUUUUGAUUAUUUACCGGAAUGGUCUAUUUUCCGGGAAAUCGCGUCCACGUCAGAGCGAUGUCAGGGUACGUGUCAGGACAUUGCGUCCACGUCAGCGCGACCUGCUUACGUGGAAGGAAAUCGUGUCCUUGAGGGAGCGAUUUCCUUCCACGUCAGCAGGUCACGCUAACGUGGACGCGAUGUCGGCCGCGUGUGAACAGUACCCCAACGGUCAAAAAUUUGACCGUUGCCCCCCCCAACGGUAAAAAAAAACUAUAAAUACCCCCACCCCUUUUUUUUUUCACAAACAAAUCCUAUCUUCAAUUUCCUUCCAAAAUUCUCUCAAUUUCCUUCCAAAAUUCUCUCAAACCCAUAUUUAAUUUCAAUUUCCUCUCAAUUUCCUUCCAAAAUUCUCUCAAAUCCAUAUUUAAUUUCAAUUACCCCUCAAUUUUAUUUUUUAAAAUAAUUUUUAUAUUUUUAUAUUUUUUAAAAAUAAUUUUAAAUUUUUUUAUAAUUUCAUCAAUGGCCGGAUCAUUGAUUCGUCUUGAUAGGAUUCACAUAUCGGUGGAGCAAAUGAAAAUGGUAAGUAUUAAAUUUAAUUUUUAAAUAUUAUUUAAGAUUUUUUUAUUUAUGUAUUUUUAGAUAAUUAUUAAUUUAUUAUUUGUUAUCAAAGUCUGCAGAUCAGAUAUUGGAAUGCAAUAUCCGGAAUAUGCAUGCUCCUCCAUCACCGUUAGUAGAGAACUACCUGUGGGAAGCGGGUUUUUGGCACGUGGCGACGGUAGUCCGGGGAUGCAAGUUGGACCCGAAACUGAUUAGUGCGUUGAUCGAGAGGUGGAGACCCGAGACGCACACAUUCCAUCUUCCAUGUGGAGAGUGCACUAUCACUCUAGAAGAUGUCAGUCUGCAGUUGGGAUUCCUGGUGGACGGGCACCCAGUCACCGGGUCUGCCCAAUCUAGUAAUUGGGAGGCAGUGUGCUACGAGCUUUUGGGCGCUAUUCCGGAUAAAAUGGAUGGAGGUAAGGUCGAGAUGGGCUGGUUACGUGCCACCUUCCCCGAUCCGAAUGCAAAUUCAACUGAAAUUGAAAGAAUCUGAUAUGCUCGAUCAUACAUUUUUCAAAUAAUUGGAGGUUAUCUGAUGCCCGACACAUCACAGAGCCGUGUACAUCUAAGGUGGCUGCUAAAACUCGUUGAUUUUAGAGGAGCUGGUGAAUUUAGUUGGGGGUCUGCCGUCUUGACAACAUUAUAUCGGGAGAUGUGCGAGGUGACGCGACCGAGGAGAGCAAACAUCGGAGGUUGCCUGUCACUACUGCAAUCAUGGGCACGGUUUCGCUUUCCAUUUCUACAUCCUCGAGUGAACCACCCAUAUACAUUCCCACUCGUAACGAGGUAAAUUUUAUAUUACAUUUUGGAAUUAUUAUGUAUAUUUUGUAAGAAUAAAACUAUGCUAAAUAUUUAUUUAAUUAGGUGGAACCAUCAGGCAAGUUAUCGAGGAUUACCGUCUGAACUUGAAGAUAUACGGCUUCUAUUGGAGCAACGGUCGGAAGCAGAAGUAAGUAUUAUUGCAAAUAGAUAUUUCCAUACAUUCGCUAGUCGAUUGAUAUUUAGUAUUUAGUAUUUAGUAUUAUGUAUAUAACUAAUAUUUCUAUCAUGUUCAUAUAGUUUCAAUGGACACCAUACGAGGAUCCGGCAAUUCGAGUAGUAAUCCAGGAAGAGUUUUUACAAAAUCCGAACGCUUGGCACGCGAAAGUGGUGUUGAUCAACUAUGCAACCGUGGAGCCCCACCAGACAGAUAGAGUGCUACGACAGUUUGGAUGUAGACAACCGAUUCCUGCGGACCUUGAGGUGUUUGACGAUCACCACAAAAUCGACCUUCGGCUAUUAGGUAUGGAUUGGCCUAGAUACUGGUCCGAGUACACACAAAUGUGGGAAAAUCGGCUUGAAUAUCUACCUACUCGGGAAGAAAUCAUCGUUCCGGAGUUAGCGUGCGUUCCAGAAUACAUGCCAUAGUUUAGGAUCCAUGGCAAGCCGUAUUUACUUAAGCCAGAGGAUAGGCAGCGGCAAAUACGUGUCGGCAAGGAAAGGCGUGGGCCUCUAAAUCCAAGACAAGAAUACUACGAAGGCAGCCCCUCAACAAGGCCCAGACAGUCACCGGCUCAUCAUCAGCGGCCAUGCAAUCACCUUCCCCAAUGAGAGCAUCGACGCAGUCACCUGGCGCAACAAUUCAACAGAUGAUACCCACGCAACCGCCUUUCCCUAUGAUGCCAGGUGUGUUUCCUAGCCCUUAUAUGUACCCUAACCCUUACAUGUAUCCUUUUCCGAAUCCUAUGGCAGGUUGGAGCCAAAUGCCCGGUUCAGCUCCAUUUCCUGUUAUGCCGAGCGGACCGCCGAUAUCUAGGCCAGCGGCGCAGGAGGGAUCGCAAGGGGGGCCGUCGGGAAGCUCUCCUUUUUACCAAUCGCCACCAACGUAUGGCUUUCAAACACCGUCGUCGUUCAUGAUGCAAACACCUCCACAUACACUAUUCUUUGAAGGUGGAUCAUCGUCCCAAGUCCGACAACCAGAUGCCAAACCGGAAGAACCACAAUCACCACCGGAGGAAGAACAACCGCCGCCGGAAGCUAGAGGAAGGAGGAAUCUAGCGCGUAACCGUCGACGACCGCCAUGUGCAACUGAAUCCCCCGGGCAUAGACAUUGAUUGCCGUAUUUAAAUUUAUUAUUUGAUGUAAUAAAAUAGAAGUUUAUUUGAUGUAAUACGCAUAGAAAUUUUUUCGAGUUAUUUUGAUAUUAUUUGAUGUAAUAAAAUAGAAGUUUAUUUGAUAUAAUAGGCAUAGAAAUUUUUUCGAGUUAUUUUGAUAUUAUUUGAUAUAAUAAAAUAGAAGUUCUAUUUGAUGUAAUAAAAACCAUAAUUUAAUUAAAAACCCUAACCAUAACCUAACUUAAUUAAAAACCCUAACCCUAACCUAACUUAAUUAAAACCCUAACCCUAACCUAACUUAAUUAAAAACCCUAACCCUAACCAAACUUAAUUAAAAACCCUAACCCUAACCUAACUUAAUUAAAAACCCUAGCCCUAACCUAAUUUUACAUAAUUUGAUAAUUUUACUAACCAUUAACACAAUUUUUGGACUUAAUAAUUUUACAUAAUUUGAUAAUUUUACUAACCAUUAACACAAUUUUUGGACUUAAUAAUUUUACAUAAUUUGAUAAUUUUACUAACCAUUAACAAAAAAAUUUUUGGCUUAAUAAUUUUACAUAAAUUUACAUAAUGUUAGAUUUGGUAAAAUAUUUUGACUGGUACUAACAAUUAAGAAAUUAAACUAAUUUGAUAAUUUUACUAACAAUUAAUACAAUUAUCAAUUAAUAAUUGAAUAAAAUAUAUUUUUUUCUAAAAUUACAUUCAACUAUUGCGAUUAGGGCAUGAUCGACUUGUAUGGCCUGGGUUCCUACACCAUCUGCACAACUUCUGUUGACUGGCUGUUUCUCGGAUAUCCAUAUUGUUCCGUAUUCUAGUGGAGCACGGUCGACCCUUUAGUUUGCGACGCAAUUCUCUAUCCGGUAACAGCUUAAAAGGAGCAAGAGAUACGGGCGGCCACUUACGUUCAUCUGGGACCGGUGGGAAAACGUGUCUCCAUACGUUGUACAUGUUUUCUAAUUUGUACACUUCGUCCACAUAACUCAUCGGAUCCAGACGGAGUUUCUGACAAGCUGCAAUAACAUGAGCGCAUGGAUAGCGAAGUGCAUCAAACUUCCCACAGUCACAAGUCCUGUUUUGCAAGUGUACACUAUAUUGUCCGCCAACAACACCUUGGUGCGGUCUGUCAAACUCUGUCACACGAAACCAUAAAUUGUCUCGAUCGUGACACACUGUGUGCAUGAUGUUUGCCCUCGCCUUCGCCUUGUUAAUUUCUUGAACUACCUUACUGCACCAUACAUGGCCACCCUGCAUCUGGCCUGCAUAAGUUGCUGCUCGCUUUGGAAAUAGCGCCGCCAAACGGAAAUAUGUCUCUCGCACAACUGAUGUUAUCAGUAGAUGGCACGUUCCUUUAAUAACAGAAUUUAUGCAUUCUGCCAGGUUUGACGUCAUAUGGCCAUAUCGCAGGCCUCCGUCGUAUGCUUGUACCCACUGUUCGAAACGUAUGUUACAAAGGUAGUCUGCCCCUUCUCCGUUUUGGGAUCGUAAAAUUACCAACAUCUCGUGAAAACGAUCUUUAUUUAUUUCAUACCCCGCCAAUAUAAGAUUAUAGCGAAUAUUUUAUACCAUUUCUACCAAUAAAACUAAUUCAAAUUGACAAACGAAAUAAUAUAGUUAUAGACUAAAUACCCAUAUUGGUCACUUGUCGUCGUUCGCUCUUAGAUGGAUAUUGCCUGUAGUAGUUCGAAGCAACGUAUCUUAGGCAAUAUCUAUGGUGUGUGCGCUGCCACAAGCUUCCCUAUCGAUCAAAUGCAGCUAGUAUACCGGCGCCCCGAUCUGAAAUAACAUAGAUAUCAGGUUGGGGGCACACAUGCCUCCUUAACCUAGAGAGAAAGAAAUCCCAGUCAUCAGACAACUCCCCCGGUGUUAUUGCAAAUGCAAUUGGAAGAAUUUUCCCACCGCCGUCCUGUGCCAAUUUGUACAUGAAGGUACCGUCAAUUUGUACCAAUGGCUUGCAGUAUGGAAAUGCGUCUCGGCAUUGCUUAAAGGUCCAAAAUAGGCGUUUGAACACUUGACAUCCACGUAGCAAUCGGCCGUUGUAGUACGCAUGUUCCGUUUCAAGGUCUGUGAUGGCACUUGGGACGUAUCUCUCUAGCACCUGACACCACUGUCAUAUUUCAUUAUAUGAGGCGUCCCACCCACUAUGCAUCUUCUCCAACGCCUUUUGCUUAGUUAUCCAAGCCUUGCGGUAAGAGGGCGUGUACCCCAUUUGGCUAUGGAUAUUGGCAAUUAUCACCGACACUGAAGUCCUAGGAUCUGCUUUUAUCAUGGGCAGUAUCAAGCUAUCUAACAUAGCUGAAUCCAUUUUGGGAUGAUCUUGUGAAACACCUACAGAGGGAGUACAUUAAAUAAUGCAACAUUGCAAAAUAAAAUAAUUAUUUAGAUACAUUAAAUCAUGUACCUGCAGCACAUGUAUGUGGACCUUUGUACUUUUUUAUCUCCCACAACCUUGUCCUUUUCCUUAACGAGACGACGAUUUUCCAUGAACAUGUGCCGUCUUACACCGCACACUUCGCCUCAAACUUAUCAGAUUUUGAUUUAAAGACGUGGUCAUUAACGCCGUUUUUGAUGCUAUGCUGUUUCAAAGCACCAAUAAAACUAUCCUUGUUGGUAAACUGAUUACCAACGUCAAGUUCACCGAAAUUUACCCCCGAACUUGUACGAUCGCACAACCGGUGUGGUAGAUCUGGAAACUCUAACGCAUCAUCUGCUGACAGAUCGACAUUAUGCAUGUGGGCUGGAGGUGAGUAUGCUUUGAAUCGUGGAUUUUCUUCAUCAUCUGAACUCCUUUCAGCAUCUUCACCUUCUAUUGGAAUAGGCUCCGGUUCAGAAAAUAAUCUCACUUCUGCACCAUCCGGCCCGGGCUCUCGAGGUGGAUCCACAUCGGAGUCAUCUUUUAACCCACAAUCAUCUGCAGCGUACGACGUCCCUUCACCGGUUGACGUCGUAGGUAGUACGCCAUCCCUUCUUCUGGGUAUUUGAUAACGUUUCCAAUUAGAUGUAGAUUGCCAUCCAUUAGAACUUGAUGCAGUUCCCCAGUACGUAUUUCCAGCAUCAAACGUCGAGCCACCGACGUAUAUGUCCCAUCCACCGACAGAGUGUCUUGCGGGGGAUGCAUUCGACAGCGCUACCGAACAUGGGCUGUUCUAUAUUUUGUAACCCGCUAACCGAGUGUCGGCCAGGGGUCGUGUAUACAUCUCAAACACCAGACGGAAGUACAUCAGUUGGCAACGUAAAUUGUACAUAUAACUCAAUAUAAGUUGCUCCACUAGCAAGAUGAGUCUCCACCAUUGCCUCCAAGCUACGAGCACAUUUUCUGUCGAACGAGUCAUAUGUCACCGGAUCAACACAAGAACAAAAUCAAUACGUGAUUGACAAAACUUUCAUUGGCAUCGUUCCGAAGAUUUUACGCCUAAUUCUUUUACGAAGUUCUGUCAAAUCUAUGUUCUGGUUAAAUGACAGUCACACCGUAUUCUCCGACUAAAGAACAACACCAUUCUCGGUGUGGCAAACCUCACCAUCCUAGUAAAUAACAGCACUAAUACGUUCACUCAUUUUGAAACUCUAACUUUCUUAGCCUCUCUAAAUUGUUUCUGCUAUGACUUAUGCAUUCUAAGAACAUUUUCUGCCUAGUUUAUAGCCUCAGCUCAAACUUGCUACUGCAGCAAAAUCGCGUCCACGAGGGCGCGAUUUCACAAUUUCUUCUCAAAUAACAUCCUGGUACAAGCGAUUUUAUACUAUUUGCUCAGAAACGUCAAAAAAAUUUAUUUCUUACAUGACCUACUGUAGCAAAAUCGCGUCCACGAAGGCGCGAUUUCACAAUUUCUUCUCAAAUAGCAUCCUGGUACAAGCGAUUUUAUACUAUUUGCUCAGAAACGUAAAAAAAAUUAUUUCUUACAUGACCUACUAUAGCAAAAUCGCGUCCACGAGGGCGCGAUUUCACAAUUUCUUCUCAAAUAGCAUCCUGGUAGAAGCGAUUUUAUACUAUUUGACCAGAAACGUCAACUCGAAAUAAUUUAUUCCUGGACCUAAAAAUCCUAAAAAGCCUGAACCUUAAACCCUAAAAGCCAAAAAAACCAAACGUGAAAAAAAAGUCAAAAUCACGUCCCCCGGAAUGCGCUACGUGGCAGGACAUCGCGUCCACGUCAGCGCGACCUACUGACGUGGAAGGAAAUCACUCCCUCAAGGACGCGAUUUCCUUCCAUGUCAGCAGGUCGCGCUGACGUGGACGCGAUGUCCUGACACGUACCCUGACAUCGCUCUGACGUGGACGCGAUUUCCCGAAAAAUGGAUCAUUCCGGUAAAUAAUCAAAAAAUCGGUCUAUUUCGGUAAAUUUUGAAAAAAAAACGGCUUUUUUUGGUAAAUUACCCAAAAAUAUAAGCAAUUUUACAAUAUUCGUGGUGGGAACAUAUCCCAUCACCAACUUUUCAUAACUUCUUUUUCCCAUUUUAUAAAAUGUCUAUAGAUUAAGUACUGGCUCUUCAAUUUUCUAAGUAUUCAUUGUCUUACCCCUUUCUUGGGUUUGGUUUGGGAAGGUUGCUUGACUUCGUUGUGCAAUUUAAAGUCUUUCCAAUUUGUCGUUUUAGAAGUGAUCGGAAAAUUUGCACUUCUUCAUGUGCUGGAAGAAAAGUGAUUGGGUUCAAAGAAUAAAAACAGGGAUAGAUUAUUUACAUAGUUUAGUUUUUCUAUUCCUACAGAGCCUACGUUAUGAGGAAUAGUUUAGUUUAUGUUGUAAUUUCUUCCUGCAAGAUUACAAAUUUUUUUAAUGUGAUUUACGUAGAAACUACGAAAUUUAUUAUAGGAUGUGAUAAUAUAAUUCUAUAAUUAUUGCUUAAAAUUUUUCUUUCUAAAUUUCAUAUUUCUUAAGAAAUUACAGUAAUAAAUUUUACAUAGAAAUAAUAUGUAGUAUUGAAAUUAAAUUGCAGUUGUACAAAGGUUACAACUUUUUUAUUAAAUUAUUAAAAUUAUUAGAGAACAUGAUAAAAUUAAAUGAGAACCUUUUUAUCAAAGUGACAAGUGAGCAGUCACUUUGAAGAAUAUAAAUAACCCUACCGCUUGCUUAAUUUGUGUUUCUAUUGACUAAAAAAAUUUUGAACAAAAAGGAUAUUGACUAAAAAUUAAAAUAACCAUGAAAUCUUUUACAACAUUCAAUGAGGUUGAAAGAUUUUAUUUUUAAUUUUUUUUAAAUAAUAACUUAUUUGGCUUCUAAUUUUAUAAAAAAAUUAUUUUUUAUUCCUUAAAACUUAUAUUAUUUAUCAACAUUGGCUUACUCCUUCGUUGGGUUUGGUUUGGGACGGCUGCUUGACUUCGUUGUGCAAUCUAAAGUCUUUCCACUUUGUCGUUUUAAAAGUCUGCAUAUCGGAGAAUAUCACAAUUGAGAAAGAAUUAUAUAUUGCUGUGAAACUGAACGUAGUUGCUAAUAUAUACGUUAAGUGAUUAAAAACUUGGCACUUCUUCAAGUGCGGGAAGAAGUGAUUGCGAAGUUGACACUUUUUCAAGUUAUUAAAAAAAAAAAUAGGAGACACAUAUUGUUUACGUAGUUUGGUUUCUUACGUUUGCAGAUCUUAGUUUAGUGAGAAAUAUCUACUAUCUCCAACAUUUAUAAUAAGUGAUCUUAAAUCUAUCACAACCCACUACAAUUUCCUCACUUUUGUACUUUUGAAAAUCGGUACUCUCACCACUAAAUUCACUCCUGUGAACUUAAUUUAUAAAAUCACAACACACAAGUUUUACAAUCAAAUGCACUCUUACAAACAAUAUUCUUCGCUUAAACAGACUAAGUGCUCUCAAUUCUCUAUACAAUCACCUAUACAAGUCUCUCAAUUAUAAAUAGAUUUCGAGAUUUACUAACAUAAUGAAAAUCUAUAUCAAUCUCUAUUAAACAACAACUAAACUAGUUGAAUAAAUUAUAAUAAUAAAUAAGGUAAACAAGGAUUGUUGUCAGCUAAGUCUUCUACGUUCCAAUUCGAUUCAACUUCCUCGAUCCAAGCGAUUAGAUAGACAUGGUCCGAUCCAAUCCGAUCCCUUAAACAUGUUUCCUGAAGUGAUAUGAUCUGUAACACCCCAAACCCAGCCUAACGUUAUAUAUGGUCUAACAUAUAAUAAAAUUUAUUAUUUAUAAAAUAAACUAAAAAUAAAAAGAGAGAAAAGUUUGAAUAUGGUUUAAAUAUUGUUUGUGAGGUUUUUUUAAAAAAUAUUUUAUUUAUAAAAAUAUUAUUUUAAGAAAUAAAUGUUAUGUUAGAAAGAAGAGAAAAUGGGUAUUCAUGUGUAUUUAUAAUUGUGUUAUGUAUUGUUAUAAAAACUUAUGUGUUUUUAUAAAAAAAAAACUUUUACAUAUUUUGAAUUUUUAAGAAGUAAAACUACAUUGACAAAAUGUAUAAAAUUGAGAGCUAAAUUUGUUGAUUUUUUAGAGUUAAAGCUAAAUUGAUAGAAUCUGUCAACAUUGAAGGGUUAAAUUUGUUAUUAUAUUAAUAAAAAAUGCCACCGUUAAUGAUUUAACAUAGGAACAACAAAAAUAUUAAAUUUUGAUAAUGUUAAUGAAUGAAAUAAAAAAUUUUAAACUUAAAUGACCAAAAUAGAAACACACUAAUAAUUAGAUAAACUAUUUUUUUUACUUUGCCCUAGAUUUAAUAAUGUUACCCGAUUUUCCAUGAUUCCUCCAUUUUCUUACCCCUUUCUUGGGGUUGGGACCCGGCUUCACUUUAUUUGUGCAAUCUAAAGGCCUUUCAACUAUGUCAACAAUUGCUUAUGAACUUAUAAUGUGAAACCUUAAGCAAUUGGACAACGAAGCUAUCACUUUUCUUCUUCAAGGAUAAUUAAGAUGGGUCUGGCAUGGUCACUAAAUUUCCAUCACUUUUUGGCCAUUUUCUUUUCAAUGUUUUGCACAUUUUAAAAUCUCUAUACAUUCAAUAAUGCUCCCCAAUUGAAGGUUCUUCUUUUUCAAACCUCGUCUUUUCCUCGACUUUGUUGUGCAAUUUAAAGUCUUUCAGCUUUGUCGUUUGGGUAACUUAUAAAAAUAGUCACUUAAUUUUAGUUAAAUUUAUUUUCUCACUGAAUUAUAAAAAAAUUACAUUUUAGUCACUAACAGUAUCGAGUUAUAACGUUUUGGUCACUCAUCCAUUAACCGCCAUUUUAUCCUUAAGGAAAAGUGCCGUUAACUCAAGGGUUAAUAUUUAAUUUGACCUUUGAACUAUAGUUAAAACAUUCAACUUGGUCAUAAUUUAUUAAAAAAUAUUAAAAAUAAAAAAUUUAAAAUUUAUUUAUUGUUUGAUACUAUAAAAAAUAUAUAUUUUGAAAUUGUAAUUAUGUAAUGUUUUAAAAAACCAUAGAAUCCUUUAAAUUUAAAUUAUAUUAGAAAUCCUAUCACAGUUGUGCACAUGUGGCAAUCAUGAAUUUAGAACAUAGAUUUGUGUUUAAAAAUGAAAUCCAAUAAAUAAUGAAAUCGUAUAGUUUGAAACUAAUUAAUCAUAAUAACACAUGAAAUAUGUAUGAUAUUAAAGUUAAAAAAUUAGAUUAAAUUGUGAGUAAAACUAAACUUAAACAUAUAAAUACAUUAAAUUAACAAUACUAAACCAACUCAACUAAUAACAUUAUUAAUAUAUACAAUGGAUGAAGUGUGCAUAAUAAAAUUAAAUUGUAUAUGAAAAAAUCAAAAUAAAACUUUGGUUGAGUGGUUAAUUUAGGGUUUUGCUAAUGUGAUUGACGUAGAUAUUAUAAUAUGUAUAUUUUUUUUAUUUUUUUAAGAAAGUAAAAGAUUAAAGUACCCCCGAAUAAUAUAAUUUAUUUAAUUACAAAAGAACAUUUCCAUAAUUUCUCUAACCGAGUUGAUGCUCGUCUGACUCGUAAUAUCAACUCAAUCAAAGACUUAAAAUAAUGGUACAGAUAAAAAUGUAGAUUGAGUCAUGGUUAUCUGAACCUAUUGAACUGGCAAUGAUACCAGUCUGGAGAGAGGCAUUAGAUCAGUUCACUCGCAAACCAGUACAGACCAAUAUUAGAACUAGACUAAAAAACUGAUUGAAUCGUUUUUUUAAUAUUUUAAUAAUUUGUAAUCCAACUAUACAAACCAAUAUUUCAACCACCAUUUUAGUUCUAAAAACUUUGCUUAAAGUAUAUUUAAUUUUUAAUUAUUUACUUUAUAAUUCUACACAAAUACAUAAUUACCGCAGCUUCAGAACAGACGAGGACUAAGAAAAAGAAUCAGCUAAUUUUACUGAUUGCAAUUCUAUGAGUAACGCAGCAAACUUAGCUUUCUUUAAUUUCGUCUCACACUAAUAAUUUGUAUCUAUGAUUUAACUUGGACAAGAUCUUUAUCAAGUUGUUUUUUAUGCAAUUGACUAAUAAAAUUCCAUAUUGAGCCAUCGAAUUUACGAGAAAUGGAUACAACAAUGACUUCAAAAUAAAUUGGACUUUUUAUUUUGCAAUUCACUUUUAUAGUUUCAAUAAUGGCCAACCAAUUUUCCAUGACUUUUAUAGCUUGACUUAAGUUGUGCAAUCUAAAGUCUUUUUCUAAACCGUGAGAACAGAAGAAAACAUAUGAGCAGCCAUUGUUGAAGUCCCAUGUUCGGCCAACCUUCUCAUUUUACACGGUGAGUAAUUUUAAUCUUGUUUUUCAUGAAUUUUAUAUUUUUGAGAUUAUUGUAAUUUUAAUCUAGUUUAGCUAACUCGAGUGUUAAUUUUUGAAACUGUUAAAAUUUCUAAAUGUUACUAUUGAUGAAUGAUUGAUGAAAUUAGUAUUAAUUGAUUAGAUUUUUCUGCUUAGAUAUGAAAAAGGCUUAAUUAUCAAUUAUCAAUUCCAAAUAAAAAAUAUUAUUGAUAUUUUCUAUUAUGAAAACCCAUUCUCAAUGUGUUGAAUCGUUGAACAAGUAAUUUUUACUUCUAUUGUGGCAAAUUCAAUGGAGGGAGUUAUCUUCUUAUUUCUACCAUAAAAAGUUUCUCAAUAAAUUUCAUUGGGUGAAAAUUUUGAGUUAGAUUAGAGUGCUUCAAAAUCUCAUGGCAAUUAACAAAUUACGUGAAUGUGUGUGAAAAUAGGAAGGAUAUUAGUAGUUCACCUCUAAUUGCUUAGGCAUGAUACUCGUUGUGAAAAUAGGAAGUUUCUCAACAAUUCCCAUGAUACUCGUUGGAUAACUCGAUCAUUUUUUUUACAGGAUGUAAACUUUUCUAAAUGAUAAGGAAAGGAAAAGAAAACUUAGGCAAUUCAAUUUAAGUAGUUCACAUUUAAUUGCCUACCUCCACUUAGUAUCCUUUAAUCAAAUAAUUUCUCAAAUUACUAUAAGAAUUUGUACCUUUCGAGGAGAAGGUAUAACAUUUACAACACUAUCUUUUUCUUAAAGCUUAGAUAUAACCUUUCCCUCUAGCUUUUAUAGUUGUUGUAUAGUCGUCGUUGGCAAGUCAUGUCUCGAGACAAUUUAUCAAUUGUCUUUAGACACACUGCACUAUAUCUCAAGACAAGCAGCUCCUAUCAAUUGGUACAAGCCAGUAUGAACUAGUAUAAGUUAGUAUUGACUGAAACGAGCUUAAACAUACUGGAAUUGUCAAAACACAUCAAAAUCUUAACCAUAAUGAAACCUAUACUAUUUAGUAUUGGUUGAAGACCAAAAAGAUACGCAUCGAGUGUGUUAAAUGUUGAUGUCCUUUUUAUGUACUGUUUAUAUUUUUGUUCUUUUAAUAAUAUUUGUUUGGCUUAUAAAAAUUAUUUUUAUUAAAAUAAAAUAAAUGAAAAGCUUAUGCAAAGACUGAAAAAAGAUAUCAAAAUUUGCUAUGUUUUGAUAUUGGGCAUUUAAUAAUUUGUACCUAUAUUUAAAAAAAAUUUGUACCAAUACAAUUUCAUAAAAUUAGUACAAAUGGUCAUCAAAAUUCAGCGUAACUUCCUAAAUAUAUUGCUAAUUGAUAUAAUUGAGAACGGUUAUGCGGUUGAUAAUAAUCUUUUUGAACUUCGUUUAGUACAUGAUUUAUGCAAGUAAUAUUGGCAACUUAAGUUUCGGCAUGUCCUGCGAGAACAUAAGAGACUGACAGAUUGCAUGACCAAAGUUGUUCCUAGUAAUCUUAAUAGGUUAACAACUUUUGAAGACCCAGCUAAUCAUGCUCGAUCUUUGUUAGAAGAAGAUGCUCAUCGAGCAAUGAUUAAUAUAGACUCUCAUCAACCUAAUUGUAGCUAAUUCCUUGAACUUGUUUCUUUUUUAAAAAAAUUCACAAAAUGCAGAAAUAACUAUUAAUAAACUUUAUAGGAAAACAGAGCAUCUGUAUAAAUAUUUAUCAAAGACAUUGCUAGAAAGCAAAGCUUAUGUUUAUUUUAGUCAAUUUAACAAUGGCCACUUCAUCGAACGCGUUGCAUAUCCCUUGAUAACUUUACUUUGAUCUUCUUUAACUUUGUAACAACCUCUUUCAUAUGAAGCCUCUCAUUUGGUAACUCUGCAGAACAUUCUAAGCCAACUUGCAAAAUGGAUAAGGCACAAUUCUUGACUUUUAAAUGUUCCCUUCCAAUGGUGCUCAACAACUUGGGAUCUACAACUUGAUUUCGCGAAGAUGAUAUCGACUCUAUCACCCAACUAUUCAAGCUUCUUUCUNNNNNNNNNNNNNNNNNNNNNNNNNNNNNNNNNNNNNNNNNNNNNNNNNNNNNNNNNNNNNNNNNNNNNNNNNNNNNNNNNNNNNNNNNNNNNNNNNNNNACAUUUUAUCUGUGGGCUUUUUUCUUGUGAUGAUUUCCAUCAAAAGAAUACCAAAGCUAUACACAUCACCUUUUGUCGAAACAAUUCCUUCGAUUCCAUAUUCUGUGUAUGAAUAUAAAAACAACAUUAUGAAUAUUCAAAGAUAUCUUGAUAAUGAAAAAUCCGUAUAAAAUGUACGAAACAUUAUAUGCUUGCAUGUUAUAAUUGAACUGGGAUUUAAUCUAGUUGCUUCCUUAAAAAGUCACAUUUAAUAUGUUUGAAACUCAAAUCUUAACAUAUAUGAUCCCUUUUGUUAUGCACAUGCUACGCUUACAUUGAAAAUGGAAAAAUAAACAUGGAGUUUGAUUAGAAGUAUCACCUGGUGCCAUAUAUCCGAAUGUUGCCAUUGUCAUGGUUUGUAUCAUUGAAACCUCUUCACGUAAGAGUUUCGCGAUGCCAAAAUCACUCAAAUGAGCAACCAUAUCUUCAUCUAAUAGAACAUUGUUGGGUUUUAAAUCACAGUGAACCACGGGUGUUGCAUUACCAUGGUGGAGAUAUUCCAAUGCAGAUGCAACAUCUAUCAUUAUGUUCAACCUUUGUAGGAUAUCCAAAUAUUGGUUGUUGGAAUACAACCAUUUAUCAAGACUCCCAUUAGGCAUGAACUCAAGCACCAACGCUUUGAAAUUAAGAUCAUUAGAGCAACUGCUUAUUACUUUGACUAAAUUUCUGUGACGAGUGUUGCAGAGAACAUCACAUUCAACAUCAAAGCUCUUAAAAGCUCCUUCUAACUCUAACUUGAAGACCUUUACCGCAAUUACCGUCCCAUCCUGGAGAGUCCCUUGGAAUAGUGAACCAUAACUUCCAUUACCAAGCAACCUACUACCAUUGAAUCCAUCAGUAGCUUGACGAAGCUCGUGGUAUGAAAACCGUCUCCACGUUCCUAAAGGUAUCAUGUCUUCUUGAGUUGGCAAUUUGUCUUUCCUCCUAUUUUGCAAGAUAAUGAUUAUCAGAGCCACAACCAAAAUUGUGGAGGCAAUUGGCAGAGCUACAUAUAUUAUGAGCUUCAGCUUAGUUUUUGCCUUGGAAUUUCUAAGAGGUCUUGUUUUGCAGUUUGGAACAUGAAGUCGAGUUGCACCACACAAGGCUUCAUUACCCUUAAAUGAUUCGAUUGUGUAGUUUCCAAAUGAUCCUCCUUCAGGAAUUUUUCCUUCAAGUCUAUUAAAAGAGACAUUGAAAUAUUUGAGAUAACGGAGUUUCUUUAAGGAUUUGGGAAUCUCUCCAGAUAGAUUAUUUCUUGACAAGUCCAAGAAUUCCAAACUCAACAAUUCAUCAAAAGACUCAGGAAUAGAACCCAUGAUUCUAUUAUUGGACAAGGAAAAAUGAGUGAGGUCCUUGAGAUCUGCAACUCCAGUUGGGAUAUCACCUGAGAACUGAUUGUUCGACAAAUCCAAACUAGUCAAAACUUUCCAUUUUCCAAUGUCAGUUGGCAGUGGACCACUUAGAGAAUUUGAAGACAAGUAUAGGAUGAGGAGAUAGUUAAGCCUUGUCAACGUGGAAGGUAUUGAGGAGGAAAACUUAUUGGAGUCUAGAAAUAGUUGCCUUAAUGAAGUGAGAUCACCUAAGCAAGCAGGUAUUGGUCCAGACAAUUUGUUAUUGGUCAAGAACAAGAAAGCCAAUUUGUUUAGAUGACAUAACUGAGAUGGGAUGGAUCCUUCUAACUUAUUGUCUUUAAGAGAAAGACUUUGCAACUCUUCCAAUCCACCAAUUGUAGUAGGAAUCUGUCCUAUCAAUUUAUUGCCUCCGAGAUCAAUGCUUAUCAAGUGACUUAAGUUUCCAAUUUCAUUGGGGAUGCUACCCCUGAUGUUGCAUGAAUAAGCAGAGAACUCUUCAAGAGAACUUGAGACAUUUCCUACCACUCUUGGAAGUUCACCACUAAUAAAUGGGUUGCUAUCGAAAAGAAAGUUCGAGCCGACAAGGUGAUUGCUAGCAAGAUAUAAUUGCUCCAUGUUUGGAAGUAAAAGGCCCAUGUUUGAUGGAAGAUGGCCAGAGAGCUGAUUUAUAUCCAAAGCAAUCAUCCUUAAAGUUGAAAUAUUAAAUACAUGUGGAGGGAUAGAACCAGUAAGAUUGUUAAAGUCUAAAUCCAACCAAUUUAGAUUCUUUAGGUUGCCAAUCUCACGUGGUAUUAUACCUGCCACAAAUUUUAUCAAACAAAAAUAUUAGACAAAUAUGAGGAAGAAAAUAGUUUAUAUAUAUGAAACAUUUGCUUAUAUUUUUUAUAAUGUGUACAACCAUAGACAAUUAGUGUAUCAAAUAUGAAUCAACAAUAUUUACAAAAAAAAUUAAUUCACAAUAAAAUUGUUUUUAUAGAGCGCUUGCAAAUAUUAAAGUACUUCAAGUAAUUUUAAAUUGAAUUUUUUAGGUUUAAAGUUGGAAUAAGUUCAAAAUGAGAAGGGAUUGUAUGAAAUUACAAUUCUAUGUCAUCUUUAUCCCUUAUAGGAGAAUAACAACUCAGAUUUUUCCUCCUAAUUUUUAGCUUUUUCUUCUUGAAAAAAUUUAAAAUCCAACUAAAAAAGUUAAAAAUUAAGAGGAAAAAUCUGAUUUAUCAUUCUCUUAUUGGAAAGGGAUAGAGAUUACGUAGAAUCACAGUUUCAUACAAUCACUUCUCAUUCAAGUUAUAGAAAAUAAUGAUGAAAUAAAUGAUAAAGAACAAACAUUUAUAAGUCAAAUAAAAUAAUUAAGAACAUAAUGGUGAAUUAAAUUUGUUUUCCUUUUAUCUGAUUUGAUAAAUUUAAAAUUUUUAAGAACAUAAAAAUAAAUCAAAUAUGAUUUUUGGUCCCUUGGAGUUUUGUUUGGCCUCAACAGGGGUAAAUGUAAAUAAUGGACUUAAAAAAAAAAGAAAUAUACUAAUUGCAAUGACUAUGAAAAAUUUUAUAAUUAUUGUAGAAUAAUCAAAACACAGAAAGCGGUUGAGCAAAAUAAAGUUCAAAUUAAUAAAAACUAUCAGUAAAAGUUGCAAAUUAAUAAAAAUAAUUUGGAAAUAAUUUAACUCUUUCUUAUACAUUCACCUGUAAAAUUGCUAUGGGAACAAUCAAACGACAUAAGAAGAGUUAAAUUCACAAUUUGUUUAGGAAUUUCACCUGCAAUUAUAAAAUUCACAUAUCAAAUUAAAAAUUCAUCUCCUAGCAAGGAUUAUAAUAAUAAAAUUAAGGUAUAAUGGCUUAUUUAGCUCUUCAAUUUUAUUAAAAAGAAUCAUUUUAGUCUUUCAUUUAAUUUUUCAUCUCUUUUAGCCCUUAAACUUGCAAUGUUUGUCAAAUCAUCCCAAAAUGAAUUGAAAAUUCCAUGUGUAUGCCACAUCAACAAUUAAUUUUUAAAAUUUUAAAAAAAUUCUAUUUUAUUACUAACGUGUCAGCAAAGUAAACAAACAUUAACUUUUCCAUACAUUUUUUGGGCUGAUAUAACAAACAAUACAAGUUCAAGAGCUAAAAGAAACGGAAAAUUAAAUAAAAAAUUAAAAUGAUUUUUUUUAUAAAGUUGAAGGGCUAAAUAAAUAAUUAUUUCUAAAGUAAACAAAGCACGUUAGCAAGGUAUUUCACAUCAUAUUAGGUGUCAUACACACUUCCAAGUCAAGUUGGAACUAAAAGAAUAUUUCUCUCAUCAUUUUGUCGUAGUUUAUUCUUCAAUCUUCUUUUGAAAAAUUUCAACUAUGUAUUCGUUUAAUAAAUAAAUUUAUAUUUUCAAUCUCAAUAUCUAAAUUAUUAUAUUCAUUACCUUAAUUUCUUUUCAAAAAAACAAAAAAAAAAAUCGUUCCUUGCAUCUCAAUGUACUUAAAAAAAAAAGUAAACACUUCAAAAGGUUUUAAAAAUGGUUAGCAUAUAUUACCUUCAAAGUGGUUCCGACCAAUAGCGAUGUCUUGAAGCAGGCUCAAAUUCCCAAUUUCUAUUGGUAGGCUCCCCUCCAUUUGGUUAUACGAUAAAGCUAACACUUGUAACUCUUUGCACUUGAAUAGACUGGCAGGAAUUCUACCAGAAAGCAGGUUAAGACUCCAGUACAAUCCUUUCAAAUUUGGAAGAUGAUCAAACAUAUCUUUUGGGAUAUGACCAGUGAGAUUAUUGGAGGUGAAAUCGAUGACUUCUAGCAAAAGCAAAUCACGUGGAACAGAGGGUAUAGAACCAGAGAAUAUAUUAAUAUUAUUGUCAGUAUAGGAGGAUGUGAAUUUAAAUGCAUUGAAACAUAUUUAUCUUCUUAUAUAAUUAUUAGCAAAAAAAAAUUAUGGAUAGUUCUAGACAUUUUAUAAAAAGAAUUUGAUAUAGCAAGAUUUAGAAAAUAAUUUGCAUUAUUUAUUUUAGGAAAUUAUUGAAUAAAGAGAUCAAGAAUUUUCAAUUUAAAAACUUUUAAAUUUAAAUCAUAACAGGAGGAGUUUAGUUACUUUACAAUUAUCCAAGAUGGAUUAAAUUUUGAACAAAAAGGAUAUUGACCAAAAAUUAAAAUAACCAUGAAAUCUUUUACAACAUUCAAUGAGGUUGAAAGAUUUUAUUUUUAAUUUUUUGAUUUUUGUUGAAUUAAUAACUUAUUUGGCUUCUAAUUUUUUUUAAAAAGACUUUUUUUUAGUCUUUAAACUUAUAUUGUUUAUCAAAUUAUUUCAAAAUGAAUGAAAAAAUUAAUGUUUAUUAACAUUGUCGAUGUAAAUAAUAUUAAAUUUAUUUAAAAAGUAUAAAAAUAUUUUUUUAAAAAUUAAUUAAUUGCUAACAUAACAUAUACGUGGUAAUCUAUAUGUAUGCCACAUCAGCAAAGUUAACAAAUGUUAUUUUUUUCAUCCAUUAUAAGUUAUUUGACAAAUAAUGUAGUUUCAAGAGUUAAAACUGACGAAAAAUUAAAUAAAUGGCUAAAAUUACUUCUUCUUCUUUUUUAUAAAGUUGGAGGGUGGAAAAAUUGUUAUACAUUUUUUUUUCUUGUCUUAUCAGUACCCUCGACAACACACCACCAUAAAGUAAGAAUAUAAAGCAUGGUUCAUUUAACUAGAUUUUUAGCAAGAAAAUUGAUAUUGUUGUCUGUAUAUAUAAAAAGACACAGGUUUAAACUUAUUGAAAUAUAUUUAUCCUUUUAUAUAAGGAUUAGCAAAAAAUUAUAGAUAUAUAAUUCUAAGCAUUUUAUAAAAAAAAAAAGUUAUAUAAUAUGACAUAGAAAAUAAUUCACUUUUUAUUUUAGGACAUUAUUGAAUAAAGAAAUCAAGAAUUUUUAAUUUAAAAAUCUUAAAUUUAAAUCAUAACAGCAGAAGGAGUUUAGUUUACAAUUAACCAAGAUGGAUCAAAUUUGGCUUUAUAUCUAAGAUAUGAACACUGUAAAUAGAUUAAUGAUAAGCAUUAAACUAAAUUAUUGGAAUAAAAAGAUAAGCAAUUUUACAAUAUUGGUGCUGGGAACAUAUCUCUAUAGAUUCAGUAAUGGCGCGCUCUCCAAUUUUCUAAGUAUUCAGUGGCUUACCCCUUCGUUGGGUUUGGUUUGGGACGGCUGCUUAACUUAGUUGUGCAAUCUAAAGUCUUUCCACUUUGUCGUUUUAAAAGUAUGCAUAUCUGAGUGCGGGAAGAAGUGAUUGCGAAGUUGACACUUUUUCAACUUAUUACAAAAUAAAAAAUAAAAAAAGGAGACACAAAUUGUUUACGUAGUUCGGUUUUUUUACGCUUGCGGAUCUUAGUUUAGUGAGAAAUAUCUACUAUCACCAACAUUUAUAAUAAGUGAUCUUAAAUCUAUCACAACCCACUGGCAAUUUCCUCACUUUUGUACCUUUGAAGACUAGUACUCUCACCACUAAAUUCACCUCUGUGAACUUAAUUUAUAAAAUCACAAUACACAAGUUUUACAAUCAAAUGCACUCUUACAAACAAUAUUCUUCGCUUAAAUAGACUAAGUGCUCUCAAUUCUCUACACAAUCACCUAUACAAGUCUCUCAAUUAUAUAUAGAUUUCGAGAUUUACUAACAUAAUGAAAAUCUAUAUCAAUCUCUAUUAAACAACAACUAAACUAGUUGAAUAAAUUAUAAUAAUGAAUAAGGUAAACAAUGAUUGUUGGCAGCUAAGUCUUCAACGUUCCAAUUCGAUUCAACUUCCUCGAUCCAAGCGAUUAGAUAGACAUGGUCUGAUCCAAUCCGAUCCCUUAAACAUGUUUCCUGAAGUGAUAUGAUCUGUAACACCCCAAACCCGGCCUAGACAUUAUGGCCAAAUUUGGGAGUGUUACGAAGAAGGGUUUUAAAAUCAAUCUUAUUAUUAUUUUCGUUAAGGGAAAUAUUGUUAAUUUGAUCUUUCAGAAAACUUAUUUUGCAGCGGAAGUUUGAUAUUGUUAAAGUUGAAAAUCGAGUUUGUGUUUUCAGAAAAUAUUUGCUUGCGUAAAACCGUAGUUUUGUCAAAUCUCACAGUAUAAAAGUCAAAAAACACAUACAAAACCAAAAUUAAAACAAAUAGUCCAGAGAGUCCCAAAAUUACAAAACUCUCAACAACAAUUCAAAUUUUUAAAAACAUCGUUAAUCAAAAUAGUUCGCGAACUAGUGGUCACCACUGAGACUCUGUCGCACCGACCCGCCUAUGUCUGAGGACUACCUUAACAAAACAGAUAACAUAUGUGAGUUUUCAUAAACUCAGUGUGUAACCCAACAGAGAUAGACAUACAAAUAUACUCAGAAUUUCCAUAUGCAAAAUAGAUAUACAUACAAACAUAAGUCCUUAACAGAACCAGAUAGUUAGAACACAGAUAUGCAAAAUCUUACCCCCAUCCUCUACACACCAUCUCCGACCAUCCUAUCACACCAUGUGGGGUAUAAAACACCCACCCAUCCCUACAUACCACAUAGUGUCUGCACGACACUUAUCAGAAUAAUUUGCAGCUAUGCUGCUAGAGUAAGGGCAAAAUAUGGCCUCACAGAACAUUCCUCCAAUAAAUAGAUCCCACCCCAUAUAUAUAUAAAUAGCAGAUAAUAGAUAUAAUAAAAUUAUCAAGUCUUGCAUGCUUAUAUAUAUAUAUAGGUAGCAUACAUGUUAUUACGAACUAGUCAAACCAUACAUAUCAAUUUCUAAAUGCUCAAAUCAGACUAUCAGAAUACAUGUAUCAUGCAUUAGGGUAUGUUUUGCCCUUACCGACCCGACCGAAGGCCCACAGUCGAUUGAAUCGACUUAUGUGACCAUAGAGAAGAUUUCAGAAUUUUGGGCUUACAUGCUUGUGUGGGCCUACACGCCCAAAUUGGCCUUGCUCGUGUGGCCCACACGACUUGGCCCCAAAUUGGCCUAUCCCGUGUGUCGCACACGCCCAUGUGGCGUGAUAGACCACUUUUUUGGAUUUUACCGAACCUUAUUUUUCUGUGUUUUUGUUACACACCUGGUUCAUUUUUUAUGCUACAACAAUCCCGAGACCACCAGAACCUAACAAUCACAAUACACGCUCCCAAAAUCAGUCUUACUCCUCAAUUAAACCAAAUUACAGAAAUUGACUACAGUGGAAAUCGAGUGUUCAUCACUUACCCAACUUCCCGAAUGAUCUCUAUUCUACGAUUCCACAAGAGGAGAGCUCCGUUCCUCACAAUUCGCUGUUGCCAACAACUCAAAAAAUCAAUACUAACGAAAAAGACAACAUCGUUAAAAAGAAAAACCGCUUUCAAAUAAAUCUCCCCUAACCCAUGCUAAACCUUUCAACCACUACUUACCAAGCCGUACGAAAACAGGAAGACCGAAACACCUUGAUUUGAAAGGGAGGUUAUGACAGAAAUCAAAAAGAAAAGAAAAAGAAAAUUUUGACAAUAGGAGAAUAGAAAAACGUCAUAAGGGAAAAAAAAUUGGGAAAAGAAAAUAAAAAUAAAAUAAUAUUUAAAUAAAAUAUCCCUUCAACUCCCACUAAUCCACAUCCAACCAGCUUAGAAUUUCAGCUCCACCCAAACUCUAUCAGACUACCAAGACAAAAAUUAUCAUCCUUGCUCCCGCAGGGACUCGAACACAAGACCUUUAGGCAAGUUAACUCCUUACCACUCGAACCAGCAAGCUCAUUCUAAUACAAGUGUACCGGAAGUAUAACAUAAGCCCACCCAACAGGGAUAAGACUAGGAUAAAAAAUAUCAUAUUUUUCAAAAGUGAGACUUGAACUCAAGACCUCAAACACACAAUCAGAAUACUCAGCCACUGAAGCAAAUACAUAUUUAUGACAUAAUUCACAGAAACAAGGUUAAAUAAUCAAGGCGUUACAUGAUCUUUAUUGAUGGGCUAGAUAAAAUCCACAAUAUCAGCACAACCAAAAAAUUCGGUUCAAUAAAUUGUCAAUCACCUAGAUAUGAAAACAGUUUAACCAAUUGCAGUGCUUCAGGAAGUGACACUUCCUCAAGUAUAUCUUAGUCAUUCCAUAGUUUUCAACAAUCUUCCCUUUUGACAAUUUGUUGAACAAAACAUAAACAACAAUUGGAGCUAUAUCAUCAGGUAACUUUAUCUCCCCCUUAGCAUUUCCCAUUAUUUCCAAAACUAUCUUAGAAAAUAAUUAAGUAAAUUAACCAUAUGUUGGUGUGGAACUUUGGUGAGGAAAAUUUCAAACACAUAAAAGGAGCUCAAACGGACCAUGAACAACAACUCGAAUAGAAAAACAAAGCAAUAAAACAAGGUUCCAAGGCGUGUAUCAAACAUCUAUCUUUAAGGUUCUAUUUGCUCUACCUAUACUCGGUGUGGAAAUGAGUUUCAAGCAAAUGAACCUCAAAGAUACAAUGAAGCUCGGUGACUAUUUGCGACUUGUAUUGAUGAAAUAGUUCACUAAGCACAAAACAGAGUAUAACAAAAAAAAUAAAUUUCUAUAAAGAAUUUCGGUAGUAAUUCUUUAUAGAAUAAUCUAAUAAUAGUAGAAGAUGGAGGAAUGAUAGAAAAAUCUUUUGAGAAUUUUUUGUAUUUUUUCAACUGAAAUCUCACUCCCAUUUAUAGGAAUACUUAUGUCUCUUAAUAGGGACACAACUUUCGAUAGGUGUCUUUUCUGAAUAAUCCCUUUUUAAAAGAGACAUAAUUAUGCAACUAAUAUCUUAUAAUUAUUCAAGUAAUAUUACUAGUAUAGUUAUAAUUCUUUGUCAAAAAUCAAGUGAUAUAACUCUUGACCAAUAACCAAAAUACAUUAUAUCCUUUUCCUGUUAUAUGGCUCAGAAGAGCUUCCCGUUUACAUGCUUAUAUAAGCAUACAAGUACAUGAAUUGAUGGGUUAUAGAUUUGUACACUUCGUGUGUACUACCCGUGUAUCCAACGAUAUUUUAAAUCGUUCAACGGGCAAAGUUCUGAUAAGAAACAAUAUGAGUUUGAAAUGAACAAUUAUGGGUGUAUACUUGAAUUACAUGGAAAUGAUAUUGAUGAUAAUGAAACAUGAAAUGGGAUGAUACAUGUAUAUGGAACUUGCUUGGUGAUUAUGUUCACCCAUGUUUAUGGAAUAUUACAUGAGAUUCACAUGACUAACAUGUUGAGGAUAUGUGUAUAGGCUUUUGGCUAAAUUGGUUUGGAUAUGUUAUGAAUGCUUACCUUAAAUGUGAAUAAAUGGUAAGUUAAAUUCCAUGUUAUACAAACUUACUAAGCUUAAAUGCUUACUCUAUUUUAUUUUCCACGUUUUAUAGUAAUUCAGAAGCUCGAUUUGGUUGGAAGUUGGUCGGAGCUACUUCACACUAUCCAUCAGCUUUUUUGGUACAUAUAGUAAACUAAUUUUGGUUAUAAUGGCAUGUAUAGGUUAAUUUGGCCAAUGAUGGUAUACCAAUAUUUUAUUGAAAUUAGCCAUUUGUAUGGCUUGUAUUUGGUAUAUUUUGAUGUAUAUAUACUUGUGGCCUUAUCAUGUUUGAUGUGUGCUUGAUGUGGUUGAAUAUGGGAUAAUUUAUAAGCAUAUUGAUGAUUGGUAUGAGAGAGUGUAUAUUUGGUAAAAAUAUUCAUAUAUGUGUAUUUGGUCAAUUUGGCAAGUUUGAAUACUUGGAUAUAUGUGUUGAUAUGUUAUGUAUAAAACUUUUUUUUAGCUUGAUUUGAAUGCCUUGUUAUGACUUGAUGUUGUGUAAGUGUUGUGUUAGGUUGAUGAUAAAUGAGGUAAGAAAUGUGGCUUGGAAAUGACCUAUUUUUGGCCACACAGGCAGAACGGGUGUGUGUCCCCUGUAUAUUAAAUUUGCACAAAAUAGAAUGCUUACACGGCCUAGCACACGUGUGUGUGGAUUGGCCGUGUGACAAGUCAUAGAGCUCAUAAGUUUGGACAUGGGUUGGGAAACGGCCGUGUGUCCCUAUUUUGAAUACCCACAUGGCCUGAGACACGGGCAUGUCUCUUGACUGUGUGAGACACAUGGCCUAGCCAUACGGGUGUGUGUCUCAUGCACCUUUGAAAAUUUUUAAUAUUUUCUGAAAAAUUCUUUGAGUACCUGAUUUAGUCCCGACUUGUUUUUAAUGUGUAUGUUGGGCCUCGAGGGCUCACAUAAGGAACAUUAUGCUUGAUUACGACUGUUUUCGGAUAUGAAUGCUAUAUGAUAUGAAAUAUCUGUUUAUUUGUUUUGUAAAUUCUGGUAAUGCUCUGUAACCCUAUUUCAGCGACGAACACGAGUUAGGGGUGUUACAACAACCUAAUGUCGAAAAGGGUGAGAAUCAAUGUCUUUAGGUUAUUGCCUAGAAUGAGUUUGUUAUGUAUGAGGUUAUGCUUGAGGGCGUGCAUGAUUAAGGAUAUAUAGGCGAGAAUAAGGUCUUGAUGACCCAAGAGGUGGAAGACCAUGUCGAGAACUCUACAACCAAUUCCUAGUUUGAUGGUGCAAUAAAGGAGGAUGUGAAAAUUGAUGAGCUCAAAGUAAAGGGUAUUGGUGCUGAUGGUGUGGGCAAAGGCGAUGCCCAAUGCUUGACAAAUUUGACAAGGAGUAAAGUCAGACAUAUAAUAAAAUUUAUUAUUUAUAAAAUAAACUAAAAAAAGAUAGAGAGAAAAGUUUGAAUAUGAUUUAAGUCUUGUUUGUGAGGGUUUUUUUAAAUAUUUUAUUUAUAAAAGUAUUAUUUUAAUAAAUAAAUUUUAUGUUAGAAAUAAGAGAAAAUGGGUAUUCAUUUAGUAUGCAUAUUUAUCAAAAAAUAAACUUUUAAAUAUUUUUAUUUUUGAAUUUUCAAGAAGUAAAAUUAAAUUGACAGAAUGUGUAAAGUUGAGAGCUAAAUUUGUUGGUUUUUUAGAUUUAAGGCUAAAUUGAUAGAAUCUAUCAACAUUGGAGGGUUAAACUUGUUAUCCAAUAAAAAAGGCCACUGUUAGUGAUUUAACAAAGGAGAGAUCAAAAUAUUAAAUUUCAAUAAUGAUAAUGACUAAAAUAGAAAAUUUUAAACUUGAGUGACCAAAAUAGAAACACACUAAUAAUUGGGUGACUAUUUUUAUACUUUGCCCUAGAUUGAAUAAUGGUUACCAAUUUUCGACCCCUUUGUUGGGUGACUAAUAAUUGGCUUGACUUACUUUUGAGCAAUCUAAAGUCUUUCCACUAUGUCGUUUAAAAACAUCAACAAGUGCUUAUCACCUUAUAAUAUAAUAGUCUAAUUUGAGAGAAACUUCAGUAUUGGGAUAAUUUUAUAAUCAAUUGGACAACGAAGCUAUCAGUUUUGUUCUUCAAGGAUAAUUAAGGUCUGGUAUGGAAACAUAACCGAUCCCUAAAUUUCCUGGACUUUGUUGUGCAUUUUAAAGUCUUUCUUUGGGUAAAUUGUAAAAAUAGUCACUCAAUUUUGGUUAAAUUUAUUUUUUUAUCAUUGAAUUACAAGAAGUUACGUUUUAGUUACUAACAGUAUCGAGUUAUAACGUAUUGGUCACUUGUCCAUUAACCGUCGUUGCAUCUUUGAAAGUGAUGUGGCACGUUAACUCAAGGGUUAAUAUCUAAAUUGACUCUAAAUUAUAGUUAAAAUAUUCUAUUUGGUCUUUUUACAACUUUUUAAUGAUGAUUCUAAAAUUAUUCAUUAAAAAUACAAGAAAAUGAAAAUUUUCAAAAAUUAUUUAUUUAUUUUUUAAAACAAUAAAAAUAUUUAUUAGAAAUUAUUUAUUUAUUCAUUAAAAAUGCAUUCUUUCAUGAAUCUUUUUACUGUAGCUUUUUAGAAAAUGUCGCGGAUAAUAUUGUUUUUCGUGAUGUUUUCUAAAAAGGUUACAAAAAAAACAUAGUUUUUAUGAUGUUUUUGCAAAUAGACACAAAAUAGAAGUCCCGAAAAUUAGAAUUCUCAUAGCGAUGACUCAAUCCCUUACCUUUAUUGUUUUAAAAAUAAUUUUUUAAAGAAAUAGGAUCUCAUGCAUAAUUGUUGAUGCACAUUAUAUUUAUGUUAUACCUCUCACAUUCUCAAUGUGUUGUAUUGUUGAACAAGUAAUCUUGUUACUUCUAUUGUGGCAAAUUCAAUGGAGGGAGUUGUCUUCUUAUUUCUACCACAAAAAGUUUCUCAAUUUAUUUCAUUGGGUGAAAAUCUAAUGGCAAUCAACAAAUUAGAUAACAAUUCCCAUGGUACUCGUUGGAUAACCCGGCCAUCUUUUUUUACGGGAUGUAAACUUUUCUAAAUAAUAAGAAAAGAAAAGAAAAGUUUGGGCAUUUCAAUUUAAGUAGCUCACCUCUAAUUGCUUACCUCCAUUAUUUUAGUAUACCUCAAUUAAUGAUUUCCCAAAUCAUUAUAAGAAUUAAUACCUUUCAAGACGAAUGUGUAACAUUUAUAACACUAUACUUUUCUUAAGACUUAGAUAUAAACUUUCCCCCUAGCUUUUAUAGUUGUUAUAUAGUCGUUGACAAGUCAUGUCUUGAGGCAAUCUAUCAAUUGUCUCUAGACACACUGCACAAUGUCUCAAGAAAGGCCGAUAUGAAUCAGUAUAAGUCAAUAUUGACUGAAACAAGCUAAAACAUACUAGAAUGGUCGAUACGCAUCAAAAUCUUAACCAAUACAUCGUAUUGGUUGAAGACCAGAAAGAUACGUAUCAAGCGUGUUCUAUGUUGAUAUCUCUUUUAUGUGCUGCUUUAUAUUUUUGUUCUUCUAAUAAGAUUUGUUUGGCUUAUAAAAAACUAUUUUUAUUAAAAUAAAAUAAAUGAAAACCUUAUGCAAAGAUUGAAAAAUGAGAUCAAAAUUUUCUAUGUUUUGAUAUUGAGCAUUUAAUAAUUUGUAGCUAUAUUCUACAAAGAAAAAAAAUUGCACCAAUACAAUUUCAUAAAAUUAUUACAAAUGAUCAUAAAAAUUUAGCGAAAUUUAAUAUUUCUAAUUGAUAUAAUUGGGAAUGGUUAUGCGAUUAAUAAUAAUCUUUUUGAACUUUGUUUAAUACAUGAUUUAUGCAAAACAAUAUUGGCAACUUAAAUUUCUGCAUGUCUUUUUAGAGCAUAAUAGAUUGGCGGAUUGUAUAGCCAAAGUUGUUCCUAGUAAUCUUAACAGGUUAUCAACUUUUGAAAACCAAGUUGAUCAUGCUCAAUCUUUGUUAGAAGAAAAUACUCAUCCAACAAUGAUUAAUAUAGAUUCCCAUCAACUUUAUUGUAACUAAUUGCUUGAACUUAUUUCUUUUUUUAAAAAAUUCACAAAAUACAAAAAUAACUAUUAAUAAACUUUAUAGCAAAACAAAGCAUCAGUAUAAAUAUUUAUCAAAGACAUUUCUAGAAAGCAAAGCUUAUGUUUAUUUUAGUCAACUUGAUAGCUACCACUUCAUCGAACUCAUUCUAUAUCUCUUAAUAACUUCACUUUGAUCUUCUUUAACUUUGUAACAAUCUCUUUCAUAUGAAGCCUCUCAUUUGGUAACUCAAAACAACAUUCUAAGCCCAGUUGCAAAAUGGAUAAGGCACAAUUCUGGACUUUUAAAUCUUCCCUUCCAAUGGUGCUCAACAACUUGGGAUCUACAGCUUGAUUUAGCGAAGAUGAUUUCGACUCUAUCACCCAACUCUUUAAGCUUCUUUCUCCUUCAAACAUUUCAUCUGUGGGCUUUUUUCUUGUGAUGAUUUCCAUCAAAAGAAUACCAAAGCUAUACACAUCACCUUUUGUCGAAACAAUUCCUUCGAUUCCAUAUUCUGUGUAUGAAUAUAAAAACAACAUUAUGAAUAUUCAAAGAUAUCUUGAUAAUGAAAAAUCCGUAUAAAAUAUACGAAACAUUAUAUGCUUGCAUGUUAUAAUUGAACUGGGAUUUAAUCUAGUUGCUUCCUUAAAAAGUCACAUUUAAUAUGUUUGAAACUCAAAUCUUAACAUAUAUGAUCCCUUUUGUUAUGCACAUGCUACGCUUACAUUGAAAAUGGAAAAAUAAACAUGGAGUCUGGUUAGAAGUAUCACCUGGUGCCAUAUAUCCAAAUGUUGCAAUUGUCAUGGUUUGUAUCAUUGAAACCUCUUCACAUAAGAGUUUGGUGAUGCCAAAAUCACUCAAAUGCGCAACCAUAUCUUUAUCUAAUAGAACAUUGUUGGGUUUUAAAUCACAGUGAACCACGGGUGUUGCAUUGUCGUGAUGGAGAUAUUCCAAUGCAGAUGCAACAUAUAUCAUUAUGUUCAACCUUUGUAGGAUAUCCAAAUAUUGGUUGUUGGAAUGCAACCAUUUAUCAAGACUCCCAUUAGGCAUGAACUCAAGAACCAACGCUUUGAAAUUAAGAUCAUUUGAGCAACUGCUUAUUACUUUGACUAAAUUUCUGUGACGAAUGUUGCGGAGAACAUCACAUUCAACAUCAAAGCUCUUAAAAGCUCAUUCUAACUCUAACUUGAAGAUCUUUACCGUAAUGAUCAUCCCAUCUGGGAGAGUCGCGUGAAAUAUUGAACAAUAACUUCUAUUACCAAGCAACCUACUAUCACUGAAUUUGUUGAAGUUAGCCUGCAAGCUGACAAGAAGCAACAGGAGCUUCCCAAGCCUAGUAGUUCCAGCUGAGGUUCAUGCUGCUGAUUUAUUUUGCUACUUUUGAAUGAUAUUUUGUAACUAGUUAGAUUAAAACUACAUUUUUGAUGUACUUGAUGUAAUUUGUUGAUGUUUGGGCUGAUAAAUCAGCUUUGCAAAGUGUACAAGUUAAGUUUGACAAGUUUCAAUGUACUUAAUGGUAGUAGGUAGUGUUUAGGUAAUUAUUUUAUUUCUCUUUGACCAACUUAUGUCUGGUAUAUGUAUUGGCAUUAUGCCAUUCUUCAAGUUAAUGAAAUAUUCAUCAAAGAAUUCAUCAUUCAAUGCUCUCAUGAUUCAUUUCUUUUCUUUUGUUCUUUAAGCAAAAUUCUAUUUUGUUUACACAGGAAGCAUCAAGCCUUCUAGCUCAAGAAAUUACUUGUUUCAUUCAUUUGUUCCAACAAUUGGUAUCAAGAGCUUAUUUCUUAGUGGACCUGUUAUUUUUAAAAUUUAAAAAAAAAUCAUUUAUUCAUCUGGUUUCUCUCCAACUCCACCACCAGUGUUUAAUGGUGAAGGCUACCACAUUUGGGCAGUGAAAUUGAAGACCUACCUGUAGGCAUUCGACUUGUGAGAGGUUGUUAACUUUGAUGUUGAACCAGCACCUCUAAGAGUCAAUCCCACAGUGGCUCAGAUCAGGCAGCAUAUAAAUGAAAGAACCAAAAGACACAAGGCCAUGUCUUACAUCCAAAAUAGUAUGUUUGAUGUGAUUUUCACAAGGAUCAUGGCUUGUGAGUCACCAAAGUAGGCUUGGGAUAGGUUGAAUGAGGAGUUUCAAGGGACUAAGAGAACAAGAUAGCAACAACUCCUGAAUUUGAGAAGUGACUUCGAAAAUUUAAAGAUAAAGGAGGAGGAAACUGUAAAGUAAUAUUUAGACAGAAUUAUGGCCGUUGUGAACAGCAUCAGAUUGCUUGGGGACCAGUUUAGUGAACCAAGAAUUGUAGAGAAGGUUAUCUCAACUUUUCCUGAGAGAUAUGAAGCCAAGAUUUCUUCCCUUGAAGACUCGAGAGAUCUGACUAGUAUCUUUUUGACUAAGUUGAUCAAUGCUCUUUAUGCACAAGAGCAAAGAAGGGUCAGCAAGCAGGAGGAGCAUCAAGAAGGUGCCUUCCAAGCCAAAAGUAGACCUGCCUCGACCUCCUCUGGCUACAAAGGGAGAAAGGCCUGGUCUGAUAAGCCAAGAAGAGAUGGAGCAAGAAGAAGAUAUCCACCUUACCCACAUUGUAGAAACCUCAGUCAUCUAGGAGAAAAUUAUUAGUUUAGGCCUGAUGUGCAGUGCAAAGUCUGCAAAAAGAUGUGCCAUGUUGAGAAAGUCUGUAGAAAUAAAGGCAAGCUGAGACAAAACCAACCUCAACAGCCAAAAGAAAGAGCAAGUCUUUGCAGUCUCUUACUCAGAUGCCAAAAGAAAAGGCAGAAAAUAAUGGCUGAUAGACAGUGGUUGCACAAACUACAUGACUCCUAAUGUUGUUAUAUUCAAGAACAUUGACAAAAGCUUUUAAACAAUGAGAUAUUGUUGGAUUUACUUCUUGAAGCACAAAUCAAAAGUAACCCCAGUAUUUUGAAAGUUUAAGGCUGCAGUAGAAACAUAAACAAGUUGCAAGUUGAAGACAUUGAGGUCAGAUAAUAGGACAGAGUACACCUCAGCAAUGUUUCAGAGUUUCUGUGAUGAAGAAGGCAUCAAGCACCAACUUACCAACACCUAGACACCUCAACAGAAUGGUGUUAGUGAAAGAAAUAAUAGAAGCUUAAUGGAUAUGGCAAGAUGUCUAUUGUUUGAGAGAAAUUUUCCCAAAACCUUAAGGGCUGAAGCUAUUAACACUGUUAUUUAUCUUCAAAAUAGGCUACCAACUAAGGCUUUGGUUCAUAAAACUCCAUUUGAUGCUUGGUUUGGGUACAAACCAUCACUUGCUCACCUAAAGGUCUUUGGCUGCAUUUGUUAUACACAUGUUCCUACUGUCAAGAGGGACAAGUUAGCCAAAAAGGCACAACAUGGUAUCCUAGUGGGCUACAGUAGUGUGAAGAAAGGCUAUAGGAUUCUGGAUCCUUCAACCAACAAAGUCUUUGUGAGCAGAGAUGUUGUGUUUAAUGUGAAUUCAGGCUGGAACAAGAAUAAAAAUAAACCAGAAAUAGUUGCUAAAGAUCUAAUGAUAGAUCAGACUGAAGCUGAUUGAAAUGAUCUUGAAAUAGACAUUGACCAUGAGCCAGUUAGGGGAACCAGACCUUUGAGUAAGAUAUAUGAAAGGGCGGAAGUGGCUACUGUUGAACCAAGAUACUUUGAAGAAGCUGAAGCUCAACAAGGAUGGAAACAGGCUAUGCUCAAUGAAAUGAGCAUGAUUUCCAAGAACCAAACCUAAGAGCUAGUUGCUAGACCAGCCAACAGGAAGAUCAUAGGAGUGAAACGGUUGUUUCGAGCCAAGCAAAUUGCUGAUGGAACUUUGAACAAGCUAAAGGCAAGACUGGUAGUGAAGGGAUUUAGUCAGAAGUAUGGCAUUGACUACUAUGAGACAUUUGCACCAAUAGCCAGGCUUGACACAAUUAGGCUGCUAGUUGCUUUGGCUGUACAGAAGCAGUGGAAAAUUCAUCAACUUGAUGUAAAGUCAAUCUUCCUCAAUGGUUUUCUUAAUGAGGAAAUCUAUGUUGAACAGCCUAAAGGUUUCAAAGUUUUUAGUGAAGAGGACAAAGUGGAUAAACUGAAGAAGGCCUCGUAUGGCUUGAAACAAGCAUCAAGAGCCUGGUAUGACAGAAUCAAUAGCUACCUAGCUAGCUCGGGGUUCGAAAGAAGUAUCAGUGAACCAACCUUGUAUGUAAAGAAAAAUGGCAAUGAAACACAGCUCAUAGUGUCUCUAUAUAUUGAUGACCUGCUGGUGACAGAAGAAAGUUAUAAAAUGCUGGCUAAUAUCAAAGAUAAAAUGAAGAAAAGUUUGAGAUGUCUGAUUUGGGAUAAAUGUCCUACUUCCUGGGAAUGGAAGUGUUUUAAACUCAGCAUGGGGUCUUUCUAAGUCAGAAGGCAUUUUUCUUGAAGAUUUUGAACAAGUUCUCCAUGUUGAAUUGUAAAGCAAUAAGUACUCCAGUUGCUGUUGGAGAGAAGCUGUCAAGCCAAGGUGAUUUUGAGAAGGUAGAUAACACAACCUACAGAAGUUUGGUUGGAUGUUUACUCUAUUUGACAGCCACUAGACUAGAUAUCAUGUUUGUUGUAAGUCUGCUAUCUAGAUUCAUGCACUGCUGCAAUGAGAAGCAUUUUCAACCUGCCAAAAAAGUUCUCAGAUACAUCAAAGGUACACUGAGUUUUGGAAUGAUGUUCACCAAGACUGAAAGCUUGAAGCUGCUUGGAUAUGUUGAUAGUGAUUGGGCUGGAUCGAUAGAUGAUAUGAAAAGCACAUCAGGGUAUCUGUUUACCCUUGGUUCAGUAAUUUUUUGUUGGAGUUCAAAGAAGCAAACUGUUGUUGCUCAAUCAACUGCUAAAGCAGAGAAUGUAGCAGCUGCUAGUGCAGCUAACCAAGCCAUUUGGCUAAGAAAGAUCAUGACAGACCUGAAUCUACACCAAAGGGAAGCAACAGAGAUCAAAUGUGACAAUUAAUCUGCUGUUGCAAUUGCAAAGAAUCCAGUGUUCCAUAGGAGAACAAAGCACUUCAAGAUUAAGUUUCAUUUUGUUAGGGAAAUGGAACAAACUCAAGAGGUGAAACUGAUUCAUUGCAGUUCUGAGGAUCAAUUGGUUGAUAUCUUGACAAAGCCCCUUAAUGUAACAAGGUUUGAGCAUUUUAGAGUCAAAUUGAAAGUUUGCAGCAUGCAAGCCAAGGAGGAGUGCUGAAGUUGGCCUGCAUGCUGACAAGAAGCAAUAGGAGCUGCCCGAGCCUAACAGUUCCACCUGAAGUUCAUGCUGCUGAUUUAUUUUGCUACUUUUGAAUGAUAUUUUGUAACUUAGUUAGAUUAGAACUAAGUUGUUGAUGUACUUAAUGUAAUUUGGUUGAUGUUUGAGCUGAUAAAUUAGCUUUGCAAAGUGUACAAGUUAAGUUUAACAAGUUUCAAUAUACUUAGUGGUAGUAGGUAGUGUUUAGGUAAUUAUUUUAUAAUUUUAAAUUAUAUAUAUACAUACAUAUAUUUUUCAUAUUUUUAUAAUUUUAUGUAUAUACACAUACACAUAUAUAUUUUAUAAUUUUUAUUUAUUUCCUUUAUUGUUUCGUUGUUUCGCAUGAUGUUUACUUUUUUAUUUAUGUGCCCAUUUUAUUUCAAAGAUAUUUUAAUUUGACUUGUUUAUUUACUUAUUAUCUUACAUAAUUGAUUCGUCUUUUUAUUUAUCUUUUAUUUGCUAUUGCUCGUGCUAUUUAUGCUUGUAUCAUCGUAUUUAUUAUUGUUUUGUUAUGCAUACCAACAAUGUAAUUUAUUUUCGCAUUUUUUACUAUGACAUCGUGUUUCAUUUUUACUCGAUAUAUCAAAUUUUUUUUAAAUAAAUAGCUUUUCGUAUUUUCAGAUUCGAAAAAGUCGUACCCUAACUUACGGGGUUUUGAUUUUCCUUGAUAAAUUCAAAUAUACGAAUCUUUUCAAACAUAAGUUUUUUAAACGAUCUCGGGGAUUAACAAAUGAUCGUGUUCUAACUUACGGGACGUGAUCUCUUUUCUAAACUAGAGAUAGUUGAAUAUCUUUUUAAACAAGUAAAUUUUGGCAUUUAUUCUCGUAUCGAGAAUUCAAUACAUUGUGUCCUAACGCAUUGGAUAUGACAUGUUUUCUCGAGAUGAGGGUUUUUCUAAAAAACAAUAAAGGCAAUAUUCAAUGUUUGGAAUUUUGAGAAAUUGGGCCCGAACAUAUUGUGCUUCGAUUUCUUCAUCUGACUUAAACAAUUGAAUAUCCUUUUAAAUUUCAUUGCAUGAGUUUUUUUAAAGGACAACCUCAUUUUUGAGGAUGUGAAAUAUCAUGCCCUAACCCAUUGGGUGUGACAUUUUUUCUCUUCGAAAUGAGAGGGUCUUAACAUGUAAUUUGAUUUAUACAAGUUUUAAAUAAAAGGAUUAUAUUUUAAAUCUCUUCAAAAUCUUCAAUUUUCGACACCAAGACACUAAUUAAUCAACUAGGUACCAAUUUUGAGCGUUACAAGGGUGCUAAUCCUUCCUCGUACAUAAUAGACUCCCGAACCCAUUUUUCUAAAUUUCGUGGACCAAAAUCGUUGUUUUAAUAAAAUCAAAUCGUUUAUUAAAAACAACCACUUUUCGAGGUGACCCGAUCACACCUCAUUAAAAAAGAUUGGUGGCGACUCCCACGUUCAUUUUUCAUUUUCAAAACCCAAGUCGACCCCGUUUACAAAAAAAUGGUUUCGACAGCUUGGCCCAAAUACAUGUCUAAAAAAUCAAUAGUAUCAAUACCCUUAACAAAGUAUCGGUACCUUUCACAAAAGUAUUAAUACCACUUUAAGGUUCGAUGUUUUGAAAAUUAAAGAAAAAUUACCUGAAUGUUGAUACCAGCCCCAAGGAAUCAGUACCUCAUAGCAAGUAUCGAUACAUUUCUUAUGGUACAGAUACUUUAGGCUUUAAUAUGGGUUGAGUCAGUUCGAGCCUGAGUUUAACAUGAUGUGGGUUGGGUUUGGACAAAAAUUUAGGCCUAUUUUUUGGGCCGAGCUUAGGCCUAACAAUCAAGCCUAAAGUUUUGUUAGGGCCCAUCCCGAACUCGGCCCGACCCGGCCCAUGGAGAACUCCAAGUAUAAUGACUUGUAUAUAGAGGUGAUUAUGGGCCGGGCUGGGCCCAAAAAAAUUUUAUGCCUAUUUUCUAGGCCCGGUCUCAGCCCGACCCAAAAUAUGUGCCUAAAAAUUUGUCCAAGCCCGGCCCGAAAGAAAAUUGUUAAGCCCGAGCCCGGCCCAUCCCGACCCAUAUUUGAUUAAAAAUUAAAAAAUAUUUAAUAUAUAAUUUGGAUUAAAGUCCAAAAAAUAUAUAUAUUUAAUAAAAAGUAUAUUUUAUUAAAAAUAAAAAUAAAAAUAUAUAUUUAAUAUAUAAUUCGGGCUGGGCUGGGCCGGGCCAAAAAAGUCUUACCCGAGGCCUGACCCGUUUUCUAAAUGGGCUUCAUUUUUUGCCCAAACCCAUAUUUCAGGCCUAUUUUUUUACCCGAACCCUCCUAUUUUUUAGGCGGACCGUUGGGCCGGGCCGGGUAGCCCAACCCAUGAUCACCUCUACUUGUAUAGCUCUUCAGGUUUAUAAAAAAAAGGUCAUUUUAGCAUUCUAUUUAAUUUUUUAUAUCUUUUAGCCUUUAAACUUGUUAUGUUGGUCAAAUCACCUCAAAACGGAUUGAAAAGUCCACUUGUAUGUCACAUCAACAAAUUAAUUUUUUAAAAUUUAAAAAUUCAAAACAAUUAUAAAAAUUAUUUUAAAAAACUUUAAAAAUUAUUUUUUUUUAAAAAAUUGAAAUUUAUUUAAUUGCUAAUAUGGCAUACAUUUAUGCAUGUCACGUUAGCAAAGUUAACGAACAUUAAUUUUUCCAUCCAUUUUUGGAGUAAUUUCACAAACAAUGCAAGUUUAAGGGCUAAAAAAAGUGAAAAAUUAAAUAGUGAACUAAAAUGAUUUUUUUUAUAAAGUUGAAGGGAUAAAUAAAUCAUUAUGCCUAAAGUAAAUAAAGCACCAUUAACAAGAUAUUUAACAUUAUAUUAGGUGUCAUACACGCUUCCAAGUCGAGUUGGAAAUUAAAGAAUAGUUCUCUCAUCAUUUUCUGGUAGUUUAUUAGUUUAUUUUUCAAUAUUCUUUUGAAAAUUAAUAUAUUCAUUAACAAAUGGUUAGCAUAUAUUACCUUCAAAGUGGUCCCCACCAAUAUAGAUGUAUUGAAGCAUACUCAAAUUCCCAAUUUCUAUUGGUAGGCUCCCCUCCAUUUGGUUAUACGAUAAAGAUGACAUUUGUAACUCUUUGCACUUGAAUAGACUGGCAGGAAUUCUACCCGAGAGCAGGUUAAGACUCAAAGCAAAUUCUUUCUAAUUUGGAAGAUGAUCGAACAUAUCUUCUGGGAUAUGACAACUGAGAUUAUUGAAAUUGAAAUCGAUGCCUUCUAGCAAAAGAAAAUCUCUCGUGGAAUAGAGGGUAUGAAACCAGAGAGCAUAUUAUUGUUUAGAUCAAUCUUUUGCAACUAAGAUAUAUUAAAGAUGGAGGAGGGUAUUGAACCUGAAAUCCAGUUUUUAGACAAGACCAAGAUCUGUAGCUUUGACAAAUAGCCUAAAGAGAAUGGAAUAGCACCUUUGAAGUUGUUGUGGUACAAAAACAAUCUUCGAAGUGCAGUUAAAUGAUCUCAACCAUGAUGGGAUUUCUCCACUGAAGGAGUUGUUACCAAAGCUUAAAUAUUUCAGCCGAUGCAAUUUGGAUAACUAGACAAGUAAUCUGCCGUAGAAACUAUAUUACCUGUCCAGUUAUCCAANNNNNNNNNNNNNNNNNNNNNNNNNNNNNNNNNNNNNNNNNNNNNNNNNNNNNNNNNNNNNNNNNNNNNNNNNNNNNNNNNNNNNNNNNNNNNNNNNNNNCAUCGGCUGAAAUAUUUAAGCUUUGGUAACAACUCCAAUUUCCCAAGUGAGGUGGAAGGGUGCCUACGAGUCCCAACCCAAUAAGGUUUAGAGCUGUGACUCUACGGUGCUUGGAUCCACAACUUACAGGCACUAUAGCAAAACAGGUUUUUAGCCACACUUUUAGCGGCAUUUGGAUAAAAAAUGCCGCUAUAGAUCGAUUAUUAGCGGCGCUUUCUGAAAAACGCUGCUAUAGAUCGAGCAUUAGCGGCACAUUUUGAAAAACGACGCUAUAGGUCAAACAUUAGCGGCGCUUUUUGAUAACACCGCAAAAAAUUAAACACAACGCAGUCGUUUUGUGUUAAGCUUUUGUGGCAUUAACGGCACUUUUUGAAAAACGCCGCUACAUAUCGAGCAUUAGUGGCGUUUUUUGAAAAACGCCGCUAUAGAUCGAGCAUUAGCGGCGCUUUUUGAAAAACGCCGCAAAAAAAUUAAACACAACGCCGUCGUUUUGUGUUAACCUUUAGUGGCAUUAGAGGCGUUUUUUGGAAAAUACCGCUAUAUAUCGAGCAUUAGCGGUGCUUUUAGAAAAAUGCCGCAAAAAAUUUAAGCACAACACCAUCGUUUUAUGUUGAGUUUUAGUGGCAUUAGCGGCGCUUUUAGUAAAACGUCGCUAGAGAUGGAGCAUUAGCGGCGCGUUUUGAAAAACGCCGCUAUAGAUCGAGCUUUAGCGUCGCUUUAUCGAAAAUGUCGCAAAGAGCAUUUUAUCUGUUUUAACUGGUUUAUUUAUAUUAAUUAAAAUACAGUUUAUUUUUAAUUGAAUAUUUAAAUUCUUCAAAAAAAUAAUAACACGUAGAAAAAUUUUGAAAGUAAAAAUAUAGAAAAAUAUUUGUUAAAAAUAAAAAAUAAAAUACCAUUAUUUAAAAUAAUUUUAAAGUUUUUUGGUACAUGACUGAUUGUUUUUUAAUUUAUAUAUUAAAUAAUUUCUUAUAUAAUCGUAAAAGAGAUAGUAUUAUUUUUAAAAUAUUGAAUUAAUUAUCAUUGUAGUUUAGAGUUUAGGGUAUAAGGCUUAGGAUUUAAGGUUUAAGGUUUAGGAGUUAUUAUUUUAAGGUUUAUGGAUUAUGGGUGUAGGGAUUAUAGUUUAAGGUUUAGGGGUUGAGGUUUAAGGUUUAGGGGUUAAGGGUUAAGGGUUUAUGUUUUAUGUUUUAUGAUUUAGGGGUUAAGGGAUAGGGGUUUAAGGUUUGUAUUUAAAAAUAUUUAAUCUAAAUCAUUUGAUAUAUUUAAAUAUUAGAUUUAAAAAAGAACAUUGAUAAAUAAAUAAAUAAAAAUAACAUAUCUAUAUGAAUAGUUAACUAUCUAUUUUAGAUAGAACCAAAUUAUAACAAAUAAAAAUAAAAUAUAAAAACUAAAAUCAUUCCACAUCACUUUUUAUCCCAAAAUUUCCCCGGGAACCCCUAAUUUUUCCCUCCUAAAAUCCUUGAAGUGUUUCUCUCUGCCACCACAAUCUUCAUCAUCAUCUUCCCCUCUCUCCCUCUUUUUGCAUACAUCUCAGAAGAGGAAAAAGAAAAAAAGGUAAAGAGAAAAACAACGCAAAUGGAAGAACCUCAAAACGGAAACGGAAAGUUGAAUACUAUCGCAGAGGAAGAGGAGGAGCCGGUUAUAGGACCAGGACCCGCCCCUCGAGCUCAACCGAAGCGCCCGCUCCAGUUUGAACAAACAUAUCUCGAUUCCCUACCUUCAACUAACAUGUAACUUUCUUCUUCUUCUUCUUCUUCUUCUUCUUCUCACUUCAGUAAUUAUUUAUUUAUUGGAAUUUUGUCGCUUUCUCAUGGUUUCCGUAGGGUUUAAUGAAAUUAUCUUCUUUGCUUUGGAGUUUAGGGUUUUGAAUUCAAGCUUCAGCCUUUUUUCAUUUUGUUUUUUUAAGUGAAAAAAGAAGCAAGGAGCAAAGGAACCGACAAAAUAAACCUUAAUUUCUUUGUACUGAAGUUGCGAAUAAAGAGCUCCAAGAGCUCAUGAUGUAUGCCUCUUUUUUUUGUGUGUGUGAUUUCUAGGUAUGAGAAAAACUAUAUGCAUCGAGAUGUAGUUACUUAUGUUGCUGUAUCGUCUGCAGAUUUUUUUCAUCACUGGAAAUGUUGAUGGUAAGCUUUAUGAUGUCAAUAUUUAUAAAACAAUAUCUGAAAGUCCCAAUAUUGUAUUGAUAAAAGAAAGUGUCAUUAUCUAAAGUCUGCUUUAAGUGUAUAUAUGCUUCUUUUCUCAUUCGGGUUUUUCGUUUAAAUUUUAUCAGUAAUAUUUGAGGCUUUAACAGUGAAUGGGAUUUUGGUACUGGCUUAUAGAUUGCUUGUCUUCAUUUUAUUUAUUUAUUUUUACUAGGGCAUUUGAAAUUUUGGAAGAGGAAAGCAGUUCGGAUUGAGUUUGCAAAGCAUUUUAGAUCCCACCUGGAUCCCAUUGAAGGUCUCUCGGUGAGUUUUCCCUCCUUAUUUCCCAUAUGCAUAUUUUAUUGACUGCUAUGGAAGGCUUAAGUGAAAGUUGGUGUUAUUGCGAUAAUUAACACCAGCUAUUGUGAAUUACUUAGUUAAUUUCUGAUCUCCUGUCUAAUUACAUUUGUCACUGCUUCUUUUUAAUAGCGGAUUUUUAUUUCAUUGACAAUGAGCCCAUGAUUGCUUUAGAUUGCUAGUCCACCUAGAUCUUGCACAGGCUAUUUGUUAUCUUCUUUCAUCCAGUGAAAUUUUGUUUCUGUUGAUGUUCUGAUUUUUAUAUUCACCCCAUGCAAUCUAAGUUGCAAGAACAUCGUUGCUGUUGAUGUUUUUGUUUCUCUCGAUUAGUUGUUGCUGUGAAUCUGAUUUGAAAGGUAUGCAAAAGCUGUUAAGACUUAGGAUUGAUGACAGUGAUAUAAUUGUUUAUGAAAGAAACUUGGUGUGAUAUCCUUAACCGGUUCUAUCAUGAAAAUAAUAGUUAUCCUACUUGAUUUUGCUCAUGGCGAAAAGGUAGUUAUAUUGCAGCAGAGUCAUGAAACUUAGGCAGUAACAAGAUGAUCCAUAAAGAAUAAAGCAGAAUAGCACAUAUACAUUUUCAUUUAAUUGAACAUAGGUGCAAUGGUGCAGCUUUACAUGCAUGAUAAUAUAACACAAAUAUAAUAGAAGGUUGGGGUCAUAAUGGCACAAUGUUUGGAUUUCUGUUUAGUUUUUUUUACCAGAAAUUUUCGGUGUGAGAGUGACCUUAGCGUUGGAAAGGUAAAUAAUUGGAAAACUUAAGGUAAUUUUUGGGGUUUUUUAAUAAAAAAAGAAAAAGUAAGAGUGUAUGAGAAUAUGAUGUGAAGACAUUUUUAGGAUCAUGAAUAACAUGAUCUUUUAAUGCUAGAAGAGCUGAUUGAUCUGUAAGUAUGGUGGUUAAUUUCAUCAAGAAAGUAGGCAUAGAAAAAUGGAAGAUGAUAAGAAGAGCUAAGUUGAGGAAAGUAUUCCCCAUUUGAAUUUGGGUGUUUAUGAAGCUACCAACAAAGGCAGAACUAAGAUUGCUAGACAGAUAAUUGAAUGACCACACAACUUCUUUUACAUAAUAUGUGUGUAUAUAUAAAGGGAGUUUAUGUUGCAAUUUCUUUUUGCGAGAAUGCAAAUGCUUUUAAUGCGAUUUACGUAUAAACUAUGGAAUUUAUUAUAGGAUGUGAUAAUAUAAUUAUGUAAUUAUUGCUUAAGAAACUUCUUUCUAAAUUUCUUUUUAUUCUUAAGAAAAUUACAAUAUUAAACUUUACAUAGAAAAACUAAAUAGUAUUGUAGUUAAAUUGCACUUGUACAAAGGUUACAACUUUUUCAUUAAAUUAUUUUAGAUUACUGAAAUUAUUAGAUAAGAAUGAUAAAAUUAUAUAUCAAAUACAAAAGUAUAUAGAGUGACAACUGAACAGUCACUUCGAAGAAUAUACACAACCCUACCGCUUGCUUAACUAGCGGCAUCUAAACACUAAUAAAUUUUUGUUUCUAUUGACUAAAAAUUUUUUGAAUAAAAAAGAUAUUGACUAAAAAUUAAAAUAAACCAUGAAAUUUCUUUGAGGUUGAAAGAUUUUAUUUAAAAUUUUUUUUUGAAUAAUAAUUUAUUUGGUCUUUUAUUUAUUUUUUAUUUUUGUAAUCUUUAAAUUUACGUUAUUUGUCAAAUUACUCCAAAACAAAUGGAAAAGUUAACUUUUUUUAACUUUGCUAAUGUGGCAUACACGUGGAUUGUCACGUGAAUGCCAAGUUAGCAAUUUUUUUUAAAAUUUAAAAAGUAAAAAUUAUUAAAUUAUUUUAAAAUUUAUUAAAUUUUUUAGAAUAUGUAAAAAUAUAAUUAAUUGCUAAUGUGACAAUUCACAUGUAUGUCACAUCAAUAAAAUUAAUAAAUACUAAUUUUUUUAUCUAUUUUAGGUGAUUUGACAAACAAUACAAUUUCAAGAGUUAAAAAGAGAUAAAUAAUUAAAUAGAGAGCUAAAGUAUAAAGUCUUUCCACUUUGUUGCUUUAGAAAUGAUUGAAAAUUUUAUAUUAUUUAAAUAGAAAACAAACAAUCUUCUAAUUAUUAAUUAAAAUAUAAUUUAUUUAAAUCAUUUAAUUAAUUUUUAAUUAAAUAUUUUUCUUAAUCUAAUUUUAGUUUUGUUACAAUCACGACAAUUUCACCAUAAAAGAAUCUAUAAAAAAAUAUAUUUAAUUUUUUUAUUCCGGAUAAGUAAUGAUUAAUUAAUUUAAUCUCAAUUUUAAAAUUUAAUUAUUUAAUUAUAAUUAAUUAAAUAAUAAUUUUAAAAAUCUUAAAAUAAUUCUCAAGUCAUUUCUAUUCAUUUUUGUUCAUUUCUAUCCAUUUAAUUUUAUAUACAAUUUAUUUUUUAUUUCAACCAGCUAACUAUUUAAUAACUGUAAAAUACAACGUAGAGAUCAAUAUAUGGAAAUAUAAAUUUUAAAUUUUAAAUAUUUUUUGUUAUAUAAAUUAUUAUUUGAAGUAUGAAAUGUUAUUUUCUUAGCAAAGAGACUAGUGUUGGGAACAUAUCCACUCACUAAUUUUUCGUGACUGUUAUAAAUUGAAGGGACAACUAUAAAAAUAGUCACUCAGUUAUCAUAUUUCUAUUUUGGUCACUCGAGUUUAAAAUUUUCUAUUUUAGUCACUAAUGUUAUCAAAAUUUAAUAUUUUGGUCAUUCUUCCAUUAAAUCACUAAUAGUGGUCUUUUUUUAUUGGAAUAAUAACAAAUUUAACCCUCUAAUAUUUAUAGAUUCCAUCAAUUUAGCCCUAAAUCUAAAAAAUUCAACAUUCAUAUUAAUAUUUAUAGAUUCUAUCAAUAUUAGUAAAUCAUUUUUAAUGAAUUUUACAUUUUUGAAAUUAUUUUAAUUUUAAUCUAGUUUAGCUAACUCGAGUGUUAAUUUUUGAAACUGUUAAAAUUUCUAAAUGUUACUAUUAUUGAUGAAUAAUUGAUGAAAUAAGUAUUACUUGAUUAGAUUUUUCUACUUAGAUAUGAAAAAGGAUUAAUUGUCAAUUAUCAAUUCCAAAUAAAAAAAUUAUUGAUAUUUUCUAUUAUGAAAAACCAUUCUCAAUGUGUUGUAUCGUUGAACAAGUAAUUUUUACUUCUAUUGUGGCAAAUUCAACGGAGGGAGUUAUCUUCUUAUUUCUACCGUAAAAAGUUUCUCAAUAUAUUCCAUUGGGUGAAAAUUUUGAGUUAGAUAAUUAGAGUGCUUCAAAAUCUCAUGGCAAUCAACAAAUUAUGUGAACGUGUGUGAAAAUAGGAAGGAUAUUAGUCUUAAGCAAACAAAAGUUUAGAUGACAAUUCCCAUGAUACUCGUUGGAUAAUUCAGUCAUCUUUUUUAUGGAAUGUAAACUUUUCUAAAUGAAAGGAAAGAAAAGCUUGGGCAAUUCAAUUUAAGUAGUUCACUUCUAAUUGCCUAUCUCCACUACUUUAGUAUACUUCAAUCAAUAAUUUCUCAAAUUACUAUAAGAAUUAAUACCUUUCAAGGAGAGGGUAUAACAUUUACAACACUAUCUUUUUCUUAAGGCUUAGAUAUAACCUUUCCCUCUAGCUUUUAUAGUUGUUAUAUAGUCGUUGGCAAGUCAUGUCUCGAGACAAUCUAUCAAUUGUCUCUAGACACACUGCAUAAUAUCUCAAGACAAGCAGCUCCUAUCAAUCGGUACAAGCUAGUACGAACUAGUAUAAGUUAGUAUUGACUGAAACGAGCUAAAACAUACCGGAAUGGUCGAAACACAUCAAAAUCUUAAUUGUCGAAACCUUUUUAUUUUUGUAAAAGGAUCGACUUGGAUUUUGAAAAACGAAAACGAAUAUGUGAGUCACCACCAAUCCUUUUUGAUGAGGUGUGAUCAGAUCACCUUGAAAAGUGGUUGUUUUUAAUAAACGAUUUGAUUUAUCAAAACAACGAUUUUGGUCCACAAAAUUUAGAAAGAUGGGUUUGGGAGUCGGUUACGUACGAGGAAAGAUUAGCAUCCUCGUAAUGCCCAAAAUUGAUACCUAAUUUAUUACUUAGUGUCUUAGUGUCGAAAAUUAAUAAUUUUGAAGAGAUUUAAAAUACGAUCCUUUGUUAAAAAUUAAAUUUUUUCGAGAAAGGGGCAUAUUUCACGUUAAUCAAGAUAGAGAAUUACGUCCCGUAAGUUAGGACACAAUGUCUUAAACCCCGAUACGAGAAUGAAUGCUGAAAAAUUUACUUAUUUGAAAGAUAUUCAAUUAUCUCGAUUUUAGAAAAGGAAUUAUGUUCGGUAAGUUAGAAUACGAUUUUUUUAUUAAUUCUCGAGAUUGUUAAAAAACUUUAUGUUAAAAAAGGGUUAUUACAUUUGGAUUUAUCGAGAAAAUCAAAACCUCGUAAGUUAAGGAACAACUUUUCGAAUUCCAAAAUGCGAAAUAUUGCUUAUUACAAAAUAUGUAUUGGGUAAUGAUUAAUGUAAUAUGAAUUGGUAGAAAUAAAGUACGGUGUUAAUACGCAUAACAAAAUAAUAAGUGCGUUAAUGUGAAUGACAAUAUGGAGAAUAAAAUAAAAUAAACAAGUCAAAAAAAAUAAGGAUAACGAACUAAAAAUUUAAAGCUAAAGACCUAAUAUUAUAGAAAUAAAUAAAUAUUGUAUAAAAAUUUAAGAAUAAUAAUAUUAAUAAUAAUGAUAAUGAUAAUAAUAAUAAAAUUUAAAGUUUUUCUAAAUUAUAUAAAAAGACAUAAAUAAAUUGAUGAUAAAAUAAAUGUAUAUAAAAUAUUUAGGUAAAUAAAUAUAUAAAAAAAAUAUAAUAGAAAUAAUAAUGCAAAACUCAUUAAUUUAAUAAUAUGGUAAUAAUGACGAGUAAAUAAAUAAAAUGGGGAAAAUAAUAAUAGUAAUAAUAUUAAAUUAAUUAAAUAAUAAAAUAGCAAAAAAAACAAAAAAUGACUAAAUCGAAGCUUAAAACAAAAAUUUGGGACAAAUCAAAAAUAAAUAAGAAAGAAAAGGACCAAGUUGAAUGCGCGAAUAAUAAGGAUGAACCAAAUGAGAAAUAAUCCCCACCCUCCAAAAUGGCGGCCAGAAGGCCAAAAAAUUCUCUUUUUCGUGCAAUCAGAAAAAGAUAAACCUUCUUUGUGUUCUUUUUUUAUGUGUAUAUAUGUAAAAAUAGCUUCGAAAAAAAAGGAAGAAAAUAAAAUAAAAAUAAUGAAAAAAAAAACAAAAAGGAAGAAACACCUUAAUCCUGAUUCAGUUUGCUUUGUAUUUCUUGUUUUUUAUUUUUUCUUGUUUGAAUCAGUUUUUUUUUUUUUUUUUGAAAAAAUCCCCUGCCUGUAGCCAAUAUACAAAUUGUUCUUAUUACUUUGCGUGUUUGCUUCACUUUUGUAGGGUAGUUGAUGGGCGGUGGAGCAAGUGGUCGCAGUGGAUGGGCGAUGGAGGCAAGUGGCUGUCAGAGGUGGCAGAGGCUAGGUGCGACAUAACAGGGUUAGGGGCGAGGGUUUCUGCUAAAGAGUUCAGGUUUUGGGCCAUUAGGGCUUUUUGUAAUUUGGGCUUGUUGGAUGUAAUUUGGGCUUGUAGGGCUUUGGGUGUUGAAUUCUGUAAAAAAUUAGACUUUUUUUUAUUUUUUUGGUAUUAUUUAUUUGAUUUUGGAUCCAGGCAAAUUGGGCCUGCUACAUUUACCAUAAUGAAACCUAUACUACUUCAUAUUGGUUGAAGACCAGAGAGAUACGUAUCGAGUGUGUCAAAUGUUGAUGUCCCUUUUAUGUACUGUUUUAUAUUUUUGUUCUUUUAAUAAGGUUUGUUUGGCUUAUAAAAAGUAUUUUUAUUAAACUAAAAUUUGCUAUGUUUUGAAAUUGGGCAUUUAAUGAUCUGUACCUAUAUUCUUUAAAAAAAAUAUAUUGUACCAAUACAAUUUCAUAAAAUUAGUACAAAUGAUCAUAAAAAAUCAGCAUAACUUACUUGAACUUAAAUACAUUGCUAAUUGAUAUAAUUGGGAACGGUUAUGCGGUUGAUAAUAAUCUUUUUGAACUUCAUUUAAUACAUGAUUUAUACAAGUAAUAUUAGCAACUUAAGUUUCGAUAUGUCCUGCGAGAACAUAAUAGACCGACAGAUUGCAUGACCAAAGUUGUUCCUAAUAAUCUUAAUAGGUUAACAACUUUUGAAGACCCAGCUGAUCAUGCUCGAUCUUUGUUAGAAGAAGAUGCUCAUCGAGCAAUGAUUAAUAUAGACUAUCAUCAACCUAAUUGUAGCUAAUUCUUUGAACUUGUUUCUUUUUUAAAAAAAUUCACAAAAUGCAGAAAUAACUAUUAAUAAACUUUAUAGGAAAACAGAGCAUCUGUAUAAAUAUUUAUCAAAGACAUUGCUAGAAAGCAAAGCUUAUGUUUAUUUUAAUCAAUUUAACAAUGGCCUCUUCAACGAACGCGUUGCAUAUCCCUUGAUAACUUUACUUUGAUCUUCUUUAACUUUGUAACAACCUCUUUCAUAUGAAGCCUCUCAUUUGGUAACUCUGUAGAACAUUCUAAGCCAACUUGCAAAAUGGAUAAGGCACAAUUCUUGACUUUUAAAUCUUCCCUUCCAAUGGUGCUCAACAACUGGGGAUCUACAACUUGAUUUCGCGAAGAUGAUAUCGACUCUAUCACCCAACUCUUCAAGCUUCUUUCUCCUUCAAACAUUUCAUCUGUGGGCUUUUUUCUUGUGAUGAUUUCCAUCAAAAGAAUACCAAAGCUAUACACAUCACCUUUUGUCGAAACAAUUCCUUCGAUUCCAUAUUCUGUAUGAAUAUAAAAACAACAUUAUGAAUAUUCAAAGAUAUCUUGAUAAUGAAAAAUUUGUAUAAAAUAUCCGAAACAUUAUAUGCUUGCAUGUUAUAAUUGAACUGGGAUUUAAUCUAGUUGCUUCCUUAAAAAGUCACAUUUAAUAUGUUUGAAACUCAAAUCUUAACAUAUAUGAUCCCUUUUGUUAUGCACAUGCUACGCUUACAUUGAAAAUGGAAAAAUAAAAAUGGAGUUUGAUUAGAAGUAUCACCUGGUGCCAUAUAUCCAAAUGUUGCCAUUGUCAUGGUUUGUAUCAUUGAAACCUCUUCACGUAAGAGUUUCGCGAUGCCAAAAUCACUCAAAUGAGCAACCAUAUCUUCAUCUAAUAGAACAUUGUUGGGUUUUAAAUCACAGUGAACAACGGGUGUUGCAUUACCAUGGUGGAGAUAUUCCAAUGCAGAUGCAACAUCUAUCAUUAUGUUCAACCUUUGUAGGAUAUCCAAAUAUUGGUUGUUGGAAUACAACCAUUUAUCAAGACUCCCACUAGGCAUGAACUCAAGCACCAACGCUUUGAAAUUAAGAUCAUUAGAGCAACUGCUUAUUACUUUGACUAAAUUUCUGUGACGAGUGUUGCAGAGAACAUCACAUUCAACAUCAAAGCUCUUAAAAGCUCCUUCUAACUCUAACUUGAAGACCUUCACCGCAAUUACCGUCCCAUCCUGGAGAUUCCCUUGGAAUACUGAACCAUAACUUCCAUUACCAAGCAACCUACUAUCAUUGAAUCCAUCAGUAGCUUGACGAAGCUCGUGGUAUGAAAACCGUCUCCACGUUCCUAAAGGUAUCAUGUCUUCUUGAGUUGGCAAUUUGUCUUUCCUCCUGUAUUGCAAGAUAAUGAUUAUCAGAGCCACAACCAAAAUUGUGGAGGCAAUUGGCAGAGCUACAUAUAUUAGGAGUUUAGUUUUUGCCUUGGAAUUUCUAAGAGGUCUAGUUUUGCAGUUUGGAACAUGAAGUCGAGCUGCACCACACAAGGCUUCAUUCCCCUUAAAUGAUUCGAUUGUGUAGUUUUCAAAUGAUCCUCCAUCAGGAAUUUCUCCUUCAAGUCUAUUAAAAGAGACAUUGAAAUAUUUGAGAUAACGGAGUUUCACUAAGGAUUUGGGAAUCUCUCCAGAUAGAUUAUUUCUUGACAAGUCCAAGAAUUCCAAACUCAACAAUUCAUCAAAAGACUCAAGAAUAGAACCCAUGAUUCUAUUAUUGGAUAAGGAAAAAUGAGUGAGGUCCUUGAGAUCUGCAACUCCAGUUGGGAUAUCACCUGAGAACUGAUUGUUCGACAAAUCCAAACUAGUCAAAACUUGCCAUUUUCCAAUGUCGAUUGGCAGUGGACCACUUAGAGAAUUUGAAGACAAGUAUAGGAUGAGGAGAUAGUUGAGCUUUGUCAACGUUGAAGGUAUUGAGGAGGAAAACAUAUUGGAGUCUAGAAAUAGUUGCCUUAAUGAAGUGAGAUCACCAAAGCAAGCAGGUAUUGGCCCAGACAAUUUGUUAUUGGUCAAGAACAAGAAAGCCAAUUUGUUUAGAUGACAUAACUCAGGUGGGAUGGAUCCCUCUAACUUAUUGUCCUCAAGAGAAAGACUUUGCAACUCUUCCAAUCCUCCAACUGUAGUAGGAAUCUGUCCUAUCAAUUUAUUGCCUCCUAGCUCAAGGUUUAUCAAGUGACUUAAGUUUCCAAUUUCACUGGGGAUGCUACCCCUGAUGUUGCAUGCAGAAGCAGAGAACUCUUCAAGAGAACUUGAGAGAUUUCCUACCACUCUUGGAAGUUCACCACUAAUAAAUGAGUUGAUGCCGAAAAGAAGGUUCUCCAAGACUCUACAGUUUGUCAAAGAAAAGAGAAAGCUCAUUCUUGAGGAAGUUAAACUAUUAUUCGCCAGGGUGAGAAUCUUUAAGUUUCUUAGAUUGCCCAGAUUAUCAGGAAUGGACCCUGAAAAGUAAUUAUUAGACAUGUCAAGAAGAGUAAGCUGAGAAGCAUUGGAAAUAUACACUGGGAUCGAGCCGACAAGGUGAUUGAAAUUAAGAUAUAAUCUCUCCAUGUUUGGAAGGAAAAGGCCCAUGUUUGAUGGAAGAUGGCCAGAGAGCUGAUUUGUACUCAAAGAAAUCGUCCUUAGAGUCGAAAUAUUAAAUACUUGUGGAGGAAUAGAACCAGCAAUAUUGUUUAAUUCUAAAUUCAACACUUGUAGAUUCUUUAGGUUGCCAAUCUCAUUUGGUAUUAUACCUGCCAUAAAUUUUAUCAAACAAAAAUAUUAGACAAAUGUGGGAAAAAGAGAGUUUAUAUAUGAAACAUUUGCUUAUAUUUCUUAAACACUAUAAAAAUUUUAAAUUAAAUUAUAUAACGAUGUGUAAAUUUAUUGACAACUAGUGUAUCAAAUAUGAGUCUACAAUUUUUGGAGCUCUUGCAAAUAUCAAAUGUAGAAAAUACUGGUGAAUUAAAUCAUAAAGAACAAACAUUCAUAAGUUUAAGAAAAUGAAAAUAUAUCUUGUUUUCCUUUUAUCUGAUUUGAUAAAUUUAAAUUUUUUAUUCUUCUAAGAACAUAAAGAUAAAUCAAUUAUAAUUUUAGGCUCCUUAGGGUUUUGUGUGCCAAAUAAUGGACUUAAAAAAAAUACAUAUAUACUAAUUGCAAUGAGUAUGAAAAAAUUUAUAACUAUUUGUAAAAUAAUCAAAACACAGUAAGUCAUUGAGCAGAAUAAAGUUCAAAACAAAUAAUGCUACAUAUACUAAUAGAAGUUGCAAACUAAUAAAAAUAAUUUGGAAACAAUUUAAUUCUUUCUUAUACAUUCACCUGUAAAAUUGCUAUUGGAGCAAUCAAAGUCCACAAGAAGAGUUAAAUUCACAAUUUGUUUAGGAAUUUUACCUGCAAUUAUAAAAUUCACAUAUCAAACUCAAAAUUCAUCUCUUACCAAGGAUUAUAAGAAUGAAAUAAAAGUAUAAUGACUUAUUUAGUUUUCCAACUUUAAAAAGAAAAAGUCAUUUUAAAUAUAUGUAUAGAAACAAUCAAACACCAUAAGAAGCAAAAAAAAAAAUUAAAUAAAGGGUUAAAAUGAUUUUUUUAUAAAGUUGAAGGGCUAAAUAAAUAAAACACCAUUAGAAAGGUAUUUCACAUCAUAUUAGGUGUCAUACACACUUCCAAGUCCCGUUGGAAAUUAAAGAAUAUUUCUCUCAUCAUUUUCUUGUAGUUUAUUCUUCAAUCUUCUUUUGAAAAUGUUCAACUAUGAAUUCAUUUAAUAAGUAAAUUUAUAUUUUCAAUCUCAAUAGAAGAUUGAUCUAACUUGUUAUAUUCAUUAACUUAAUUUCUUUUCCAAAAAAAAAAAAAAAAUCCUUCCUUACAUUCUCAAAGUACUUACAAAAAAAAAAAGUAAACACUUCAAAAAGCUUUAACAAAUGGUUAGCAUACAUUACCUUCAAAGUGGUUCCGACCAAUAUAGAUGUAUUGAAGCAUACUCAAAUUCCCAAUUUCUAUUGGUAGGCUCCCCUCCAUUUGGUUAUACGCUAAAGAUAACAUUUGUAACUCUUUGCACUUGAAUAGACUGGCAGGAAUUCUACCAGAAAGCAGGUUAACACUUAAGUACAAUUCUUUCAAAUUUGGAAGAUAAUCAAACAUAUCUUUCGGGAUAUGACCACUGAGAUUAUUGGAGCUGAAAUCAAUCAAUUCUAGCGAAAGCAAAUCAUGUGGACCAGAGGGUAUGGAGCCAGAGAGCUUAUUAUAACUUAGAUAAAUAUUUUGCAACGUAGAUAUAUUGAAGAUGGAGGAGGGAAUUGAGCCUGAAAUCUGGUUUUCAAACAAAGUCAAGAACUCUAACUUCGACAAAUAGCCUAAAGAGAAGGGAAUAACACCUUUGAAGUUGUUUUGGUACAAAAACAGCCUUCGAAGUUCAGUUAAUGAUCCCAACCAUGAUGGGACUUCUCCACCGAAGUUGUUGUUACCAAAGCUUAAAUAUUUCAGCCGAUGCAAAUUGGAUAACUGGGCAGGUAAUCUGCCAUAGAAACUAUUGUUUGUGAUAUAAAGAAGAGAAAGGAAUGAUAAAUUUCCCAAGUGAGGUGGAAGGGUGCCUACGAGUCCCAACCCAGUAAGGUCUAGAGCUGUGACUCUACGGUGCCUGGAUCCACAACUUACACCAAACCAAUUGCAAACAGGGGCAGAGGCUGACCAGUUAGUUGUCAAGACAUUUUCAGGAUCAUGAAUAACAUGAUCUUUUAGUGCUAGAAGAGCUGAUUGAUCUGUAAGUAUGGUGGUUAAUUU
rnacentral:lncRNA from 1 species